GCUUCUCUUUCCAAAAGCAUGGCGUGCACUGUCCUUUCAUUGCUAGACCACAUCUUGAUCACUGUAUUGCUCGUCCUCGCUCGCGACAUUAUCAUAGCCGGUGUUGGCAUAGCUCCACCUCCCACUCCUCUACCUCUUCCACGGCUACGUGCACCCUCUCCGACACCUCGUCCUCCCAGUCUUGGGUCUCCUCCUCGCACUCCUCUUCUUCCUCCCCCUCGGACAAGCACUCCACCUCUAAAUCCUCUUCCUCGUCCAUGGUUGAGGGCACCUUCGCCAGCUCCUAUUCCUACACGGCUAGGAGCUCCAACUCGUACUCCUAUUCUUCCUUCUCCUAAGGUAGGUGCUCCACCACCUACACCUAUUCCUCCUAUUCCUCGGUUUGGGGCUCCCUCCCGUGGUCCUAUCCUUCCACCCCCUCGAAAGGGUGUUCCACCUUCUACUACUCCACUUCCAGCACCACGAUUAGGGGCACCUCUCCCGUCCCGUCGUCCUUGUCCUCCACCUAGCGCUCCUAUACUUCCUCCCCGUCAGAAAGGCGCUCCACCUUCCACUCAUCCACUUCCUACACCAAAAUUAGGGGCACCCCUCCCAUCCACUCCACUUCCUCCACCUCGUGCUCCUGUCCUUCCUCCCCGUCGGAUGGGCACUCCACCUUCCCCUCCUCCACUACCUGCACCAAGAUUAGGGGCACCUCUCCCAUCCCCUCUUAGACCUCCAUCUCGUGCUCCUGUAGUUCCUCCCCGCCGAAAGCGCAAGCCACCUCCUACACCACGUUCUAAGGCACCCAUUCCAUCUCCUGUUAUUCCGCCCCCUCGAAAGGGCGCUCCACCUUCCCCUCUUCCACAACCCGCACCAAGAUUAGGGGCACCCCUCCCAUCCCCUCUUAAAGCUCCAUCUCGUGCUCCGGUACUUCCUCCCCAGCGAAAGCGCACCCCACCUCCUGCACGACGUUCUAAGGCACCCAUUCCACCUCCUGUUGUUCCUCGCCCUCGAAAGGGCAGUCCACCUUCCAGUCCAAUUCCUGCACCAUGGUUGGGGGUACCCCUUCCAUCUCGUCCUCUUCUUCCCCCUCGCGGACCUACUUUUCCUUCACCUCGGAGGGGCACUCCGCCUUCCCCUCCUCCACUUCCUACACCUCUUCUUCCUCCAGCUCGUGCUCCUUUAUAGAAAAUCUUUUUGUCUAAGGAAUCAUGAAGGCAGCACCAAUCUCUUCUGAAACAAUAAGAUAGCAACAACAGCAAUAUCUUCAUUCAACUCGUCAAAAUAGUUCUAGAAGCCAAAGAUUGAAUCUCAGCUGGAUGGGUUUGCGUUUGCUACAGUGCCAUAGGGUCCCAUCGGCCACAAGAAAAUCAUGUAAUAAAUACAACUAUUUUGUUUGUGGGGUGUGUAAUAAAUUGGUAAGCCUAGGCUUACUACUCCUAUGUAUUUCAACACUCCUUGCAAUAGCGAUUUGAUUUGCUCAAUUAGCCAUCAUGGAUCUGUUUGCAACUCAUCAUCCUUCUCUAUUUGUCAUUGUUUGUUGCUUCCUCGGUGUGUUUUUAUUUUAACACAUGGGCACACAAAGAAGCUGUCCAUUUCUUUCAAAGCAAGAAGAAUUUGCAAAACAGCCCCUUAGUUGGAAAAACUUGUACAUGACUAAAAUAGUGUAGAUAGAUGUUGGAAGAUAUAUUUGUUGGUUCUUUUCCAUCAAAAUUUUAAUUUCCCAUAAAAUUAUAAGGAUGUAUGAUGUGAAUUGUGACUGUGGAUUCUUUCUCGGGAGCGCCAAAUAACAUCCACCUCUCAAACUAAUUAACGCAAAGAUGUGCUCCAGCCAACGGUGGAUUUUUGCCCUAGGCUUGACACAAAACAUCUGUUUACUCCACUGGGUUUUUUUGGCCUAAUCCGUAUGCCCUAGCCAUCAUGCUUGCAAUAAUCAUAUCCCACCACCUGCCCAACAAUUAAUUAACCAUCCGUCUACCCCAACAAUGCUUGAAGUAAUCCCCUAGUGCCGCCAAAUUAAGGAACCAAAUUGAUCAAUCGAGGAGUAGAGCGGCGAAAUCAAAGGGUGACACCGGCAAUAAUGUAAUUGAAGGGGAGGCUGUCAGUAGGCAGCCUAGCAGGUAGUACCGUACCAGCCAAUGUUGCCACGUUGCCCACUCAUUCGGGAGGCAAGCAGGACAGGUACGGUGCAGUAUAAGAGCACUCCCAAUGCAAAAACCAUUGUGGUUUCUAUAGACAUUAAUUGCAAUGUCACCUAUGCAUUUUGCUGAUGUGGCAAUAUAGUUAUUGAAGAGAGAGAGAGUAAAAAUCAUAGAAACUGAGUCUAAGUUAGAAACCAUGUCUACACAAAAUCGAAGACAUGAAGUGAUAUGAUUGGCUAAGAAUGGAGAGAGAAUGAAUGUGAUUGGACAUAAAAAUAUUCUAUAUAAACUAUCCAUUGGACCAUACACUGCUGUAGGAUUAGGCAUUAGCACCGAUCGGGAACGGCCUGUUGCCCCGGUUCCCGAGCUGGAUGGUAACACGUAAUUGGAUGUAUAAUGCCGAUCGGCGCUCCGAAGAGUUCAUUAAUGGUGUGCACUAUUUCUUAAGUGUGGCCGAGACAAAUAAGAGGGACGGUUUCAUGUGCUGUCCAUGUGUCGUGUGCAAGAAUUUGACGGAAUAUUCUAACUCAAGAACUCUUCAUUCGCACUUACUAAAGUCUGAUUUCGUACCAAACUAUAUUUGUUGGACCAAAUAUGGAGAAAGCGGGAUUAUAAUGGAUGAAGGUGAAGAAGAAGAAGAAGAAUUGGAUCAUGCCAAUAUUAUUGCUCAGUACGGUGGCUUCAAUGAUGUUGCAAUGGGGGAGAUAAUGAAGAAGAGGUAGCGACAGAAGAUGAUCGGGGCGAUGAUGCUUUUGGUGAUGCCAUCCGUGAUGCACAAAGAGAAUGUGAAAGUGAUAAAGAGAAAGUCAAGUUCGAGCGCAUGCUAGAGGACCAUAGAAAAUCGCUAUAUCCCACCACUGAAGAGGGGCAAAAAAAGCUGGGUACCACACUGGAAUUGUUGCAAUGGAAGGCAAAGAAUGGUACAUCUGACAAGGCAUUUGGGCAGUUAUUGAAGAUCAUAAAAAAGAUGCUUCCGAAAGGCAACGAAUUGCCCACCACUACGUAUGAAGCAAAACAGGUUGUCUGCCCUUUGGGAUUAGAAAUCUAGAAGAUACACGCAUGUCCUAAUGACUGCAUCCUCUACCGUGGGGAGGAAUACGAGAAUUUGGAUGCAUGUCCGGUAUGUAAGGCAUCACGGUAUAAGAUUAGAUGAGAUGAUCCUGGCGAUGUUGAGGGUGAAGAACGUCAUAGGAAGAAAAUUCCUACCAAGGUUAUGUGGUAUGUUCCUAUAAUACCACGAUUUAAAUUAACGUCUGUUCAGAAAUAAGGACAAUGCAAAGUUGUUGCGGUGGCAUAAAGAAGACCGUAAGACAGACAAUAUGUUGAGACACCGUGCCGAUGGAUCCCAGUGGAGAGCGAUAGACAAAGAAUUCCCAGAUUUUGCAGAUGAUGCUAGAAACUUGCGGUUCGCCUUAAGUACAGAUGGUAUGAUUCCUUUCGGUGAGCAGAGCAGUAGUCACAGCACUUGGCCAGUUACUCUAUGUAUUUACAACCUUCCUCCAUGGCUAUGCAUGAAGCGGAAGUUUAUUAUGAUGCCGGUGCUUAUCCAAGGACCGAAGCAACCUGGCAAUGACAUAGAUGUCUACCUAAGGCCAUUAGUUGAGGAACUUCAACUUUUAUGGAGCAAACCAGGAGUUCGCGUGUGGGAUGAGUACAAACAAGAGCCCUUUGACCUGCGAGCAUUGCUGUUUGUAACAAUCAAUGAUUGGCUAGCUCUGAGUAAUCUUUUAGGCCAGUCAAACAAGGGAUAUAAUGCAUGCACACAUUGUUAUGAAGACCUUGACUGUGUAUUUUUGAAAAAAUGUCGAAAGGUCAUGUACCUUGGCCACCGUCGGUUUCUUCCUGUGAACCACCCAGUACGAAAGAAAGGCAAGCAUUUUAAAGGCAAGGCAGACCACCGGACCAAACCUCUCAAUCGAACCGGGGAUGAUGUACUCGAAAUGGUCAAGGAUAUAAAAGUGGUAUUUGGAAAGGGGCGAGGCAGCGAACCUAUUUCCAAGGAUGCUAAGGGACACGUACCCAUGUGGAAGAAGAAAUCCAUAUUUUGGGAGCUACCUUACUGGAUUGUCCUAGAGGUCCGCAACGCGAUCGACGUGAUGCAUCUGACAAAGAAUCUUUGUGUGAACUUGCUCGGAUUCAUGGUUGUCUACGGGAAGUCUAAGGAUUCACUUGAAGCACGACAAGACUUGCAGCGCAUGAAAGAACGAGACAACCUGCAUCCAGAAAAGACAGAUGAUGGACGUCAUUACUUAAGCCCUGCUAGCUACACUCUGAGCAAAGAAGAGAAGGAAAGCAUGUUUGAAUGUCUUAGCAGCAUCAAGGUCCCAUCUGGAUUCUCCUCCAAUAUCAAGGGAAUAAUUAAUGUGCCAGAGAAGAAAUUCCUGAACUUGAAGUCCCAUGACUGUCACGUUCUAAUGACGCAAUUGCUGCCGGUGGUUUUAAGAGGAAUUUUACCUCCACACGUACGUCUAGCCACCGUAAAGCUAUGUGCAUUCCUCAAUGCAAUUUCUCAGAAGGCAAUCAAUCCAGAGCAACUAGCUACUCUGCAGAAUGAUGUCAUUCAAUGUCUUGUCAGCUUUGAGUUGGUGUUCCCUCCAUCCUUCUUCGAUAUCAUGACACACCUCCUAGUUCAUCUGAUCAAAGAGAUUCGUAUUCUCGGUCCUGUGUUCCUACACAACAUGCUCCCCUUCGAGAGAUUCAUGGGUGUCCUAAAGAAAUAUGUCCAUAGUUGUUCCCGCCCAGAAGGAAGCAUUGCCAAGGACUACGGAACAGAGGAGGUCAUAGAGUUCUGUGUUGACUUUAUUCCAGACCUUGACCCAAUUGGCAUUCCUGAAUCUCGACACGAGGGCAGACUCAGCGGAAAGGGAACACUUGGGAAGAAAACAUAUAUUGGUACGGGAGACGAUUACUUAAUAAAGCACACUACACAGUUCUCCAGAACUCCUCAUUGGUGGAACCAUAUGUUGAGGUACACAAAGAUUUCCUACGGUCCCAGUGGCCAGGGAAGAAUGAAGCUUGGAUAAUGCGUCAGCACAUGGAAACUUUUGGCGAUUGGUUGCGCAAAAAAUAUCAAGGUGAUGAAAACAUUGAUGAGCAGCUUUAUUUGUUGGCCAGGCAACCAUCAUGGCAUGUCCUCACGUACAAAGGGUACGAGAAAAAUGGUAACACAUUUUACACAGUUGGCCAAGAUAAAAGGAGCACCAACCAAAAUAGUGGUGUACGCGUGGAUACCACGGAUCCAAAUGGAAACAGACAAACAUAUUAUGGACGCAUAGAAUACAUAUGGGAACUAGUCUAUGCAGCUAAUUUUAAAGUUCCUUUGUUCCGGUGCCAAUGGGUGAAGAUGACCGGAGGUGGGGUAACAGUCGACAAGGAGUAUGGGAUGACAACCGUGGACCUUAACAAUAGUGGGUUCAAAGACGAACCAUUCGUCCUUGCUGCAGACGUGAGUCAGGUGUUCUAUGUCAAAGAUAUGUCUACGAAACCAAAGAGAGGAAAAAAUGAUGACCACUCAAUCAUCAAUGAGCCAAAGCGCCACAUUGUCCUUUCUGGGAAAAGAAACAUUGUCGGAAUUGAGGACAAGUCAGACAUGUCAGGCGAUUACGAAAGGGAUGAUCGAAUUCUGCCCUUCAUAGUCAACAAAGACCCAAGCAUUCUGUUGAACAAUGAGGAUACUCCAUGGUUAUGGCAGGAUCAUAACCAAGGGUCAUACGUCAAGAAGAAGUUCACUGUUGUGUCGGCUUAACAUAAAGUCAUGUUUAAUAGUAUGUGUUGUAAAAUGUACGAAUUCUGAGAAUUGUAUGAAACUAUAUUUGAGAAUUGUGAAUUUUGAUGAGUAUAUCAAACUUUGUAUUCAUGACUUUUUAUAUACACAAUUUUUCCAUUUGAGAAAGUUUAAGUUAACAAUACCCACCAAAUCUUGAAUCUCACACAAACUAUAUGAAACUAUAUGUGUCAAUUGUGGAUUUUCAACUACACCUUCCCAAAAUUUUGUCAAAUGCAAAAAUGGUCUAUAUAUGAAAUGUAGAUUUAGAUGAGUGGAACAAUAUUGGUAUUCAUGACUUUUCCAUUCGAGACCAUCUAGGGUUACGAAACCGCUGCGUGGCUAUGAAUUAUCUGAAAAUUCAAAAUUCAAUGGUUCAAACUUUUCCAAAUGAAAAGUUGACCAUUAGACAAAAUGUAGAACUUGAUGAGUGUAAUAAACUUUGUAAAAAUGACUUUUCCAUUUGGGACCAUCUAGGGUUCGGUCAAAGGGUGUUUUCGUAAAAACCAAUGCUUUGAUUUUGGUCAAACUUGAUCAAAUGGCCCAUUUGAUGACUUCAAAUGAAACAAUUUUGAAUACAAAGUUGUUAGAGAUCAUCAAGAUCAACAUUUUAUAUAUUGUCCAUUUUUCCAUUUGGAUAAUUUUGAGCCAAUCCUGAUCACAUUUCUAUAAAAUCCAAGACGAGUUUUGGUCAAACUUGGUCAAAUGACAAACUAAACUACUUAAAAUGAAAAAAAUUUGAAUACCAAGUUGUUAGAUAUCAUCAAGAUCUAAACUUUUUAUAUACACAACUUUUCCAUUUGAGAAAGUUUAAGUUAACAAUACCCACCAAUUCUUGAAUCUCACACAAACCAUAUGAAACUAUAUGUGUCAAUUGUGGAUUUUCAACUACACCUUCCCAAAACUUUGUCAAAUGCAAAAAUCAUCUAUAUAUGAAAUGUAGAUUUUGAUGAGUGGAACAAUAUUGGUAUUCAUGACUUUUCCAUUCGAGACCAUCUAGGGUUCCGAAACCGCUGCGUGGCUAUGAAUUCUCUGAAAAUUCAAAAUUCAAUGGUUCAAACUUUUUCAAAUGAAAAGUUGACCAUUAGACAAAAUGUAGAACUUGAUGAGUGUAAUAAACUUUGUAUUCAUGACUUUUCUAUUUGGGACAAUCUAGGGUUCGGUCAAAGGGUGUGUUCAUUAAGAUAUAUAUUUUUGUAUGAUAAAUAGAUUUUUUAUUUGAUGAAAACAAUACCCUACUAGCAUUCCGAGUAAUAAAUAACAAAAAUAAAAAGUUUAACGUCAAUAUGAUGUGAAAAAAUAUUUCCAGUUGAUUGGAUAUAGUUUUUGUAAAUUUAUUGGAAUAAUAUAUUUUUGCAUUAACAAAAUACUAAACAUUUCUUACAAAAUCAUUGCAAAUUAUAAAAAUAUAGUAAGAUAUUUAAGGUUAAAAAUUUUUAUGUGUACAUUAAAAACAAUUACAAUAUAUGUCACUGUUUAAAAAAUAUUAUGCAAAAUAUUUAAUUUAUUAUACAAUUUAUAAUAUAAACUGUAUAUAUAAACAAUUGAAAACCGUAAAGUAAAAAACAGGGUCUUUAGCACCGGCCCAUAGUGGGAACCGGUGCUAAAGGGUCCUGAAAAUUUUCAAGACCCCGCCCGAGCCCGCCUAGGACCCUUUAGCACCGGUUCGUGGCUGGAACCGGUGCUAAAGGGUCCCUUUAACACCGGCUGGUGUUACGAGCCGGUGCUAAAGGGUCCCCCUUUAACACCGGCGCGUAACACCAGCCGGUGUUAAAGGCCCUUUAGCACCGGUUCCAGCAACGGACCGGUGCUAAAAGGUCCGCCCCUAUAUAAGUGCACAGACGCCCUAGAUUUGAAGCAGUCUUCGUCUUCGUCGAGCAGAGAAGUUUCCUGCGCUGCCGGCCGUUCGUCUACCACGCGCGACUCGUCUCCAGCGCUGCCGCCGCCGUCUCCAGCGCCGCCGCCGCUGCCAGCGCCGCGGCUGCCGCGGCCAACUCCGGCCAUCUCUACACCGAGAACACAUCGAUCUCACGUAUACUCCACAACCGCCGUGCAUAUCAUAUCUCUAAAAAAAUAAAUAAAUAUAUAUGUAUAUUAAUUAAAUGUUAUUAUAUAUAUACACUAAAUCACACUGAAUUGUAUAUAUAUAGGUAUAUAUAUAUAUAUUAUAUACACUAAAAAAUAUAUUAUUCUAGUAACAGUUUUUAGUAUAUUAGUAUAUAAGUGUAGUGUUGACCUGUUAUAAAUUAUAUUAUGCUAUUAUAUAUUUGUAAUAUAUUAAUAUUAUUCUUGUAUUAUUUUGUAGUAUUAUUUUUUUAGUAUAUUAUUUGUAGUAGUAUUUUUUAGUAUAUAUUUGUAGUAUAUUAUUCUUGUAAUUAUUUUUGUAUCAUAUUUUAUUUUCUAGUGUUUUGUAUAUAUUAUUGUUUGUACUAUUAUUCUAGUAUUGUUUUGUAGUAUAUUAUUCUAGUGUAUUACUUGGCUUAAAAGAUUUUAGUAUUAUUUUUAGAGCACUCCAACACUUUCAUUUGUAGUAGUACUAGUAGUAGUAUAUAAGUCUCUAAUAUAUAUUCUAGUAGUGUUUACCCACCAAAUUUAUUCUAGUACUGUUUUGUAUAUAUUAUUGUUUGUACUAUUCUUCUAGUAUUGUUUUUUAGUAUAUUAUUCUAGUGUAUUACUUGGCUUAAAAGAUUCUAGUAUUAUUUUUAGAGCACUCCAACACUUUCAUUUGUAGUAGUACUAGUAGUAGUAUAUAAGUCUCUAAUAUAUAUUCUAGUAGUGUUUACCCACCAAAUUUAUUCUAGUAGUGUUUUGUAGAAAUGGCUGACCGUCCUCAGGAUGAUCCUGAUUAUAUGGAAGAUGCCAUUCAAAAUAUGAUCGACGACAGUAGUCAGUACUUUAUGGAUUACCACGAGAUCAUGCAAGGCAAUCCGACUGAGCAACAAGAGGGCAAUGCUCCUGAGCAACAAGAGGGCAAUGCGCCUGAGCAACAACUUGUCGUGCAACAAGAAGAAAAUACUGGCGAGGUAUAUGUAAAUGUAAACAUAUAUAAUUAAUGCAUCUCUUACAUUAGGUUUUAGACUUACUUGGUUAUUAAUUUAGUAUUUUUGUUUCUAUAUCUACGUUUAGCCUUCUGGAUCGACCUCUACGGGGAGAAGCGUACCUCCACGAGGACCAAAGAAGCCGUUGGAGGGCCGCUAUGUAAUCUCCGAGUUUGAUAUAGCUACACGCAGACCACUUGGUGAACAUGCAAAUAAAUAUGUUAGUCACUGUGGAUAUCUUGUGAGAGAUCAAAUACCGAUUAGUGCUCGUGAAUGGAGAGAGAAGCGAGGUGCUCCUGAGAUCAGUUUUGUCUCUGAUCGUGACAAGGAGUUAGUUUGGAAAGCCGUCACAGACGUUUUCACCUUCGACACCAACGAUGAAGAGUUGAAGGUGCGAAUUUAUGACUAGACUAUGAAGAAGAUGGCAGUACUGUUCCAGAAUUGGAAGAAGACUUUGUACAAUAAAUUUGUCAAGAAAAACGAGACUCCAAAUUUCAACCUCAAGCAAUAUGUAAAGCUGAGGGCCUUCUGGGAUGACUUCAUGCAAUACAAAACAUCAGAAGAGGGCGAGGAACGAGCCAUUAGAAACAAAGAGAAUGCAAGUAAAAAGACAUACUACCAUCAUAUGGGAUCAGGUGGUUAUAAGAGUGCUGUUCCCAAGUGGGACCGACUGGAACAGGAGAUGCUUGCUAGGGGGGUCACACCCGAGACAAUAGCAAAGAAUUGGAGCGAGCGCUCCAAGCAUUGGUUCUACGGUCAUGGGGGAAGCGUGGAACCACACACCGAGGCGCUAGUUUGGGGCCAAGAAAUCUCUAGAGCAGCAGAGAGACUAGUCCGUGCACGAGAGGCGGUUCAGUCUAGUGAGUUCAGGCCUAACAGGGAGAAGGAUGAACUCACCUAUGCGCUUGAAAAUCCUAAGCACGGUGGGCGUACGAGAGGCUAUGGGGCAGUUCCGUGGCUGCAAUCAUUCCAAGCCGAUCAAGAUACCUACAGAAGCCGCCAGAGAAAGAAGGAUGAGGAGGCAGAGCGGAUCUGCCGCCUGGAAGCUUUUGUUCUGCAAUCAGAAGAGCACGAGAAAGCUCGUGAAGAAUGGAUGCAGGCGGAGAUUCAAAGGCAAGUGCAAGCAGCACUUAGUCAAAUGACGAAAGGGCAAGGUACAUCACAGCCUGAGGUCAACGUUAGCCCCCCAGGCCAGUUGAAAAGCAGCUGCGCAUCCACGGAAGUACCAACCAUUCAGGAUGACAUGAAGCUACACUUCUCCGUGGAUGAUGUCAUAGAGGCUUUUACUACCUGUGAGCUGCAUGUACCCGAUGGGAAUACAACAAAAAAGGUGGCUAUCGCUGUUGUCAACCCUAUCGACCGAACGAGAACUCCAAGAAUCCAUAAUCGACCAGUACCUGGUGGAUAUGCUAGCAUCUCGGUUGAUAGGGUUGAGAAAGGUUGUGGCAAUGUGCCUCUAGACAUAGAAGGGGGAGACGGAGAGAAGACCUUAGGUGAAGCUGAGAAGACAUUUAUUUGUUGGCGCAAGCGCUUCAUAAUUAUUCCUCAACAUAGGUUUGUGUGUGAUUUUACUUCUUAUAUUAUUUAUUAUGUAUUGAAAUUAAAAAAAAGUUUGCUCACAAAACUUGUAAUUGUUUUCUUUGCAGGGACUCCUCCAACCUAAGUCCAGUUCUCUCUCCAGCGCAUCAUAGUGCUGCGGGCGGUGAUAAUGCUGGAUCUCCUCCAACACCUGCGGCGGCCACACCGACCCCGCCACCGCCUCCACCAUGGUCUCCACCUCCUCCACCAAGGUCUCCAACUCCUCCACCGCGUUCUCCAACACCGAAAAGAUCGGCCCCACCACCUCCACCGCCUGCACCGCCCUCUCCAAAGAGUGCACGGUCGGUCCCCUCGCCUCCAAAGUGAGGUAGUCAGAAGCGGUCCGCCCAAGAACGACUGAAGUCAUCGGUCCCACCUCCAAAGACAGCUGCCUCAGCAAAGAGAGCUAAGACACCAGAAAAAUUACCUUACGAAAAGAGUGAAGAGGAGGUAAUUGCUGCAUCCAAAGCUGAGGUGAAACAUUUUUUUGAUAAAUUGAAGGAGGAUAAAAAAACGGCUAAACCUAGAAAAGCCGUACUUUUAUGUAAAGCCAUCGGAACUGAGGCAUAAGGUGGCGGACCAGCAAAAGAAGCAACAUGAAGCUCAGAAAAAGCCAGCACUUUCGGACUAUGAGCGGUCUCUGGUCAAGUCUUCACAGCCUAGGAAGAGAGUAGGAAAGAGGGUCCCAUAGCUCGGAGAAGUAUCAAAACCGGUGCCCCCUUUGAUUGUGCCAAAUCAAUACGGCUCAAAUGAAGAGUUGAUGCCAAAGAAAUCCUUAGCGUUGUCUGAGCUAGACUCGCUUGAGCGUUACUUUGGACAGAGCGGUUUAAAUAUGAAAGAACUUGCCGCCAUUCUUGGAUGCCAAACAUUUGAAAAAGCCGAGGUAGUUGAUCAAUGGAGGGUAAGAUAUGAACGGGGCAAGAGUCUAUUCGACCCUUAGUGUUUACAUGAGCUCGGCACACAAAUGUUUGCAAUAAACAAAUGGUGCAUUGAGGCGUCUAAAAGGGGAGAGAAUUGGAUUUCUGUUCGUAUUAGACAACAUCACUACUUCCGUGAAGAUGACCUCAUAUACGUGCAGUUCGAAGAAUUGCACCAAUUAUGUCACCUCGACGCUCUCGACAAAUCUCUUGUCAGCUGCUUUUGUCUGCAAGUAUUUUUUUCUUUUUAUUAUACUUCUAACUUCUUUAAUUACAUGUAUAUAAUCCUUACAUACUUAGGAUUUGUAUGUAUAUAUGCAGACACCAAAUGAGAGAGCUCAGAAUCAGUAAUGACAAUAGUAUUGGGUUCGUUGACCCUUAUAUUGUUUUCAAAGCUCCGCAGGCAGUGUGGACAGCAGCUCAUGAGACAGAAGUCUGCACCAAUCUUAUGAGGUUCUUUGUGAACCAAAAAGAAAAACAAAAAAUACUCUUCCCCUUCAACUUCGAGUGAGUUAUAUAGUUAUUAAGUGCAUGCAUAUUUUAUUUUAAUAAUUAUUACUCGAGACAAGUUUUAUAUAGUUAUAUAUAGGCCUGACUAUAUAUAUGUGUAAACAGCUUUCAGUGGAUACUCAUAGUCAUUGAAAUUCCCAAGAACCGGUUGAUAAUCUUUGACUCAAUGAGAAAACCACAAGAAAAUUAUCAACAAAUGGUAAACAUUAUUCAAAGGUACGUAAUGUCGAUCUCAGCUAGAAGAAUAUCAUAAUAUGACUCUGUAAUUAUUAGUUCACGAUCCACAAUGGCUGUGUGUAGGGUUUGGAAAAGAUUCAUUGACCGUGAACAUCUCAGUGGAUGUAAAGCGCCGCUUAACAUAAUACAUCCACAAGUAAGUUCUACUAGCUAGCAAACUUUCGCUAACUUUUAGCCUUUUUAUUGUCGUGGUCGUGAAUAUUUUUUAUAUAUAUGUAUCGUACAGUGGUGUUUAAGACAAGAGGGGGGAACAAUCUAUGUGCAUAUUACGUGUGCAAAUUCAUGAUGGCACAAGUCAAUCAAACACCCACAGAGGCGCUCAGGGUACGUUACAUCAUUAUCUCCUGAAUUAUAUUGAAUAACUUAGAUAACUAAUAUCUUUUUUAUUUAUUUCAAAUUAAAGACGGAAUGGUUGAGGGAAAAGGUCAUACAAAAAGACCGAAUCAAAGCUAUCCAAGAGACGAUAGCAUGAUUUCUCCGCGAGCAAGUGAUCAAUCCAAACGUGGAGUUUCACUUCAACGGCAACGAAACUCUUAUUCCAAACAACGAUGAUCAUUUGUAUCGUUUGUAGACAUUGGGAGAAAAAACUCUAGGUAUAUAUGUGUUACGAAUUUUGUACAUAUAAAACUAUAUAUAUAUAUAUAAAGCUUUUUACAUAUCUAUUUAAUUUUUGAUGUGGCCUAUUCAUUUUAUUAUAGGCAAAGCUUAAUUAUUAAGCUAAGCCUAUAAUUUUCAUUUAUAUAUGGUUAAUAUGCGUGUAAUAUAAAUAUAUUAUUAUAUCAGCAAAACAUGUAUUGAAAACCUAUUAUUAUAUAAAAACAAUAAACAGAACCGAAGAAGUGAACCAUAAAAAAAACCCUUUAACACCGGUUCUGCAACGUGGCAGCCCUGGCAGGACCCUUUAACACCGAUUGGUAUUACCAACCGGUGUUAAAGGAGGGGCUUUAGCCACGGUUGCCCGAAUCGGGACUAAAGGGUGGGCAUUUACUAGUAAACAUGUAUGAUUAAAGAAGAAUCUAAUAAUAUCCUUUAUUUGUCUAGUUACUUCAACAAAUCUUCUACAUUAUACAAUGGACAUUAUGUAGUAAUAAAAAUAAAUCAAGUGAUAUUAACAAACCAAAUAAUUUGAACUAUCCUACUUUCUAAGAUCAUAAAAAGAUACUAUAAUUCAUUCUUGCAAACUACAUUAAUACUAGGUCAACCAUGAAAUAUGAUAUAUAUAUAUAUGGAUACUAAUUUAUGUGAAUGAUUCAAAAUAACAAAGUGAAUUUGAGCUAAAAAUAAUGGGAACAUCACAAGCCAAAAACAACAUGAAAAAGACAAGAAAGACAAAAGUUAGUCACCUCCAAACACGAAGAAACGAUGACGGAGUCGAGAUCAACGAUGGGCGUCGGAGAUGAAGAACAAAUGAGGAAGAAGAAGCUCCAAGAACAACAAUGGUGAAUGGUGCUCUCGGUUUCAAAUGGGCAGAGAGGAGGAGGGAUCCGGCCUAUAAACCGGACCUUUAGCACAGGUUCAGGGCAAAAACCGGUGCUAAAGGGUGACCCUUUAGCACUGGUUUGUGUUACAAACCGGUGCUAAAGGCUUUGCCUCGGCCCGUGGCGCUGGCCGGUGCUAAAGGGGUCUUUACCCCCGGGCCAAAAAAAGGCCGAGGUUUUUGGCCAUUUUGGGCAUGGACCAAUGCCUCAUUUUGUAGUAGUGAUAGUUUUUAUAUAUAGUGUCUAUAAAAAUUAAUAGGUAUAGAAACUAUAUAUAGUUUCUAGCAGGGAGUGCCCUAAUAGGAAUAGUCAUUGUACGUGCACGGCUACGACCAGGUUCCUAGAAGGUUACUUAUAUGGUUUUGUUUAUUAAUUAUGCUGUUAAUUGCUAUAUUUUUCAUGUUGUAUUUAUGCAGUAAUUUUGUAGAAUUUUAUAUUUCACACAAUAAACUAUACAGCAUUGGCUCUAGCGUACAAAUUCAUCAUAUCGGCUCUGCCACCAUGCGCUGGCUGCAACUGGGCAUGCUUGCUAGUGAAGGCACAAAUUCCUACUCAUGCUCGUUACUGCCGCAGCCAUUAAUUUACGGUUUAGAGCGACUCUACCGAAAUGAAAAAAACUUAAUUCUUCCCUAUAUUUCUUUUAUCGGGUAUAUUUUGAAUGCACAUAACUCAUACACUCUAGACUCACAUACACGCGUGCGCCUCUGUAUGAAUGCAAAGAAAAAACAUGUAGUACGACUAAACAAGCAAGCGUGUUUAUACCCUAAAUUUUCUAGAAAAAAAAUAAUAAAAAGGUGCGACCCUAGCGUAGCGUCCAACUAGACAGUCCUAUGACUCGAUUACUGGCCCAUCCUUUGGUUACGUUCAGGUUUAAAAAUAGGCUCGUUGAAGCAGAUUCAGAAAAUCUUCAUCCUUUACUUUAGGCUGUACUGUUUGCUAGUUUAUUGUAAGAUAAAAAUAUUGUUAAAUUAUUAAUAGUAGAUUGGGCUGAUAAGCUCAAGUGACCAAUGCAUAGGUCAUAAGAAUUCUCUCUAUCCUUUUUUUCUCCCUCUCUUAUCACGCCACCUACUCGCUAGCUCCGUGCGGCCGCAUGAUCCCCACAUGGAAUCUUGGUGUGGCGAUGAAAACUUGUGCAGACACUCAAUGCUAUGGUAUGGAACCUGGGUACCUGACUUAAGUGACGGCCUGUAUGACACUACAUAUUUAAUUGUUCUCAAGCAAAGUCACCAAAAAUGUAUGUUGAUACAAAGAAGCGAUCACACAUAACAUAAUAGCGCUAGAGUAGCAGAUCAGUGAGCCCUCGUUGAGAAUACAUGUACUGGUCAAUCCAGUAUUGACAAAAACAUGCAUGCAUGACAAUCCAGCACGACAUUCCAAUAAACCCUCAACAAGAACCCAUGCACAUGUUGGACCAUCCAGUGUUUCAUGCUAUGAAUUGCACACUGGAAACCUAUGAACACCUUCUAGAAAGGACGUGGGGGAAUGAACCUAGAGUUGUUGUAGGAUUGGCAUAUCCAGCUAGAACAUCCGCAAACUCUGAUCCAUCGAGAAGCUUGUAGAUGACAAUGGAUAUAGACACCGUACCCAACGAGCUAGCAUUUGGAAAAGCUAGGUAGUAAUAUAUUGGUUUUAAUUUUUUAUUGGAUCACUCAAUCGGAUGACCCUUAAUAUUUAAAGGGUGGGAGGUCUAUCCUAGAGGUGUCUGAAUACAUCAUGAAGAAAACUGAUCAAAAUCAAACAUAAAGAAGAAAUUGACACUACGUGAAAAACUUAGUAAGAGAGCGCCCCUCCCACACUGUAGGGGCGGCUAACAUUUGAACCGCCCUUACAGUGGGUGGGCAGGUAACUAGGGAGUGAACCGUCCUUGCAGUGUUCUCUGUAGGGGCAGUUGGUGUUACCAGCCAGCCUUACAGUGGGGGAGGCACUGUAGGGUAACACCAGCCGCCCCUAUAGUGGUCUGUAGCAUAAGUGGCCAGCCCACUCUUCUUCCUCCCCGAGUCACUCACUUCCACUCGCAAAAAAAAGCUUGGGAGGCCUUGGGCACCUCCCUAAAAUCACUCUAGUAAGGGGGGAGGUUUUGAACUUAAAUCCUUUGGUGGGGAGCUUGUUUAAGGUAAGAAACUUCUAUUCCCACCCUCUAAUCCAAGUCUUAUUGGUUGGUUAGUGAGCAAUUUACAUUUUGGUUUUCUCUCUCUUCCAUAGAGCUUGAGCUUUGUGUUGACCAAAUUAGAGCUUAUCUAUGAUGCUAUUAGUGUAUAAUAGGUAGAGACACCACCUUGCACCAUCAAUUUGGUGAUAUAGCUUGAUUUUAAUGGAGAUUAAUUGUAGUUUCAUGUAUGGAGAGAAAAGGCAUUCUAGAUCUAGGGUUUCCUUUUUUUGUUUUUGUUUCAUAAAAUUGGAAUGUGGUUGGCAUGAAUAGUUAUUGGUAAACUAAUAGUUGUCGCUAAUAUUAAUUGUUUCUAAUAAUGGUAGAUAAUAACUGGUAUUAUUAAUUAUGUCUAAUUAUCAUUUCUAACACAAUUAUUACUAAUAAUGAUAGCUAAUAAUUGUUGCUAAUAAUGGUAGAUAAUAAUUGUUACUUAUUAAUUGUUGCUAAUAAUGGUAGAUAAUAAUUGGUACUAUUAAUUAUGUCUAAUAAUCGUUUCUAACACAAUUAUUGCUAAUAAUGAUAGCUAAUAAUUGUUGCUCAUAAUGGUAGAUAAUAAUUGUUACUUAUUAAUUGUUGUUAAUAAUUAUUCUCAACUAAUUCAUUUUUUUUAUUUAUGUAAAGAUGGAGAAUAGGGCUACUUGGAUGUAUGGUUUGGCAAGGUACUCGCAAGCCUAUGUUGAUGAGGUGGACAAAUUUAUUCCAAUCACGGUGAAUCAUGCAAAGACGUUGUGAGCAGGAAAUAAUUGUUCAGUUAUUUGUCCCUGUAAAGAUUGCAAGAACCACUUAGCAACUUAUGAUGUGGAAAUCAUCAGAUCACAUCCGAGUAUGGCUCCAUCAUGGUGAAGUAAUGUUUCUUGACGGCAACGAUGAUGACCAAGAAGACGAUGCUGAAGAAGGCCAAUUGUUGUCCCAAUACACAGACAUGUUUGAAGCAUAAAUGCAACAUGAUUCAGCCAAUGAACAAGCACGUGGUGAUGUUGCCGGUGGUGUCGACAAUAAUGAUGGGGAUGUUGGCGGUGUUGACAAUAAUGAUGCGGGAGCAUGUGAGGGGGAUGCAGAAAACUUUGACAACUUAGAGGAAAUGCUUGGGGCCAUUGGACCAGAAAUACUACAACAGAAGAAGAAGGGUCUAGAAAAUCUAGAGCGGGUGAAAUUAGCGUCAAAGGAGACUAUGCAUGGUGUUGAGAAGGGUUGUCCAACACACUAGACACUGCUCCGUUUUGUGCUUGAGCUACUCAUCCUAAAGGCUAAGUACGGCUGGUCAGACUGCAGUUUUGACGAUUUGUUGCAUCUUCUGUCAUCUGUGCUGCCACUGCCGAACUUAGUUCCCUCCAACACAUACCAUGCUAAGAAGGUCAUAAGUCCAUUGACAAUGGGCGUUGAAAAGAACCAUGCAUGCCCCAACCAUUGUAUCCUUUUUCGUGGUAAACCGUUCGAAGGUCUGGAUAAAUGUCCUCGUUGUGGGGCAAGUCGGUACAAGGACAAUGACCUUUACAGUGGUAGAGAAGCCUCCACCGGGAACAAGAGGAAUAAGAAGGGUUCCAAAAAGGUGGUACAAGAAUCUCGACCUCUAGAGGACACCCCAUUAGGCAACAACACAAAGAAGAGAAAAAUUCCUACCUUGGUAAUGUGGUAUCUGCUAGUGACCGACCACUUGAGGCGUAUUUUCCUGAACCCUAAGGAAGCCGCGCUCAUGACAUGGUGGGACGAUGAGCGCAAGGUCGAUGACAAUGUGAUUGCACACCCGACCGAUAGCAGUCAGUGGCAGGACUUCGAUAAUAACAACCCACUGUUUAGUUCGGACCCAAGAAAUGUACGGUUUGCCUUGAGCACCGAUGGAAUGAAUCCCUUCAACGAGAGGAUGAGCAACCAUAGCACUUAGCCAGUGAUCUUGACCAUGUACAACAUCCCAAUGUGGUUGUGUCGGAAGAGAAAACAUAUUUUCCUCACUAUUCUUGUUUCUAGCCCUCAGCAACCAGGCUUUGAUAUGGACGUGUUCCUCGAGCCUGUGAUGGAAGAAUUCAAGAAACUAUGGAGGACAGGGGAGCUGAUGUAUGAUGCAUUCCAAAAGGAGACCUUCACAUUAAGAGCAAUAAUAUUUGUGACUAUCAACGACCACCCUACGUUGUUUGCCGUGUCUGGACAAAUCAAAGGCAAGAUGGGAUGCUUAGUCUGUCUGAAUGAUACUAAAUGGGUGUACCUAGAUGGAUCUAAGAAGACUGUUUACAUCAGGAAUCGUCACUUUUUAAAGCAAGGUCACAAGUACCGCAGCAAACUGUACUUAAAGUAUUUUGGCAACAUCCCAGAGGAUGAAGAUCGACCUCCGGAGAGAUGUCAUGAUGGACAAUAUGUGUUCCAAAUGGUGAAAAUAUAAGCCUCAUCUAUGGAAAGAAGAAAAUGGAUGGAACACCUAGAGAUAGAAGCACACCUCCAAUUGAAGGCAUGCCUUUUAAGAAAAAGUCAAUCUUCUUUCAGUAUCUUGAAUAUUGGCCACAAUUGGAGGUCCCCCAUGCCAUUGAUGCUAUGCAUGUGCAGAAGAAUGUCUUUGAGAGUCUCAUCGCUACCUUGAUGCACACACCGAAGUCAAAGGAUAGUCUCAAAGCAAGGAGAGACAUGGAGCAGCUACAUGUGAUGCUAGAGCUUCACCCGGUACUUGAGACAAAAACUGGAAAAUACACCCUACCCGCGGCUAGCUACAACCUAUACCUAGAAUAGAGGAGAGGUUUAUGCACUUCUGUGAAGGGGAUCAAAGUCCCGACUGGGUUUUCAGCAAACCCGAAGAAUCUAGUGUCGAUGAAGGACCUGUCAUUUCCACAUUGCAAGGCUCAUGAUUGUCAUAUGAUGCUGACGGUGUUCCUACCAAUCGUAAUAAGGGCUAUCAAGCCAGAGUUUUUGAAGAUGGCUAUCACCCGCAUGUGCUACUUCUGGUCGAAGAUCUCACAGAAGAAGAUUAGCAAGACAGAGCUGAGUGACCUACAAGAUUUGGUCUUAGAGACCCAAAACCAACUAGAGAUGUGUGAAAGCCCUAGUUUGGUUUUGGAUAAUUGAUGAAACCCUUGUACUAACCUCUAUACUAAGUAUGUGUGUAGACUUAAUGAGGUUGGUACAUGCCAAGUGAUGGAGCAAGUGAUGAUCAUGGUGAUGACCACAAGAUGAUAAAGUGCUCAACUUGGAAAAGAAGAAAGAGAAAAACAAAACCCUAUGGAGAUCAAGGCAAAGGUAUUGCUUAGGGUUUUGGUUUUGGUGAUCAAGACACUUGUUGACGGUCCUUAAGUAUCAAAUUUAAUUAUCAAAUAAAUAAAGAAAAGGAUCCAAAUGAAAUCAACAUCUAGAUUUAGGGUUUUAUCUGACAGAAUUCCACGAGUUUUGGUGUUUGUCUAUUUCUGCAGGGGGUUAUCAGGAAAUACGGAAUAAAGGCCCACACGUCGGGAUUACAUAGAGAUAUUAACGUGCCGCGCAAUUAUCUUACAUCUAGAAGACUCCAGAAGCCACGAGACUGAAGCGGAGGCGAAACGGGGCCAGAGGCAGGGCGCCCGCCCUCCUGCCCUGGGCGCCUGCCCCCUCUAGGAGUCCAAUCAGGACUCUGCUUCGCGGGAGAUCUCCACCGACCUAAAGGUUGAAUCUAAACCAUACAAUCUAUGUCGGUUUGAUCCAACGGCCCAUAUUCACUUGAAGGGACUAUAAAACUAGACCCCCUGGCCCCGGGAGGAGAGAGCCUCUCAACCCUAAUUCAUUAUUCCUCAAGGGAGAAGAAGCCUCUGAUCAAGAUUAGAGCCACCACAUCAAUUAGAUAUCUAGAUUAGCAUAGCUACAUAGGAUUAGAACUAGAAGGAGUCAAUCUUCGAUUGGUUUCCGGAUCUGUCAAGAGGAUUCUUGGUAAUUCUCUAAUUGUGCUUCUAAUUGCUUUCUAAUUAUCUUUGUUCUUCAAUAUUAUGAAUAUGACUUUGUUCUACUUCAAUAUAUUGCUUAUGACUUUGCUCUACUUGCUUAUAUUCAAGAUUAUAUUGUUCUUAGUUUAUCAUAGUUAUGUACUUGGCUUAGUUAGAUUGGAUCUAUAUACAUGCUUAGGAUCGUAUAGCGUUUAUCCAUCGGAUCCAUGGGUAAAUGAUAGAUAUUGUGUAGACGUGGUGCUUAUACCGUAUUUAUCUGCGAUUGUACCCAAUAUGCCAGAUCGUGGGGUGGUUCGUGAUAGUGACAGCUUCAUUGAUUCUUAUAUAGUCCCCCUCUCGUGUAUUGGGCUGGCAGAGCAACAUUAUUACAGGGGAGUGAUUGCUAUGUUUCUCAUAUUCCUUGCUAAUAUCACUAUGCAUGGGCGUAGUCUUAUCUCGCAAUGAUUGCUAAGUAUGCUUGCACUAACUAUGAUAAUGCUAGACUAUAUAGUUGAGAAUAACUUAGGGAAUAUUCUUGUAGUUCGUUCUAAUACCAUGCUAAUGACUCUCUAGAGUAUCUAAUUGAGGUGCUUAUCAUAUUUAUUAUGUGGCUAGAUCAGAUUAAUUAUCCUUGUCACUAUUCAUUAUUUCAUAUAUCUUUUAUGUGACACUUAUCCCUGUAUGAUGAGUUAGAUAUAAUGUUCUCAAUUAUACAUGCAAUGGUAGAUGCUCAAUCUCAUAUUCUAUUUUGUAAUCAAUAGUGAUGAUUGCUAAUCCCUUCCCAAUGGUAAAAAUAUAAAUAACGAUACCUGGAAUACUUCCCGGUUAAAAUGCUGCAUUGGUAUUAAUCUGUGCGCUUGCAGAUCCCAUUCAUUAUUUAUUUAGAAGAGCAAUUGCAUAUUUCAAUACCGCGUCUCAUAUAUCAUGCUGGGGAUGACAACUUGGCUUAAGUGGUGUGAGGGAUAGGUUUGGCAUUUUUGGCACCGUUACUAGAUUUAGAGAACUUAGUCUACUUUUGGUAAUGAUGUUAAGAAUUCCCAACAAGCAUUUUUGGCGCCGUUGCCGGGGAAGGUUGAUUACUAAUCAGGAAUAGAAUAAAAGAUUUUGAGUUAUCAUUCGCAUCACUAAUAUGAUUGAGCUUAUCUAUUCUCUCAUACAGUUUUACCCCGAUAUUUUCCUAUUUCAUCUUAUGCAGGGGAAUGUAUGAAUAGAAGACAUCUUCCAGGAAAUUUUGUUGACAAUCCCGAAGCAUUAUUCAAGAAGACGAGAGCCAAGCUAAAGAAAUCAUCAACACUUCAGCAAGAAGCUUCAUCCAAUCAAGAAGAUCACUGGAACUUGUCUUCAGAGUUCGAAGCCAUGGCAAACAAAUCAAUCCGCGAGUUCUCAGCUCCCACUACGGACAACAUCCGCACUAGACCUGCUGCAGAGAUUGAUGGCAACUUUGAGCUCAAGCCUGGACUUAUCAACAUGGUGCAAUCCAACCAGUUCUGUGGGAAGGCACACGAAGAUGCUAGUGCUCAUUUACAACACUUCCUGGAGAUUUGCAACACAUUCACCGUAUCAAGAGUUCCCAAAGAUGCUAUACUACUUUGCCUCUUCCCAUUCUCACUGUUAGGAAGAGCGAAGCAGUGGUUCUACGCUACAAAGGAGAAGAAUACUACGUGGGCACUCUGCUCAACAAACUUCCUGGCUAAGUUCUUUCCCAUGGGCAGGACCAAUGCUCUCCGUGGGAAGAUUACAAGUUUUCAGCAACAAAAUGAUGAAUCUGUUCCAGAAGCAUCGGAGCGCUUUCAAGACUACAUCCUAGAAUGUCCACAUCAUGGAAUGGAGAGUUGGCUAUUGAUGCAGACGUUUUAUCAUGGGCUCGGCAACAGUGCCCGAGAGACCAUGGAUGCUGCAGCUGGAGGAGCAUUUUUAUCACUUACUAUACCACAAGCCACAGCUCUUGUGGAGAAGAUGGCGUCCAAUCAAAGCUGGAAUGAAGAGAGGACCCAGACACGCAAGAGAGGUGGAGGUAUGCAUCAGCUGAAGGAGGUAGACAUGCUGUCUGCAAAGCUAGACCUGCUCAUGAAGAAGCUCGACGAUAGAGCUGGAGAUAAGAAAGAAGUUAUGCACAUCUACGACUCUCACAUGACUUGUGAGGAGUGUGGAGACACUGGACACUCAGGCAACCACUGCCCUGAGAUACUUGAGGAUGUGAACUACAUCAACAACAACAACAACAACAACUACUACAACCGUCCUCAACAAAAUCAAGGUUGGAAUCAACAGAGGCCUAACUACUCAGGUAAUUAUCAAGGUAACAAUUCUUACAACAACAAUAAUAAUUUUCCACCUUUGAGAGAGUUGGUGUCUAAUCAAGGAAAGCUAAUGGAUAACCUAUCUAAGAAAUUGGCAUCUAAUGAUAAAAUGCUAGAAAAUAUAAAUAAUAGAAUGGAUAAUUUCUCUACGGCCAUCAAGAAUCAAAUUAGCUUUAAUAAAAUGAUUGAAUCUCAGUUAAAUCAAAUAGCUGCUGCUGUUCCUACUACUAACCCCGGUAUACCAUCACAACCGGAAGGAUUAGAUUUUGCAAAUCUUGUAGACACGUUUGAUGCAGGUAAUUGGAGUAACCCCGUCAAUGAAUUCUCUACUCACCUUCUGCCGGUCAAGAGAGGCGAUCCAGGACGCCCCGUCAUCCCGAUCUCUAUCGGCAUGGUGGACGUUCCAGAAGCACUCUGCGACUUUGGCUCCAGUGUCAACAUUAUACCCAGGGUACUCUAUGAAAAAUUCUUUUCAUAUCCUUUAUUAGAAACAACCAUGUGUUUGCAGUUUGCAGAUCAGACGAUAACUUUUCCAAAGGGAAUAUUGAAGAACCUUUGUGUCCGAGUUGGUACCUUAUAUGCCCUAGCAGACUUCGUAGUGGUAGAGACCGGAAAUGAUGAGAGAGCACCUAUCAUCUUAGGGAGGCCAUGCUUGAAUACCACGGGAGCUAUCAUCUACGCUAGAGCUGCCAAGAUCAGUUUCUACAUCAAAGGGAGGAAGGAGAUAUUUUUCUUCAAGAACAAGACUACACAAAUUCCAGAUCAAUCCAGACGUGAAUCAAGGAAGAGGACCAACAGGAGGAACAGGAACAAGCAAGUGUGGACCGAGUCAGCUAAGAUGGUCACUGUAGUUCAUGGAGGCCAAGAUCACCAACUUAAGUCACCGCUUUUGACCAAGAAGGACGACCCAGGAAUGCCAAGCAUUUACUGCUCCAUAAAUGGAUACAACUUCUACAAGACAUUUUGUGACACCGGAUCGGGCGUCAACAUAAUGGCCGCAGUCACUUAUCGGCUCUUGUUCGGGACCAUGCCACUAAGACCAACAUACAUUCAGCUCCAGAUGGCAGAUCAGACAUUUCGAGAAGUUAAAGGAAUAGUAACUGAUGUCCCAGUCAAAAUAGACGAUCACUUUGUCUACACAGACUUUCAAGUUAUUGACAUGGGAGAAGAUGAGUAUGAUCCACCCAUCAUCCUUGGAAGACCGUUCCUCAGCACCGUUAAAGCAAUUAUCUACAUUGGAACCGGAGAAGUCCAUAUGCACUUCCCCUCAGAGAAGGUACGCCGUUAUUUUACUGACCCUAACUAUAUCGUUGAAGAAUCUAAGCAUGUAAGAAAACGACGCAACCGCAACCAGAGGAGGCAGAUCAUCAAGGACGGAUGGGCAGACUAUGAAGGAGAAGUUGUAAGGUCAGAAGACGUAGAGUUUAAACAUAAUUAUCCAGAGGAGACUGAAGCACCAAGUCAGGUGUGGAAAAUGAAGAUAACUAUACACGAAGAGGAGGCGCUGCCAGAAGUACCGACUACGCCACCCAACGAACCUCAGGACAAUUGAGAAAAUGGAGAGUCCCGUUCGGAGGACUUAAAAACACCGAACGCCUUGCCAAGAGGUAAACUUGGUAGUUAUCUUUUCCCUUUCAAAUUAUUUUAAAUAGUUCACUUAGUUAAUCAUAUUCAUACUAUCUUAAAAAUAAAAGAAAAUAAAAAUGUGAAAAACAGUAAGCCCUAUGUGAGUAUACGAGUGGCAUAAAACCCAUAAGUACAUUCACUGUGGUGGCAUAAAAAUAAAAUAAAUAUUUUUCUGCUUUAUAAAAUGAAAAUAUAAAAAAACAGGGAGUAAUAAUUAUUAAGGAGUCUCAAGAUAAUAAAGGCUAGAUAUUUAUGCUAACACUUAAUCAGUUCCACAAGCUUUGUUGUCUAUUUGAGCUCCACAGAAUUUAAGAGUCAAGAAGACUAGCAGACGGAGGACAUUCUAAUCGCUGUCAGAAUGCUGCUGACUUUCAAAUACACCUCUGCCACCUGCUAGCUACAUCAAGAGAAAUUACGUCAAAAUUCAGCUUGGGGGAGAGCACCCCCAUUUAUCUCGAUAAGUAUUUCUAUCUAUCUAUCUUUAUACUCAUAUUAUCUUAGAAUAUAAAUAUACAUAACUAUGAAAAAACCAAAUAAAGAUUUUAUGCUUAUUUAUAUAUCUUUUGCUUAGUGUGUUUAAUAAAUAAAUAAAGUGGCUAUGCUAAUCUGUAUCUAAAUAAAAAUUAAGCAUGGAUAUGAUGAAUAGUUGCUCUGCCUAAUUUGCACAUUUUAAGUUCUCUCUCAAGUUUAGAUAUAACUGUUAUAAUUUAAAACUUGCUCUAGACCUAAACUUGUGGGAUGAAAACUUGAUCUGAAGUCUAAGUUGUUAACGGAUACGAUAUGGGAAGGUUGAGCUGCUGUUUAUCUGUUCCUAGAGAUGCUAGAAUUCUGGAGAAUUUUAUCUUUGAAAAUCUUUUAAAAUGUUGCAUGAUGAGUUCCUGUAUGAUGAGAGUUUAAAUUCCUACCACAGCCAUAUAUACAUGCUUGCUAGACUUUGAGCCACACAUUUACUAUUUACUGCUUAUGAGCAUUGAGUGUGGUCAAGCUGUGUAGACACUUAGGAACUUGUCAUGUGGUUAAAUCAAGAUUUCACUUGCACGUUCACUCAUAUAUGCUACUUCUACUCCAGAAGUACCAUCCACAUAUAUCCAUCCAUUUCCAUCUCCAGAACCACCUAAAAAUAUUCUACUCCUAAUCCAGGAGAGAAUAACCAAAAAUAUUUUUGUUUUUCCUUGUGAAAUAAAUGCUCAAGUUAUCUUGUUACUACCACUUGCUAUAUUAUCUCAUGAGAUGAGUGCUUUCUAAAAAAAAGAGAAAUACGAGGAAAUAAAAAGGAGCAAGUGCUCGAAACCUCGAAAGAAAAGAAAAAGUGAGACGAGAGGUAAAAAUGGACAAGUGUCCGACAGUAGAAUUAGUGGUGCAAGAUACCCACCUGAGAGAAAAGAAAAAGAAGAGCAUCUCAUUCUCCUCAUAAAGUUUCAAAAAAGCAAGGAAGGUAUGUAUCCCCUCAAAGAGCAAAGUAGAAUUAGACUUCCACCACCAUUGUUUUCACCAUUGUUAUCACCAUCAUCACCAUACAUCAUUCAUUCGCCACACAUGCACAUCUUGAUUAAACUCAUUGGCUUGUUUCUUUGGAUCCAUGGUUUGACUAUGCAAUACAUGUCUUGUAAGUAUGUAUACUUUAUUUCCCACCUAUGAGCUCCAGAUAUUAAAGCCUUAUUAGAGUAGGAUGAGAGAGAAGGCAAUGUCACUAUGCCUUAUACCACAAAUACCACAUAUCUUGAGAGAAGGCAUAUACCAUCACUGCCUUGGUAAGGAUCCAGAAAUACCACAAAAGAGAGACCUGAGAGAAUCAUACAAGGAAUCUCUGAGUUUUAUUUGAAAAUCUGCAAAAACCCCAGAGCUAUAGCUGAUCAAGAAUAAGAGACAUGGCACUUGACUAGACUGUUCUAUCUUUUAACCUCUCAAGACAGAAGUGACAGUUACAAGCCCAUAGUGACGGUAAAGUAAGUAAGUUUUAAGUCUUGACAGUUUACUCUAGCUUAGAGAUGAGAUCUUAUUUAAAAAGCAUGUGUACCGUCAAUUUUUAAAUAUAUUGCAAUAACUUAUGAUCCAUAGCUGAGUCUAUCCUUGCUCAGGGACGAGCAAGAGGUAAGCUUGGGGGAGUUUGUUGACGGUCCUUAAGUAUCAAAUUUAAUUAUCAAAUAAAUAAAGAAAAGGAUCCAAAUGAAAUCAACAUCUAGAUUUAGGGUUUUAUCUGACAGAAUUCCACAAGUUUUGGUGUUUGUCUAUUUCUGCAGGGGGUUAUCAGGAAAUACGGAAGAAAGGCCCACACGUCGGGAUUACAUAGAGAUAUUAACGUGCCGCGCAAUUAUCUUACAUCUAGAAGACUCCAGAAGCCACGAGACCGAAGCGGAGGCGAAACGGGGCCAGAGGCAGGGCGCCCGCCCUCCUGCCCUGGGCGCCCGCCCCCUCUGGGAGUCCAAUCAGGACUCUGCUUCGCGGGAGAUCUCCACCGACCUAAAGGAUGAAUCUAAACCAUACAAUCUAUGUCGGUUUGAUCCAACGGCCCAUAUUCACUUGAAGGGACUAUAAAACCAGACCCCCUGGCCCCUGGAGGAGAGAGCCUCUCAACCCUAAUUCAUUAUUCCUCAAGGGAGAAGAAGCCUCUGAUCAAGAUUAGAGCCACCACAUCAAUUAGAUAUCUAGAUUAGCAUAGCUACAUAGGAUUAGAACUAGAAGGGGUCAAUCUUCGAUUGGUUUCCGGAUCUGUCAAGAGGAUUCUUGGAAAUUCUCUAAUUGUGCUUCUAAUUGCUUUCUAAUUAUCUUUGUUCUUCAAUAUUAUGAAUAUGACUUUGUUCUACUUCAAUAUAUUGCUUAUGACUUUGCUCUACUUGCUUAUAUUCAAGAUUAUAUUGUUCUUAGUUUAUCAUAGUUAUGUACUUGGCUUAGUUAGAUUGGAUCUAUAUACAUGCUUAGGAUCGUAUAGCGUUUAUCCAUCGGAUCCAUGGGUAAAUGAUAGAUAUUGUGUAGGCGUGGUGCUUAUACCGUAUUUAUCUGCGAUUGUACCCAAUAUGCCAGAUCGUGGGGUGGUUCGUGAUAGUGACAGCUUCAUUGAUUCUUAUAUAGUCCCCCUCUCGUGUAUUGGGCUGGCAGAGCAACAUUAUUACAGGGGAGUGAUUGCUAUGUUUCUCAUAUUCCUUGCUAAUAUCACUAUGCAUGGGCGUAGUCUUAUGUCGCAAUGAUUGCUAAGUAUGCUUGCACUAACUAUGAUAAUGCUAGACUAUAUAGUUGAGAAUAACUUAGGGAAUAUUCUUGUAGUUCGUUCUAAUACCAUGCUAAUGACUUUCUAGAGUAUCUAAUUGAGGUGCUUAUCAUAUUUAUUAUGUGGCUAGAUCAGAUUAAUUAUCCUUGUCACUAUUCAUUAUUUCAUAUAUCUUUUAUGUGACACUUAUCCCUGUAUGAUGAGUUAGAUAUAAUGUUCUCAAUUAUACAUGUAAUGAUAGAUGCUCAAUCUCAUAUUCUAUUCUGUAAUCAAAAGUGAUGAUUGCUAAUCCCUUCACAGUGGUAAAAAUAUAAAUAACGAUACCUGGAAUACUUCCCGGUUAAAAUGCUGCAUCGGUAUUAAUCUGUGCGCUUGCAGAUCCCAUUCAUUAUUUAUUUAGAAGAGCAAUUGCAUAUUUCAAUACCGCGUCUCUUAUAUCAUGCUGGGGAUGACAACUUGGCUUAAGUGGUGUGAGGGAUAGGUUUGGCAUUUUUGGCACCGUUACUAGAUUUAGAGAACUUAGUCUACUUUUGGUAAUGAUGUUAAGAAUACCCAACAACACCAUAGAGGGUGUGAUCACAUUUAGGAUAGAUAGCCGUACUAUAAAGAGGGGAAUUCUUUGGCUAAGCGGUUAUCAAGUGCCACUAGGUGUCAUUGUUCAUGUGCAUGCAUUUAGAACCUAGUGAGCUAACUUAACUCCUUCGAAGAAAAUAAUUGUGAAAAUGCUAACACACGUGCACAUGUUGGUUUACACAUUGUGGUGUUGUCUCACUUUGAGAAGGAGGUGGAGUUUGAUGGGUAGAGAGGGUUUGGGUUUAGGGUUCGGCGCUUUUGAGAAAAUAAAGUGCAUAUUUUCUAUUGCGCCGGUGGGAACUUUGGAGAAGUUGCGGGACUGUUCCUCGCUAAGAAACACUCACCGGACGCUGGUCAUUGACUUCUACGUCCAGUGCUAUCUGACUUCUGCGAGUAAACCUAUCUGGAAGCACCGGACGCUCAGGGAGUGUCCGGUGGUGUGCGUCCGGUGACCUACGCGUUUUGCAGACCUCCCUGAGUUUAAGACCGGUGCAAACUUAAGUGCGUCUGGUGCUCUGCAUGUGACCGUUAGAGAUCAACGCACGAAAGUGAAAAAGGCAACACGUGGCAGUUUUCAGGGCACUGGACGCAGGGCUUGAGCGUCCGGUGGUUCCCUGCGGUGCGUCCGGUGACCCCGUUUUUCGCCCAGUGAAAGAGCCAACGGCUCUUUUUAUUUGAGGGGUCUAUAAAUACGUGUUUGGCCGGCUUGGGGCUCACUCUCUUGGUAUUCUUGACUACUAUACAUCCUUGUGAGCCUAAGCAAACACCUCCCACUCAUCUUCUUCAUAGAUUAUUCAUCUUUGUGAGAUUGGGAGUGUUUCCAAGUGUAUUUGCUUGACUGAUUGCAUCUAGUGGCACUUGGGGAUCGUUCUAGCUGCGGUUUUCUUGUUACUCUUGGUGGUUGCCGCCACCUAGACAGCCUGGAGCAGCGGAGGAGGAUUGGCACGAGUUGGUGAUUGUUCGUGGCCAUCUCCUAGUGAUUGUGAGGGGUCUUGUACCUUCCCCGGCAGAGAGCCGAAAGGUAACUCUAGUAAAGUGCUCAUGUCAUUGAGUUACCUCACUUGUGGGUAGGUUCUUGUGGUGUCCUAGUGAGGACGAGGUUCAUGCUACACCUCUUAGCCACCGAACCACCAUGUGUUGGUCGACACAACGUGGACAUAGCGUUCCGGCAAGCACGUGAACCUCGAGAGAAAAAUUAGUGUCUCAAUUGUGUUUGAUUGACAUUCUCCCGGUGCUUGAUUGUUUAUAUUAGUGAUUGGUUCAUCCCCUUCACGGCGGUAUAAAUAUCUCAUCCUAUCUUUACUUACAGCAAAGUAGUGUAAUUAGUUUAAUUACUUACUUUGACUUGUGUAGCUUAGUUCACUUGUGUCCCUUGUAGAGACUUAGUUCUUGUGUGCAUAGUGAUCAUAGCAACUAGAUUUGUUGGGUAGGUGGCUUGCAUUCACCCCUUUAGAGCUAGAGGAAGAAGCUUCGCUUUGUUAUUUACUAACUACUUGCUCUAGUGAUUUUGUAGAAUUUUUAAAUAGGCUAUUCACCGCCCCUCUAGCCAUAUUAGGACCUUUCAAUGUGUUUACCUCCCGCUUUCUUCGACCCUAUGGUACAUCUCAUGAUUCACAUGGUUCAUCAGAUACAGGUGUUGGGCCCUUGCUACUUGCAUGAAAUGUGGUCGUAUGAGCGGUUCAUGUCGGUUCUAAGCCAAUACGUGCAUAAUCGUGCAUACCCAGAGGGCUCUAUGAUAGAGGGCUACAACAGUGAAGAAGUCAUCGAGUGCUAUCAAGAGUACCUAAAAGUACAGAGAGGGAUUGGUAUUCCUGAUUGUCACUACAAGGGUAGGCUGGCUGGGAAGGGCACAAAUGGUAGAAAAAUCUUCAUCGACAAUGAAUACACAGAAGUGAGCCGGGCGCACUACGCUGUCUUAGUGAGCACAAAACUGAUGGAACCAUAUAUUGAUGAACACAUAGAGAUCAUCCAAUCAGAGAGAAAUGGUCGUACAGGUGAUUGGGUCAUGAAACAACACAAGCAACGCUUAACUUCAUGGUUGAAGGACCAAAACAUAUAGCCUGGAGAAACCAUAGAUUCUAUUACCAUCAGUAAGUUGGCUGCGGGGCCAUCAAGACAGGUGACAUCUUGGAGUUCUUAUGAGAUCAAUGGGUACACAUACUAUACCCACGCAAAGGAUAGUAAAUGUGUGAACCAAAACAGUGGUGUUCGAGCAGUGGCUAUCGGCGCAGGGGGUAAAAGAUCGACUACUUUGGCAUAAUUGAAGAUAUAUGGGAACUUGACUAUGGAACUGAGGCACUAAAUGUGGCCCUAUUUCGAUGUCGCUGGAUCAAGCAACAUGAAUUCAAUGAAAACCGAUUGAGGUUCGUGGACCUUCAGAACAUAGGCUACCAGGAUGAUCCAUGGGUCCUUGCUUCACAUGUUACAUAGGUUUUCUAUAUGACCGACCCGCUCAGCAUUGUCCCCCCAAAGAAGAAACCUAAGCAUGUGGUUAUCCCUAGAAAACAACACAUUAUCGGAGUUGAUGGCGUUGAUGAUGUUGAAGCCUACAAUAAGUGCGAUCAGAUGCUGCUAUUCCCAGACUUUAUUAACAAGAUCGUUGUUGUGGAAAAAAACCUACUCAAAGACGUAUUGCCAUGGGAACAAAAAGGUGUGAAGUGGAAAACUGUUACAGCGUCGGAUACUAAUAAAUAGUCAUAUGUAUGUGUGUGAGACUACAUUUAUGUAUGCAUGUGAGACUACAUUUAUGUAUGUGUGUGAGACUACAUUUAUGUAUGUGUGUGAGACUACAUUUAUGUAUGCGUGUGAGACUACAUUUAUGUAUGUGUGUGAGACUACAUUUAUGUAUGCAUGUGUGACUACAUUUAUGUAUGCGUGUGAGACUACAUUUAUGUAUGUGAUUUAGAACUGCACUUUCUUAACGCUAUGUCAAAUGCACAAAUGUCCAAUAUAUCAAAUGUAGAUCUUGAUGAGUGGAACAAACUUGCUAUUCAUGACUUUCGGAGUUGGGGCCGUCUAGGGUCCCGAAAACGUGCGUGGAGCCGUAAAAAUUUAAAAUUUCAAAAUUUUAGUGGUCCAAACCAUCUCAGAUGAAAAGUUGACCAUUACACCAAAUGUGUAUCUUGAUAAGGGGAACAGACUUUGUAUUCAUGACUUUUGCAUCUGAGACCAUCUUGGGUCCGGUCAAAGUGUAUUUUGUGAAAAAUCUAAUGUUUGACUUGGUCAAACUAGGUCAAACUAGGCAAUAAAAGACCUCAAAUGAAAAAAUUUGAAUACAACAUUUGGAAAAGUUUCGGUUAACUCAGUUCACAUGUUUUGAAAACCCAAGGCGUGACUAGGUCAAACCUGGUCAAACGAGGGAGUAAAUGACCUCAAAUGAAAAACUUUUGAAUACAAGGUAGUUAGAGCACAUCAAGAUACACAUUCCAUACAUAGGACAUUUUUGCAUUUGAGUAAGCGUUUGUAAACUCUAGUCACAAAGUCUUGAAUCAUACAUAGACUUUAUGAAACUACAUGCGGGACUUGUGGAUUUAGAACUGUACUUUCGUAACGCUUUAUCAAAUGCAAAAAUGUCCUAUAUAUCAAAUUUAGAUCUUGAUAAGUGGAACAAACUUGCUAUUCAUGACUUUCACAGUUGGGGUCGUCUAGGGUCCCGAAAGCGUGCGUGUAGCCGUGAAAAUUUGAAAUUUCAAAAUUUAAGUGGUCCAAACCAUCUCACAUGAAAAGUUGACCAUUACACCAAAUGUGUAUCUUGAUAAGGGGAACAAACUUUGUAUUCAUGACUUUUGCAUCUGAGGCCAUCUCGGGUCCGGUCAAAGUGUAUUUUCUGAAAAAUCCAAUGUUUGACUUGACCAAACUAGGCAAUAAAGAAUAAACUUUGCAUUUAUAUAUAUAAAUUAAUCAUAAAAAUGUUUGAAAUAAUUCAAAAUUAUUACAUAUUAGGUCAAAUGAGGCACUAAAGAAUUUUUAAAUUUACACAAAUCUAUUUUUUAGUUCCAAAAAAAUUUAGUUUGAAAUUAUAUAAUGUAUAUAAAUUAAAUAUAAAAUACUUGGAAUAGUUUGAAAUUAUAUAAUAUAUAUAAAUUAAAUAUAAAAAUACAUGGAAUAAAUUAAUUUAUUAUAUAAAUAUAUUUUGAACUUUAAGUAUAUUAAAAAAAUGAUUUUACAUUUGAAGAAAACCACAGUAAGGGCGGUUCACAUCUCAACCGCCCUUAUAGUGGGGCUGCCCUCCAUAAAAGGAACCUCUGUUCCCAGCGCCUAAGUCAGGACGUUCACAUUCACAGUUGGGCGCCGUCAGGCUGCCCGAAUCCCCCCCCCGAUCCGAUGGGAACCCUAGCCGCCGCUGGUGCCCGUGCAACGCCACCACUCUCCUCCCCGAGCUCUCCUCCCCCUCCCCUUCGCCGGUGCCUGUGCCACGCCACCACUUUGCUGUCGGUCGCCCAGUCGGAACCCUAGCCGCCGCCGGGAGCCAGAUCUGCGCACGGCCGCCCGCCCGAGCGUGCCUCCACGAGCUCUGCGAGUCUGGCCGAGGACCUCCGUCGUCCACGAGCUCUUCUUCCGCGAGCUCGGCGACCUGCUUCCAUCCGUGUGCCGUGCGCUCCGCCCUGUUAGAACCCUAGACGUCACCGAGCGCCGAAGCUCCACGCGCGACCGCCCGCCUGUCGGCGAGCCCAGGCACUCCACCUGCUAGGAACCCUAGGCGCCCCCCAUCCGCGACUUUCUCUCCUUUUCCUCCAAAGGUACCAGACUUUCUCUCCUUCUCUUUUUUCUAUGCUAUAUGUCGUUUGGAAAUUCUAUAGCAAUUAGCAGGUUUGUAACUUGAAUAUAUAGCUGAUACUCGCUAUACUCGGAUGCACUAUGGAUGUUCUUCUCCAAUUUGAGUUUUUUCUGGUAGUGGCAGUGGCAUGCAUGCUGUAGUGUUUUCUGCAGUACAUGGAUUGAUAGUGCAAACAUGUGGAUUGAUAGUGCAACCAUCUAAAUUAUCUUAUUCUUAUGCAAUUAUGCUACAUUCUUGACUGUUCUCCCUCUUGACUAGUACUUGCUGUCUGCUACACAUUCUUUUUCUUCUUUGAUACAGUCAUUGUGCCUUACUAUCUCUAUGAACUAAAAAUGAAUAGUAUGAUAAACAAAGAUAGUCCAAAUUGUAAAAUCUAUUGGUCAACCCGUGCCACUAUAGAUUUAUCUUCAUUCUUCUACUACGUGUUUUUGUUGUUUCGUUUUUAGCUAUUAUUCCAUAGCCUAAAUAAAAGCAAGUUGAAAGCAGCUGUGGUUAAUUUUAGUUGUUGGUUGAAAUUAAGGGCUAUAUAAUCUGUGUUUUGGUUGAAAGCAUCUACGGUUAAUUUUAAUUGCUAAUAGCUAUCUAUUCGUUCUGUCUAAUUUCUAUCUGAGAGAUUUGAUGAUCUGGUUAGUGUUAGGGUUUUUAUUAGUGUGUAUUGUUGAUAGACUGUGUUUUGAGAUAUUGUACAUGGACAGUUGGAUAGCUUCACCGACUGUUUCCUGUUUCAACUAAGCACACCUGAGCUGUUUGACACCGUGAAUGCAACAUGCAUCAUUAACACUGAAUUUUUUUAGCUACUUAAUGCAAUGAUGUUAGUUUAGAACUAGUAGUGUUUGUGUUUGCUCGAUUUUAGUUCUAGAUAGCUUACUGUCCAAUUGUGUUGAUUUGUGGUGGCUUACUGUCAUUUUGAUUUGUGGCUUACUGUAAUCCUACUACUACUGCUUUUGUACUACAACUGUACUACUACUCUCUCUAUGACAGUUUUAUAUACUGAGACAUAAUUACUGUUGUUUAUAUUGCAGACUGCUUAUAUGCCACUCCUCUCUACUACUACUACUACUCUACUGUUGUGGUGGCUUACUAGCAUAAUUUUGAAUUGAUGACAUUUUUUGAACUGUGCUCCUCUAUACUACUACUAUACUCUCUCUCCUCUACUAUUGUUUUGCCGAUGAUGAAAUUGUCUAAUUCAAUACAUUAUUUUAGAAUAUGAGCUGACGAUCCAAAACUUAUGAGUAACUUGGCAUCAUUACUAGCUGCCUCUAUAGUGCCUUCUUCUCUGUUUUGAUGCCUUCAUGCUCCAAGUUCUUGAUCAAAUGAUGCUUGACAUGUUUCUGAGGCCUUUUUCAAACCUUUCCCUUUCAUCACCUCUCCUUCCUCUCUGCUCCUUCUAUCUCUCUUCUCUUUUCUACUCUCAUCCUCUCUCCAACACUACUGCACUAGUCUACUACUAGUGCUAGCUACUGCUCUACUCUAGUACUCUACUAGUACUACAUUACUAUUGGGGCUUACUGUAAUCCUACUACUACUACUGUUGUGCUCCAACUCUACUACUACCCUCUCUAUGACAGUUUUAUAAAUUGUGCUAUUCUAUACUACUACUCUUCUCCUCUCCUACUACUUCUAUGAUUUUUCUUCUCUCCUUUAUUUUGCCGAUGAUGAGAUUGUCUAAGUCCAUUCAUUAUAUGGAAUAUGAGCUGAUGAUCAAGAACUUGUGAGGAACUUGGCAUUGUUACCAGCGGCCCCUAUAUCACCUCUUCUUCUCUAUUACGAUCCCUUUAUGCUCCAAGUUCAUGAUCAAAUGAUAAUUGACAUGGUACUGAGGCCUUUACUACUUGUACUAAUUGUUUUUUUAAAAUUUCUUGCUCGAUGAUACAAAAGGUGUAGUGAGACAGCAUGACAGUCAAAUACCCAUAGCUUCUCCUAGACGGAAAGCUUCUGGGGGAAACUCGUCUCGAAUAGAGUGCCAUUGGAUACUAGCCUCCCCCAGAGGUUUUCGGUCUUGUAGUGCAAAUGGGUUUUCUCUUAACCAUUACUGACUGUCUUGUAAGUCUAUGAUCUAUGAUCACCACAGAGCAGCGGAUGGCUCUAUAAAGCAGCAACCCGCUAAUUGGAGGGCACAUGAGUUUCUUCUUCUUCUACUACUACUACCGAUUACUAAUUUGUCGCCUUUGUCUGUUCUCUCUCCUAUCUUCUCCUCUCUUCUCUGUUUUGAUGCCUUCUUCUCUAUUUUGAUGCCUUGAUGCUCCAAGUUCAUGAUCAAAUGAUGGUAGACAUGUUUUUGAGGCCUUUUUUGAACACUACUACUACUACUACUACAGCACUGCUGCUGCUACUACUACUAAAGCACUGCUGCUACUACUAAAGCACUGCUGCUACUACUAAAGCACUAUUGCUCUCUUCUCCUCUUCUUCAACCUACUACUACUACUACUACUACUACUACUACUACUACUACUACUACUACUACUACUACUAAAGCACACUUUAUUCCUUUCAUCUGUUAGAACAAAUCACGAAAUGACACGGACAACAAGCAAUGCAUCCCGAUCCAACGAACAUGAAGAGCACCCUAGCCCUAGAGAGCAAGAAAUACAUGAUUAGUUUUCUCAGGAACACUUUGAUGAUGAAGUGGGCAAUGGUGUAGCAUUUAUGCUUACUCAUGAGUCUGGCGAGGAGCAAGGGGGAGAAGCGGGAAGAGGAGAGACUCAUAAAGGAUCUAUCAAGGACGAUGACUCAACCUCAGGAUAUGAAAGUCCUAAAGAUCCACACCCAUGUGAACAUAGACGGAAGCCAACAACGGAUGAGUUGGACAUGGACUUUGACCCAAACGAGGAGAUAGGGAUAUGAAAGUCCCUUAGUAAAUCAUAAAUUUUGGUAAUGAUAUGGCUGUGUUACCUCUACUAAAACUUUGACAUGUUGUUUAUACAGGUCCACCCUAAACCUCCAAAAAGACCACAUCGGCGUCCGACAUGUUUCGCCGGACAUGACGGGGCAAGGGAAAGGAGGGCAGAGGCAACAGGCACAGAGACUACCAUUGUGGCCUCUGCUCCACAACCUGAAGGCACAACCUCAGCCUCGACUACCAAAGUGAAAAGGAAAGGAGGGGUCAGAAAACCAAACCACUAUCCAAAUGCAAAAAUGAUUUAUGUGAUUGACGAGGUUGGGGAAGAAGGGCAGAUCCUUAAGCCAAAGGAGUUCCAAUCAAAAUUCCGCAAUGCAAUUGGGGCCCUAGUCAGAGACAAGUUGAACCCAUCAAUCCGUAAUUGGCACGACUAUCUAGAGGACAUAAAGGAUGACCUAUGGAAAAAUCGUCUGUUGGUCAAUUUUAAUUUUAGGAUUCCAGCAGAGAAGCUACCCCUAGUAAGACGACGUGCUAUGAAGAUGAUGGGAGAAUCCUUCCGAUGUUGGAGGAAUGAGCUGAACACCGAGUACAUCAAAAAGGGGUUAACUCUGUACCAUAAGUAUAGACACAUAACUCCUGCUAUCCGGGCAUUGCUCAUGGCUAAGAAGACUGCACCAGAAUCUUUGGCCUUAAGUGAAAAGAACAGCUUGUAGGCGAAGAAGAACAUCCACCACCCUCGUCUAGGCCCCGGUGUCUACGAGGGCAAGGAAGAGAUGUUUAGAAAGAUGGAAGAGGAGGCCGUAGCUGCUGGGAAUACAAAAGUAAUGAAAUUGAAGCCACACACCAAGCGUUGGGUCUUUGCAACGAAUCUGGAAGAUUCAAGUAGCAGUCUGAAAUUUGCUAAGCCAGAGACCGAGGAGGCAGUGUCAAGGAUAAUAAAAUAUUCUGAAGACAUCGAGAAGGGUUCAUUCACUCCUUCUAGAGAGAAGGACGAGCUUAGCCUUGGCUUGGGAAAUCCCGAGCACACAGGUCGUGUUAGAGGGUUAGGGAAACAUAAGACCUGGAAGGAAGGAUUUCGAGAGCAUGUGGAGAUGUACAAGAAACAUGGUAGAAACCGGGAGGAGAGUCUUGCUACCCUAGUGAAGACCCUAGUUGCCUAGGAACUAUAGGAGCAAGGACUGUCUACUGAGCGACGGUCACAAAUGGAGCCGCCUAGGGAUUUGGUUCUAGUUGGCAGCCCUCCGAAUGUUCAAAGCAGCCAAGGUUCCAAUGCAACCUCCGCCUCAGUUGAUCACAUACGGGUGCUAACUCGUUCCAUCCUGUUGAUUCCCAUCGGUAGGGGGCAGGAGAUGGCUGAGGUGGCAACGAGUCUGGCACAUCCUCCAACUCCAGGCGACAUCUAGCACGAUAAACCGGUCCCGGCUGAUUAUAGUAAGGUUGAGGUGCAUACCGUGAAUCUUGAGUACACGAAGCAUAAGAUUGAACACCCAACUAGCGAGGGGAUUCGUGAGCUUGGACUACUCAUGAAACAGUUCAUCCUCUAGUACAAAAAGGAUAUUGUGUUGAUUGUUUCCUCGCCAACUCUGAGUGAUGUACACCUGGAGAUAUUCCACCUUGAGGAUGGAGAGGUGUAUUCACCGUCUCAUGAGGACCACUUGAUGCAUGAGAGGGCACUGGCUUCUCCGACCGCUGGCGAGCAAGGGGUCGAGCCAGGGCAUGAUGAGACGCCACAUGAGCCUCAAAUAGGUGAACCUUCUGUAGCUCAUGCGGAGCCAGAGCAUGAGACGCCAUAUGUGCCUCAUAGCCCACAACCUUAUACAGCUCGUGCCGAGCCAAAGCGUGACGUGACACCACAUGUGCCUCAUAGCCCACAACCUUCUACAGCUCGUGCCGAGUCAGAGCGUGACGAGACACCACAUGUGCCUCCUAAGCCAUAACCUUCUCCAGCUCGCCCUGAGCAAGGCCAUGAUGAGAUGGCACAGACUUUUCAACAAGCGUCGCUGACACAUGAAGAACUAAUCCCUCUAGUAUGUGAAGCUCGCGAAAAGAUCCCCAUCAUGAUAAGUCGACUGGGUCAACAUCUUUUGUGGAUAUGAACAUCUCAGGUAUGUACAAGUGGUAUGCUCAUGACCAGUUCAAGCCUGAGAACCAAGGCCCGAACAAAUUUGCCUACAGGAUGCCCACUGACACCUCAGACUACACAACGAUAAUGAAGUAUCUAGAUGUUGAAACCAUCAAGUGGUCAAAGGAUUGCCCGAAAGAAUGUGUAAGAGGCAAACAUUUCCUACCAAACUGGAUCCUGUGUAAGAUGCCAUAUGGAAUGAGAAGGUUUCAUGAUUGGUACUACUUCAUGUUUCAUGUACAGAACUGAAUGUGUUGGAAGCAGUAAUACCUGCUCGCACAUUUGGAGGCCCUGCUUCGGGGAUUGCCUUUGACUUCAACGACCUCCAAUCAUGCUUUCACUUUAGUUCAAUGUCGAUGAAUCUGAUUCGCACUUGGUGCCUAUAAGUUCUCUCCCUCUUGAUAUGAUCUGAAAGUAACCUAAUUGGAUUUUGCUAAAACUAACUUACCUCGUGAUUUUUAGAAUGCAAGCACGCUAUAUGAAAUCUACACGCUCAACGAAAGCUGGGUAUGUAGACCCUAUGCCUAUAGCACAAAUAAAUUUUAAUUACCCAUCGAGAUGGGAAUUGGAUGCGCCACAAUUAGCUGCUGGAGAGACUUUGGCGGAGAAAGAAAAGAUCCGUGUGGCCAAAAUAAGAGAAGAGUCCCUUAAGGUUGCGGCGUGGAUUGCCAUAUGUUUAAAGAAUCUCCAACACUUCGAAACAAUAUGGAUACCAUACCACUUCAAGUAAGUUCGAUUGUAUACUUAAUGAUUGUUCGGUAUAUCUUAUUUUGAUGCAAAGGUACUUAUGUGUUUAUUUAAAAUUGUUGUAGCAAUCACUGGAUAGUCAUAGGCGUCGAUGUCGGGAUGAACGUGGCAUGGAUUUGUGAUUCUGCAGAUUUUGACCCUCACACAUAUAAAGACUUCAUGUCAAUUCUCAUUACGUAAGCAAAUUAGUAAUCCUAGUAACCUUAUAUGAUUCACUUUAAUAUCGACUUCUGCAUACUAUAAGUCACAUCGAUUCUCAUUCAAACAGGGCAUUCAGGGCCUAUGUCAAGAAUCACAAAGGAAGGCAUGAUCCAGUUGUGGGCAGCCACUUGCGUUUCAAAUCUCUAUGUUCAGUAAGUGCGACUUAGUUUGGCAUAAAAUUACUAAUUUUUUCAGUACUUAUACUUGACAUCUCCAUUUGCAAAUUGAAACAAAGUUUCCCAAGCAAAGGCCAGGGAGUCUGCAUUGUGGAUAAUAUGUAUGUGCUUUCAUCAGUAACACAAAAGGCUACAGGAGACACCCUGAAUUGGUAAGUUUGAAUCUCUUAGUGGGUUGUAGUAUGAAAACAUAGUAUUUCUCAUUUAGCUUUGCAAUCUCUUCUUUACACUAGACCUAAAUUUGUCUUUUACGAUCUUGUAGUGGAAAGAAGAAAAAAGACUAAAAAGGGAUGUCUACAGGGAUGAUGACCUCUUAGAGAUCGGUGACCUUUGCAACUUUAUAAUGGACCAUGUUGUUUAUUACAAAGGUGAUUACCAUAACCUACUUUCUGACUUAGGUAGCAAUCCUCUUUACCAGCACCUCCAUCAGUGGGAUAGGCUAUGUCUAGGUCGUUGAUUACAUGUGAACUUGUGGUAAUGGACUGUGAUCGAUUUAUAUUAGUACUUGAAAAACUUUGGACUCUUUGGAUGGAUUUUUAAUGGACUUAGAAACAUUUGGGACUUGAAAUGUGUUGGACUAUAAAUGUGGUGCUGUGUAUAUGUAUGGAUCUGUAUGUUGUGAAUCUGUGAUGUUGAGAAUCUGAUUAUAUAUGUAUAUACAUAUGUUGUGUUGUGCUGUCAAUUCGAUUAUUGUAAUUUUUAUUUUUUUUUUCUGAAAAAUAAUUGUAGGGGCGGUUCUAGAUUGAACCGCCCUUGCAAAUGUAGACAAUAGGGGCAGCUGAGACACCAGCCGCCCUUACUAAUGCUCACUAUAAGGGCGGGUAGAAGCACCAGCCGCCCUUAUAGUGGUUACUAGUAAGGGCGGUUGUUGUUUCCAACCGCCCUCAUAGUGGCCCACUGUAAGGGCGGCUAGUGUUGAACCGCCCUUACAGUGAAUUCCAUUGUAAGAGCGUUUGCAUAAGGGCGGUUGGGCCAGCCGCCCUUACAGAGCUUAUUUAGCCGCCCUUGCUGUGCCUGACUGUAGUAGUGUGAAUCCAACCUAGACUCAACUAGGGUGCCCACACAGGACACAUCCGAUGUGUGCAAUCGGCACAUGGCUGUCCAAUUUGACUACCAACAGCUAGUAAGAUAGACAUUUCACCAACAACAUCCUCUAGAAUAGUUGUGAAUCCAAGAAUCAGAGCACAGUGCAACUGAGAACUAUGCAGGUGUGCUGUCAUGGUACAAAAGAUGCACUACUACAGAACACUACAAAGAGCUACUGUACAGGCGGUUCGCAACCUCUUUCUACAGGAAGAUUGACGAACCGCCUGCGCUGUUGGCCUGUGGAAAUAAAUUUUUCCACGGGCGGGUAACUGAGAACCGCAUGUAAAAAUUUAUUUCUACAGGCGGUUCAGUUAUGUGAACUGCCUGUAGAAAUCUAUUUUUACAGGCGGUUUAAUUAUGUCACCCGCCUGUAGAAAUUCAUUUCUACAGGUGGUUCAGUUAUGUGAACCGCCUGUAGAAAUCCAUUUGUACAGGCGGUUCAAUUAUGUCAUCCACCUGUAGAAAUCUUUUUAUAGAAAAUAUAAAAUCAACUUUUAAAAAUAGAAAAAAAAAAUUUAAUUACAGAGAAGGCCCACUAGAUAGUCGCAUGUCGCGCUUUUUUUCGUGUAAAAUCACGUGCUUCGCGGCCGGUGGGAUUCGAACCUGGCCUCUUCUACCACUCUACCUAUCACUCACUUGUCUCUAUAUUAGAGUUUAGUUCCCCACAUAUUAUCCUAAACCGAGCAUAUAUUGAUUAUUUGAGGCCCUAAACGGAUUCCAAUGGAAAAGUUGUCAACUAUAAAGUUUCAUAACUUUUCAACAUCUACAACUUUUAUAUUGGUAGUUUCUCCAUCCGAGGUCAUUUACAAAAUAUGAAUUUAAAAUUUGAGAAAUUCAAACGUAGUUUUUGACGACAUGAUUUCAAAUGAAAAAAUUAUCAACUACAAAGUUUAUUUUCGAGAUCUACAACUUUCAUUUUGAUGGUUUUUCAAACGAGGUCAUUUGAAAAACUCAAAAAAAUCAAUUUAAAAUUAUUUCUACAGGCGGAUUUAAGAAACCGUCUGUAGAAAUAUGAUUUUUACAGGCGGUUCGUUAGGAGAAACGCCUGUAGAAAUACAUGAUUUCUACGAGCGGUUUUGUUAGGAAAACCGCAUAUGAAAAUUGAUUUUCACAGGCGGGUUUUGAGUUGGGCCCGCCAAUUUAUUUUUACAGGCGUUCUUUAAUUAAAACAGCCUAUAAAAAUUAAAUUCCACCACCAGCUUAGAGCUUCUUUGUACUAGUGGAAUGAGGCAUUGGUCAAUGCCCAAAAUCGCUAAAAGCCUCGGCCCUUUUGCGGCCCGAGGCUAAAGACCCCUUUAGCACCGGUCUGUAACACGGCCGGUGCUAAAGGGGCCUACCCAAUGGCUACUGACUAGUGUUGUCGGAGCAGGGACCCUUUAGCACCGGUUCGUGUUACCAACUGGUGCUAAAGGGUUUGUUCAGUGCCACAGGCCGGGUCAAACCCUUUAGCACGGGUUCAAGGCACAAACCAUGCUAAAGGGUCACCUUUAGACUGGGUUUGUGCCUUGAAUCGGUGCUAAGGGGUCCGGUUUAUAGGCCACGGCUGCCUUGAAUCGGUGCCUUGAAUCACCAUUGUUGUUGCUAGAGCUUGCAUUUGUUCUUCUUGCUUGUUCUUGCUUGUUCUUCAUCUCCGGCGCCCAUCGUUGAUCUUCUUCGACUCCGUCAUCGUCUCUUCGUGCUUGGAGGUGACUAUCUUCAUCCUUCCUUUUCUUUUUCACGUUGUUUUUGGCUUGUGAUUUUCCCAUCAUUUUCAGCUCAAAUUCACUUGUUAUUUUGAAUCCUUCGCUUGAAUUAGUAUAUAUAUAUAUAUAUAUAUCAUAUUUCAUGGUUUACCUAUUAUUAAUGUAGUUUGCAAUAAUGAAUUAUAGUAUCUUUUUAAGUCUUUUUUUCUUUAUAUUAGAACAUGAGAGGAUUAGAGUUUAGUUAAUGUAUAUAGUUUACAAUAAUGAUCUUAGAUAGUUGGAUAGUUCAAAUUGAUAGGUUUUUAUUAGUACAUAAUAUCCAUUGUAUAAGUUAGAAAAAUUGUUGAAGUAGCUAGACAAAUAAAGGAUAUUAUUAGGUUCUUCUUUAAUCAUACUUGUUUACUAGAAAAUGUGGAAUUUGUAAUUAUUUAAAAAUUGAGUUUGGAUAGUAGAUGACAACCGUGACUGGGUCGUCGGUCUCUCAACAGGUUCAAAAGCGAUACCGGCCAGAACUCCCUCUCAUUACUUGCGGCAAGUGUGGGCAAAAGAUUGUGAUGGAGUACAAAGUGUCGAAAGAGGGAGUAAACAAGGGUCGUAUAUUCUACAAGUGUCUAGAUCGUAAUGUGAGUUAUUUCUAGACAUUUGCUUAUAUAUGUGCCUAUUUUUUUAAUGAUGUUACUUAAACUUUUGAUCCUCUCUUCUAAUUUCAGUGGGACGGUACCAGCAGAUGUACGGGUUGGUACUAGGAGGAAGAAUACAUUCAACACACAAGAAAUCUUUUGCACACACGGUUAAGGAUGAAGGUGAUGAGGCAGUGAGCCAGCGAAAGGAGUCCAUCGAUGUUGAUCAAGCGAAUGAUCUAUCUAUUAUAGUUGGGAUCGGAUGCGAACUAAUUAUGGUGCUUAAGUGCAUUUAGUUUUAGUUUUUUAGUGCUAGUUGCGAUUAUCUUAUUUGUAGCCAGGCUUGCUUGAAUUAAUCAACUAUGUGUGUUAGACAUGUUGUGCAAUAAGAUGAGAACCUAUAUAUGCAUGGUUUUCAUAAUAUAUAUGUUAUAUUUAAUGCAGAUGGUAACGUGCAAUUGGAUGUAUAAUGCCGAUCGGCGCUCCGAAGAGUUUAUUAAUGGCGUGCACUAUUUCUUAAGUGUGGCCGAGACAAACAAGAGGGACUAUUUCAUGUGCUGUCCAUGUGCCGUGUGCAAGAAUUUGACGUAAUAUUCUAACUCAAGGACUCUUCAUUCACACUUAUUAAAGUCUGGUUUCGUACCAAACUAUAUUUGUUGGACCAAGCGUGGAGAAAGCGGGAUUAUAAUGGAUGAGGGUGAAGAAGAAGAAUUGGACCACGCCGACAUUAUUGCUUAGUACGGUGGCUUCGAUGAUGUUGCAAUGGGGGGGAGAUGAUGAAGAAGAGGUAGCGGCAGAAGAUGAUCGAGGCGAUGAUGCUUUUGGUGAUGUCAUCCAUGAUGCACAAAGAGAAUGUGAAAGUGAGAAAGAGAAGAACAUGUUCGAGUGCAUACCAGAGGACCACAGGAAAUCGCAAUAUCCGGCCGCUGAAGAGGGGCAAAAAAAAGCUGGGUACCACACUAGAAUUGCUACAAUGGAAGGCAAAGAAUGGUACAUCUGAUAAGGCAUUUGAGACUGUUGUUUCACCAUAUUGACAAUGUUGUUACUUGGCUUGAGUCCCCCAGCUACAAGACCCUGAGUUCCACAUCCUAGAAGUUGACUUUACAUUGUCACUAUAUCCCCCACCACCAGCAUCCAUCUUUUGUUUCUCGUCCACACUCCGUAUUGUCUCCUUUGGUGGAUGCCGCCUCCCAGAUAUCAUGGUCAAUCAGCUCCAGUUCCCCAACCUCCAGCAGCUUACACUAUUUGAUGCUAUUAUAUCUGAAGAGACCCUGCAUGCCAUGCUUGAGAGUUGCCCCAAACUUGAGAUCUUGCUGAUGAAACGCAAUGAAGGUUUUCGCUAUGUUCAGAUCAAUUCCCGAUCCCUUAAGAGCAUAGGUGUUCAUACUGAUUCGUUUUGAGAAGGUCCCACUAUAGAGGAGCUCAUUAUUGAGGAUGCGCCAAUACUUGAGAGGCUUAUCAGUUUUGAGCGAUAUAGUAGGUUGCACAUAUCAGUGAUCUCAGCACCAAAGCUGGAAACCCUAGGCUGUACUUUUGAUAAUAAUGACAAGACAAUGCUCACUCUUGGAUCUACGACUUUUCUGGUAACAGAGCCCUCUCCCAAGUCCCAAUGUUCACACACUACUAGAGAAUAGGCCUUUGGUCACUUGCCCAAAAUGAACAAUAAUCUUGGCCCAAUCACCGUCCGGGACAAAAACAUAAUUAGUCCCGGUUGGUGAGACCAACCGGGACUAAAAGUCCUCUGCCCAACGGCUAUGGUGCCAGAGAUCGGCAGAAGGGACCUUUUAGUCCCGGUUGGUCUUCCCAACCGGAACAAAAGCCCAACCUUUAGUCCCGGUUGGUAACACCAACCGGGACUAAAAGUUGUUGUCCCGGUUCGUCUCACCGGCCGGGACUAAUGUUGGACUUUAGACCCGGUUUUUAAAUGGAACCAGGACUAAAUUUCCUUCCCCAUAUUUGAACUCUUCUUCUUCCCCUGGCCGAGCCCAUCGAUCUUCACUCUUUUGCUGUGUUCUUCAUUUGGAGUUGCUUGUUCUUGCACUCAUCUCCGGCUAUUGAUUCAUUUCAUCAUUUCUACGCCGUCAUCGACUUGUUAUAGGUGCGCGUUCCAUAAACUACCAGCAAACAAUACGCAUUCGAAAAUAACAAUAACAUAAUUGUAAACCCUAAAUGGAAAACCAAAUGAAAAGAAAAAGAAAAAAGAAAAAGUCUUUAGUCCUGGUUGGUAGCAACAACCGAGACUAAAAGUGGAGACCAUGUGGCACACCCUGGCGCACCUUUUAGUCCCGGUUUAUGUUACCAACCGGGACUAAAGAUGGGACAUUUAGUCCCGAAACCUUAGCCCCGGUUCCGUAGCCGGGACUAAAGGCCUUCACUGUACUAGUGACUUACAUGUUACUCAAGUUAUUUUUGAAAAUAAUUAUGAGCUCCCCCAUUGAUUUUUAUUUAGAGUAUUUUAUUUUAUAACUUUUUGUUUUGAUUCACUAACAAAAUGUUUUAUUUGACCAAGGGAAUACAUUCUAUUGACAUGAGAGCAAUGGUGCCAAUGCAUACUGUCAAGGUCUUAUCUGUGUUCCCUUUGUCUCUCUGUCUGGAUAAUGUUCUCAAUUUCAUUAGAUGUUUUCCGUGCCUAGAGAAGCUGUACAUCCAGCUGGUAAUGUCUCUUACUUCAAUAUACACAAAGAAAGUUAAUUUUGCUCUCCAUAAUGUCAUGGCUAACCUUGUCUGAUUUCUUGAUCUGAACUAAUAUUUCACACUCAUUUUAACUUGCAGUCUUGUGCACAAGGGCACACGAACCAGUGGCCCCGUAAACACAGGAAUCUUAUCAAAUCGCUUGACCUUUGCCUGAAAACAAUAGUGAUGAUAAAUUAUCAGGGCACAGCAGAACAAUCAGAAUUUGUGACAUUCUUUGUGGAGAAUGCAAGAAUGCUUGAGUCUAUGAGGUUUGUGGUCCCGAGUUGUUUCUAUCAUGACAAGAACUGGAUAAGAAGCCAGAAUAGACAGCUCAAGCUGGACAAGAGCUCUUACAGAGGUGUUUCAUUUACUUUCACUGAGAAUCAAUUCCACCACAAUAUGAUACAUGUUUUGCGGGCCAGUGAUCUGUCAGCAGCUGAUCCGUUUCACUGUAACUGCUGAAUCUGGCAUUCAUAUGAAAAUUGUCAUACACCUAAAAUAAUCUUGAUUGUUACUUUGCUUAAAAACCGCAUUGUAUUCCUUUUCAGAAAGACACCUUGUAAUCUCCUAUGCAAUUUGCAUAAAUGAUGCUUCAAACUUGUUGUGUUUUCAAUGUCAAUGCUGUAUCUGCAUUCAGUCAGUCUGAAAUUGGAAUUAAUUUUGUUAUGAAGAAAUAGUGUGCCUUGCAAUGGUAUGUGAUGAUCUUUGCUUGAGUUGCAUAUUGUCUCCUACUUUAUUUUUCUGUGAUGCAAAUGGCAUGGAGGUGGUACCAGCCUGACUACCAGGCUGGUAUCAAUAUAUAUCUUAGUUUGUUACUGGCCUUUGCAUGUCAAGUGGUUUUACUGGAAUUGACAUCUUUUAAUUUGGAAGUGUGCGUUUACAUAGUCUUUAUGCACAUUUAAAGCUACCACUUUUAAAGUGUGUUCCAGGUGAUUUCUUAGCAACCCCAUGUGCAUGGAAAGCUGAUAAGCUUCCAUGUAUAUUUGCUUGAAUUGAUAUUACACAUUUCUUGGUAUAAGAUGUGCUGAUAUGACUUUUGCUUGCUUUGUUUUGAUUUUUUUUCCUUUCUUUAUCUUGUUUCUUUAGUUAAAUGUGUACUUUGGUUCUUAUUCCGUUUAAUGCAACCAGCUCUUGUUUUCUAAAAAAAUUGCCACUCCAUCCAAGCCAUGGCAAUUGCAAUUAAUUGGGUUGGCCUCAACAAAGCUAGCUCUUUCCCUUGGAAAAUAACUAAAACAUACCCUAAAGCCACCAGACUGCGCCUUCUCUCUUGAGAAAGAAAACUAGAAGAGAGUGUCGAUCUCAUUUUGAUUAUGAAAGUACCUAGGCUUUCCUUUUCCUUUCUCAAGCUUCAAGUAGUCUCCUCUGUCUCCACUAUGCUAGUACAUUAUUUUCCUUCCAUUCCUGGAUUAAUCUUUUGGAUGAUACUUUAGAGGCGUUUGGUUCAGGUGAGAUGCACUGCUUCUCUGUGACCUGUUCUCUUCUUUUAGACACUAGGUUCUUCGCAAGUUUAGCACGACUUUGUACUGGAAUUAGGACGCAGCUCAUCACUUUGGUAUGUUCUUUUACUGCUUCCUUCUUUGAACUAUGAUAUGAUGUAGUUCUCUUCAUGUGAGGCUUUUUUGCUUCAACUUUACUUCAUUUUAUUUGGAUGCCAAGCUUGAGAUAAACCUUUCCCUUUGUGAUGCAUGGACUGCAGCAACAUUGCCAAGUUGUAUGAGUUUUAUUGCGACACAAAUAUAUACGCUCAUGAUAUGGCAAUUGAGAUUUGUACAAUAUGGAAGUCUAUGAAAGAAUCCUUGUCUUUCGUGGACUGCAAGAAUCUGAAUGCACAUCUAAUUAACGCUGUAAAGCACAGGAGUACAACCGAAUAAUAGAAACACUUCACUUCCGCUUGAUGAUCUUCAGUGACUUGUUGAUGUUGUUGCUUCCAUCAUCUUCAAUAAUUCCUGACAGCCUACAAAAUUAUCGACAUGCCUGGUGGGUCGUGGGCAGCAGGACAAGACUUCAACCUUGAAAUAGGUCCUUUUCUGUGGGUUGGUGAAAGAAUGUGAAUACCGGUAUGAAUGCUUGUCUUGCAUUGGGAUCCUUGUCGGUACAUAUAGAGUGUCUGCCUGCUUACAUGCUAGUAUGAAUGGCUGAGAGCAACCUAACCUAUCUAUAGCACUAAGACCAAGUACACUAGCCUAACCAUAGCACUAAGACUAGGUACACUCUAACAUCACCCUGCAGUCACAGCGGGAGCACCACAGACCGUGAGACUAGAGAAGAAGUCAAUGGACAUCUCCCCGUAGUCACAACUUGGCGCAAUGCAGACCCUAGGAUGUUCAAGGAAUUUCAAUGGGGCCUGGUGUUGUAUGCACAUGUUUGAUAACUGUGUAUAUUAAUGGUUUUAUGCAUUGGAUGAGGUUUUCCAAGAUAGUUGCUGUUGAUAUGUAGGAAAAGACAUGGAGGAAAAUUCAUAGGCCAUAUGGUAAAACAACAAUCUCCAUCCAUGAAACUCAGGGUCAGUUGUGUGCAUAUACUACUGCUAUGUAUCGGAGGUAUUAGCUUUCCUUCUGGGUCCGAGAAGACUAACAACAUUGAAGCAUACGAUGACCAUGCUUGAGAUAUUUGGACAGAGCACAAAUGAGUUUUGUUAGGAUCUUUGCGAUGUGGAGUAUAGAGUGAUUGCAGUUCACCUGAAAUGGAAUUUGAUUUUCUUAGCUGGCGAGGACAAAAAACUAAUUGCAUAUGACAUGAAACUCAGAAAAGUUCUUGUCCUCGCUACCCACUUCACGCGGAAUGGUAGACCUAGCUGCUUGCUAAGUCCGGAAGGACCUCAUUAUCUUGCUUUUGUUCCCGUGUUCAUGGAGUAGGUCGGACAAUAGUAAAGUUGCAUAUGGUGUUCUUUGUCAGGUGUGGAGUUGUUUUGAUUUUAUAUAGAAUAUAGUUUUUCCUUGGUAACUAAAGCAAUUUUAUGUUGAAUAUUAGAAAUGCUGCUACUUUGUGCAGGUUGUGGAAUCCGAGUGCUUCUAAACGAUAGAUUUUCCUACAAUGGCUAAGGGAUGAAGAAGAGGGGUUGCAUGGUGCACUGGCUAGAAAGCUGAAGGAAACUUUGCCUUACAAGGAGUGGUAAUCUGAAGGAGCAGAGCACAUCUACCUCGUCUUUGUUAUGUAAGUCAGUAGGGAGCAGAACCUUUAUUCUCCUAUCUAUGUACCGCUCCUGUUAAUUCUUGAGUUGACACGGUUGUUAUGUUAGUGUCACCUCUUAUUAUAAAAAGUACUCUUAUUGUUGUGGACAUGAUGAAUGGCGUUUAAUGUUUACAUCUGUAUGUUGUGUGUUCAGUAAGUUGUUAAGGCCCUAUCUGAAUUAGUAAAUAAACUAUGAAACCGGUUGCAAUUCUGUCACCAUCGGUUUUAUGGGACGUCGUCUGUUUUGUCAUCAUGCCGUAACGCUUGCCGUUAGUGAAGUAGACAGACGUCUCAUGUGGUAGGGAUCAAUAGUGCACCACACAUUCAAAUCAUACUGCAAUGCAACAGUGACCACCAGAUGGUUUAUACGCUGAAACCGAUGGUGAUGGCUACCUCAAAACAGAUGUUCGGGUGCCAAAGCGACGGUGAAUGUGCACUGGACACAAUCGGAUUAUUGGUCCAAACGUCAGUGUUAGUGUACACCAACAUAGGUGAGUUGAGUAACAACAUGAUGGAAAUAACGACCUAACUGAUCAUGGAUGAUGGCUCAUAAGCCAACAUGGGGGUGUUAGCAUACACUAACACGAGCAGAUCAUAAGACAAUGGGACAAUGUUGGCGUACACCAACAUAGGCGGGUCAUGCUUCAAUGGAAGGGAAACAACGACGUGAUCAAGGAUGGAUCAUAAACUGACACAUUGGUGUAGUAUAUGCAAACAACACCGGAUCGUGCUUCAAUGUGACUGAAGUAAGUUUCUUAUCACAGACGGAUCAUAAGCCAAAAUAGCGGUGCCGCCUAGUCGGUCCGUGGCUGCAUCGCUGAUAGCUACGACUUUCACAGCCGCUAAAUCACCAUCGAGGGCAAAAAGUGACCGCAAUGUGGGUUGCAAAAUGACCAUGAAGGUUGCGAGUAUAGUAGUGUGUUUCCUUGGAGGUUAUCAACCCUCAAGAAAAUUAAUUUACUUAGUGGCUGUUGACCCUCAAGAAAACUACCUUCCUUAGUGGUUGCAAUAUUUCCUUGGCCCUUUAGCAAAUUGAGUCUGGUUCUAAUUUCGUUGGCGGUUAGCCGAAAAAAAAUCAUCCUUGAGUGCCAGAGUCGUCAAGGAAACUUAUUUUCCUUAGCUUUCUAUCCUUGAGUGUGUUUACUUGACAGUUUGUGGUCAAGGAUCGUUUUCUUGGUGGUUUAACCUCUUUCAAACGUGUGCUUAGAUGUGAAGGUAUAACUAUAUAUAGAUGCUGCAUGUACACGUCGUCCACUAAUUUUGUUAAAAAAAUUAGUAUCUCAAGUUUGUUGAAAACAUCCUAUUGUCCACACGAUUUAAUCAGGGCAUAUAGAAAACAUUAUAUUUUAGAUGCUAUAAUCUAAAAUUUCUUUAUUAAUUAUACCGUUCAAACUAGAACAUUUAUUUUAAGACGACUGGAGUAUAUAUCGGCACCUAGCAUUGGCCUGAACCUAUGGAGACGAACGAAUGUUUAGCAUCACUGUCCAACUGUGAGAUUUCUAUGGACAUAGAUCUUUGUCUCCUCUUUGGCCUUGCAUGCACAUAACUUAGACGACGAAGUCACUUGGUGGAUACAAGGUGACCAACACUAUAUAUAUUAUAGUAGUGUGUGCUCAACACCACACACCACCUAGCUUCUCUUUCCAAAACCAUGGCGUGCACUGUCCUUUCAUUGCUAGACCACAUCUUGAUCACUGUAUUGCUCGUCCUCGCUCGCGACAUUAUCAUAGCCGGUGUUGGCAUAGCUCCACCUCCCACUCCUCUACCUCUUCCACGGCUACGUGCACCCUCUCUGACACCUCAUCCUCCCAGUCUUGGGUCUCCUCCUCGCACUCCUCUUCAUCCUCCCCCUCGGACAAGCGCUCCACCUCUAAAUCCUCUUCCUCGUCCAUGGUUGAGGGCACCUUCGCCAGGUCCUAUUCCUCCACGGCUAGGAGCUCCAACUCGUACUCCUAUUCUUCCUUCUCCUAAGGUAGGUGCUCCACCACCUACACCUAUUCCUCCUAUUCCUCGUUUUGGGGCUCCCUCCCGUGGUCCUAUCCUUCCACCCCCUCGAAAGGGUGUUCCACCUUCUACUACUCCACUUCCAGCACCACGAUUAGGGGCACCUCUCCCAUCCCGUCGUCCUUGUCGUCCACCUAGCGCUCCUAUACUUCCUCCUCGUCAGAAAGGCGCUCCACCUUCCACUCCUCCACUUCCUACACCAAAAUUAGGGGCACCCCUCCCAUCCGCUCCACUUCCUCCACCUCGUGCUCCUGUACUUCCUCCUCGUCAGAUGGGCACCCCACCUUCCCCUCCUCCACUACCUGCACCAAGAUUAGGGGCACCUCUCCCAUCCCCUCUUAAACCUCCAUCUCGUGCUCCUGUAGUUCCUCCCCGCCGAAAGCGCAAGCCACCUCCUACACCACGUUCUAAGGCACCCAUUCCAUCUCCUGUUAUUCCGCCCCCUCGAAAGGGCGCUCCACCUUCCCCUCUUCCACGACCCGCACCAAGAUUAGGGGCACCCCUCCCAUCCCCUCUUAAAGCUCCAUCUCGUGCUCCGGUACUUCCUCCCCGGCGAAAGCGCACCCCACCUCCUGCACGACGUUCUAAGGCACCCAUUCCACCUCCUGUUGUUCCUCGCCCUCGAAAGGGCAGUCCACCUUCCAGUCCAAUUCCUGCACCACGGUUGGGGGUACCCCUUCCAUCUCGUCCUCUUCUUCCCCCUCGCGGACCUACUUUUCCUUCACCUCGGAGGGGCACUCCGCCUUCCACUCCUCCACUUCCUACACCUCUUCUUCCUCUAGCUCGUGCUCCUUUAUAGAAAAUCUUUUGUCUAAGCAAUCGUGAAGGCAGCACCAAUCUCUUCUGAAACAAUAAGAUAGCAACAACAACAAUAUCUUCAUUGAACUCGUCAAAAUAGUUCUAGAAGCCAAAGAUUGAAUCUCAGCUGGAUGGGUUUGCGUUUGCUACAGUGCCAUAGGGUCCCAUCGGCCACAAGAAAAUCAUGUAAUAAAUACAACUAUUUUGUUUGUGGGGUGUGUAAUAAAUUGGUAAGCCUAGGCUUACCACUCCUAUGUAUUUCAACACUCCUUGCAAUAGGGAUUUGAUUUGCUCAAUUAGCCAUCAUGGAUCUGUUUGCAACUCAUCAUCCUUCUCUAUUUGUCAUUGUUUGUUCCUUCCUCGGUGUGUUUUUAUUUUAACACAUGGGCACACAAAGAAGCUGUCCAUUUCUUUUAAAGCAAGAAGAAUUUGCAAAACAGCCCCUUAGUUGGAAAAACUUGUACAUGACUAAAGUAGUGUAGAGAGAUGUUGGAAGAUAUAUUUGUUGGUUCUUUUCCAUCAAAAUUUUAGUUUCCCAUAAAAUUAGAAGUAUAUAUGAUGUGAAUUGUGACUGUGGAUUCUUUCUUGGGAGCGCCAAAUAACAUCCACCUCUCAAACUAAUUAACGCAAAGAUGUGCUCCAGCCAACGGUGGAUUUUUGCCCUAGGCUUGACACAAAACAUCUGUUUGCCCUAGCCAUCAUGCUUGCAAUAAUCAUAUCCCGCCACCUGCCCAACAAUUAAUUAACCAUCCGUCUACCCCAAUAUACAAUGCUUGAAGUAAUCCCCUAGUGCCGCCAAAUUAAGGAACCAAAUUGAUCAAUCGAGGAGUAGAGCGGCGAAAUCAAAGGUUGACACCGGCAAUAAUGUAAUUGAAGGGGAGGCUGUCAGUAGGCAGCCUACCAGGUAGUACCGUACCAGCCAAUGUUGCCACGUUGCCCACUUAUUCGGGAGGCAAGCAGGACAGGUACGGUGCAACAUAAGAGCACUCUCAACGCAGAAACCAUUGUGGUUUCUAUAGAUAUUAAUUGCAGUGUCACCUAUGCAUUUUGCUGAUGUGGCAAUGUAGUUAUUGAAGAGAGAGAGUAAAAAUCAUAGAAACUGAGUCUAAGUUAGAAACCAUGUCUACACAAAAUCCAUGACAUGAAGUGAUAUGAUUGGCUAAGAAUGGAGAGAGAAUGAAUGUGAUUGGACAUAAAAAUAUUCUAUAUAAACUAUCCAUUGGGACUAUAGUUUCUAUAUAUAGUGUCUAUAAAAAUUAAUAGAUAUAGAACUAUAUGUAGUUUCUAGUAUUGGGAGUGCCCUAAUAGAAAUAGGCAUGGUACGUGCACGGCUACAACCAGGUUCCUAGAAGGUUACUUAUAUGGUUUUGUUUAUUAAUUAUGCUGUUAAUUGCUAUAUUUUUCAUGUUGUAUUUAUGCAGUAAUUUUGUGGAAUUUUAAAUUUCACACAAUAAACUAUACAGCAUUGGCUCUAGCGUACAAAUUGAUCGGCUCUGCCACCAUGCGCUGGCUGCAACUGGGCAUGCUUGCUAGUGAAGGCACAAAUUCCUACUCAUGCUCGUUACUGCCGCAGCCAUUAAUUUACGGUUUAGAGCGACUCUACCGAAAUGAAAAAAACUUAAUUCUUCCCUAUAUUUCUUUUAUCGGGUAUAUUUUGAACGCACAUAACUCAUACACUCUAGACUCACAUACACGCGUGCGCCUCUGUAUGCAUGCAAAGAAAAAACAUUUAGUACGACUAAACAAGCAAGCGUGUUUAUACCCUAAAUUUUCUAGAAAAAAAUUAAGAAAAAGGUGCGACACUAGCGUAGCGUCCAACUAGACAGUCCUAUGACACGAUUACUGGCCCAUGCUUUGGUUACGUUCAGGUUUAAAAAUAGGCUCGUUGAAGCAGAUUCAGAAAAUCUUCAUCCUUUACUUUAGGCUGUACUGUUUGCUAGUUUAUUGUAAGAUAAAAAUAUUGUUAAAUUAUUAAUAGUAGAUUGGGCUGAUAAGCUCAAGUGACCAAUGAAUAGGUCAUAAGAAUUCUCUCUAUCCUUUUUUCUCCCUCUCUAAUCACGCCACCUACUCGCUAGCUCCGUGAGGCCGCAUGAUCCCCACAUGGAAUCUUGGUGUGGCGAUGAAAACUUGUGCAGACACUCAAUGCUAUGGUAUGGAACCUGGGUACCUGACUUAAGUGACGGCCUGUAUGACACUACAUAUUUAAUUGUUCUCAAGCAAAGUCACCAAAAAUGUAUGUUGAUACAAAGAAGCGAUCACACAUAACAUAAUAGCGCUAGAGUAGCAGAUCAGUGAGCCCUCGUUGAGAAUACAUGUACUGGUCAAUCCAGUAUUGACAAAAACAUGCAUGCAUGACAAUCCACCACGACAUUCCAAUAAACCCUCAACAAGAACCCAUGCACAUGUUGGACCAUCCAGUGUUUCAUGCUAUGAAUUGCACACUGGAAACCUAUGAACACCUUCUAGAAAGGACAUGUGGGGGAAUGAACCUAGAGUUGUUGUAGGAUUGGCAUAUCCAGCUAGAACAUCCGCAAACUCUGAUCCAUCGAGAAGCUUGUAGAUGACAAUGGAUAUAGACACCGUACCCAACGAGCUAGCAUUUGGAAAAGCUAGGUAGUAAUAUAUUGGUUUUAUUUUUUUAUUGGAUCACUCAAUCGGAUGACCCUUAAUAUUUAAAGGGUGGGAGGUCUAUCCUAGAGGAGUCUGAAUACAUCAUGAAGAAAACUGACCAAAAUCAAACAUAAAGAAGAAAUUGAAUCCAACCUAGACUCAACUAGGGUGCCCACACAGGACCCGUCCGAUGUGUGCAAUCGGCACAUGGCUGUCCAAUUUGACUACCAACAGCUAGUAAGCUAGACAUUUCAUCAACAACAUCCUCUAGAAUAGUUGUGAAUCUAAGAAUCAGACCACAGUGCAAAUGAGAACUAUGCAGGUGGGCUGCCAUGGUACAAAAGAUGCACUACUACAGAAUGACGCAUUGGUCGAUGCCCAAAAUCGCCAAAAGCCUCGGCCCUUUUGCGACCCGAAGCUAAAGACCCCUUUAACAACGGUUUGUAACACGGGCCGAUGAUAAAGGGGCCUACCCAACGGCUACUGAUCAGUGCUGUCGGAGCAGAGACCCUUUAGCACUGAUUCGUGUUACCAACCGAUGCUAAAGGGUUUAUUCAUUUGGCCAUAGACUAGAGCUACCUUUGAUUCCUCAAUAUUUCUUUCAUUAAUUACUCCGGAUUCCUUCAUUUCCAUAUAAAGAUCAUUUCCUUCACGAGUCCGUUCCCCUACUCCGCCAAAUACGCAUACGCCUUUAGCACCGGUCAGUGCCACAGGCCGGGUCAAACCCUUUAGCACCGGUUCAAGGCACAAACCGGUGCUAAAGGGUCACCUUUAGACUGGAUUUGUACCUUGAACCGAUGCUAAAGGGUCUCGUUUAUAGGCCACGACUAUCUAUCCUCCCCUCUGCAAGGGACAUUUAAAAUCACCAUUGUUGUUGCUAGAGCUUGCAUUUGUUCUUCUUGCUUGUUCUUCAUCUCCGGCGCCCAUCGUUGAUCUUCUUGGACUCCGUCAUCGUCUCUUCAUGCUUGGAGGUGACUAUCUUCAUCAUUCCUUGUCUUUUUCAUGUUGUUUUUGGCUUGUGAUUUUCCCAUCAUUUUUUAUCUCAAAUCCACUUGUUAUUUUGAAUCCUUCGCUUGAACUAGUAUCCAUAUAUAUAUAUAUCAUAUUUCAUGGUUGACCUAGUAUCUUUUUAAAUCUUUUUUCCUUCAUAUUAGAACAUGAGAGGAUUGGAAUUUAGUUAAUGUAUAUAGUUUACAAUAAUGAUCUUAGAUAGUUGGAUAGUUCAAAUUAAUUGGUUUGUUAAUAUCACUUGAUAGGUUUUUAUUAGUACAUAAUAUCCAUUGUAUAAUUUCGAAAAUUUGUUGAAGUAGCUAGACAAAUAAAGGAUAUUAUUAGGUUCUUCUUUUAUCAUACUUGUUUACUAGAAAAUGUGGAAUUUGUAAUUAUUUAAAAAUUGAGUAUGGAUAGUAGAUGGCAACCGUGACCGGAUCGUCGGUCUCUCAACGGGUUCAAAAGCAAUACCGGCUAGAACUCCCUCUCAUUACUUGCGGUAAGUGUGGGCAGAAGAUUGUGAUGGAGUACAAAAUGUCGAAGAGGGAGUAAACAAGGGUCUUAUAUUCUACAAGUGUCCAGAUCGUAAUGUGAGUUCUUUCCAGACAUUUGCUUAUAUAUGUGCCUAUUUUUUAAUGAUGUUACUUAAACUUUUGAUUCUCUCUUCUAAUUUUAGUGAGACGGUACCGACAGAUGUACAUGUUAGUACUGGGAGGAAGAAUACAUUCAACACAUCAAGAAAUCUUUUGCACAGGCGGUUGAGGCUGAAGGUGAUGAGGUAGUCAGCCGGCGAAAGGAGUCCAUCGAUGUUGAUCAAGCUAAUGAUCUGUCUAUUAUAGUUGGGAUCGGAUGUGAACUAAUUAUGUUGCUUAAGUGCAUUUUAGUUUUAGUUUUUUUAGUGCUAGUUGCAAUUGUCUUUGUUGUAGCCAGGAUUGCUUAAAUUAUCAACUAUGUGUGUUAGACAUGUUGUGCAAUAAGAUGAGAAACUAUAUGUGCAUGGUUUUCAUAAUAUAUAUGUUAUGUAUAAUGCCGAUCGGCGCUCCGAAGAGUUCAUUAAUGGUGUGCACUAUUUCUUAAGUGUGGCCGAGACAAACAAGAGGGACGAUUUCAUGUGUUGUCCAUAUGCCGUGUGCAAGAAUUUGACGGAAUAUUCUAACUCAAGGACUCUUUAUUCGCACUUAUUAAAGAUUGGUUUUGUACCAAACUAUAUUUGUUGGACCAAGCAUGGAGAAAGCAGGAUUAUAAUUGAUGAAGGUGAAAAAGAAGAAGAAGAAUUAGACCUCGCCGACAUUAUUGCUUAGUAUGGUGGCUUCGAUGAUGUUGCAAUGGGGAGAGAUGAUGAAGAAGAGGUAGCGGCAGAAGAUGAUCGGGCGAUGAUGCUUUUGGUGAUGCCUCCGUGAUGCACAAAGAGAAUGUGAAAGUGAGAAAGAGAAGGCUAAGUUCAAGUGCAUACUAGAGGACCACAGGAAAUCGCUAUAUCCCACCGCUGAAGAGGGGCAAGAAAAAGCUGGGAACCACACUGGAAUCACUGUAAUGGAAGGCAAAGAAUGAUACAUCCGACAAGGCAUUUGAGAAGUUAUUGAAGAUCAUAAAAAAGAUGCUUUCGAAAGGUAAUGAAUUGCCCACCAAUACGUAUGAAGCAAAACAGGUUGUCUACCCUUUGGGAUUAGAAAUCCAAAAGAUACACGCAUAUCCUAAUGACUGCAUCCUCUACCAUGGGGAGGAAUACGAGAAUUGGAUGCAUGUCCGGUAUGUAAGGCAUCACAGAAGAUCAGCCGAGAUGAUCCUGACAAUGUUGAGGGUGAAGAACGUCAUAGGAAGAAAAUUCCUGCCAAAGUUAUGUGGUAUGCUCCUAUAAUAACACGAUUAAAACGUCUGUUUAGAAAUAAGGACAAUGCAAAGUUGUUGCGGUGACAUAAAGAAGACCGUAAGAUAAACAAUAUGCUGAGACACCUUGUCGAUGGAUCCCAGUGGAGAGCGAUAGACAAAGAAUUCCUAAAUUUUGCAGAUGAUGCUAGAAACUUGCGGUUCGCCUUAAGCAAAAAUGACAAUAGUAUUAGGUUCGUUGACACCUAUAUUGUUUUCAAGGCUCCGCAGGCAGUGUGGACACCAUCUUAUGAGACAGAAGUCUACACCAAUCUUAUGAGGUUGUUCGUGAACCAAAAAGAAAAACAAAAAAUAGUCUUCUCCUACAACUUCGAGUGAGUUAUAUAGUUAUUAAGUGCAUGCACAUUUUAUUUUACUUAUUAUUACUUGAUCCGGGUUCUAUAUAGUUAUAGGCCUGACUAUAUGUAUAUGUGUGUGUAAACAUCUUUCACUGGAUACUCAUGGUCAUUGAAAUUCCCAAGAACCGGUUGAUAAUCUAUGACUCACUGAGAAAACUGCAAGAAAAUUACCAACAAAUGGUAAACAUUAUUCAAAGGUACGUAAUGUCGAUCUCAGCUAGAAGAAUAUCAUGAUAUGACUCUGUAAUUAUUAAUUGAUGAUCCACAAUGGCUGGUGUAGGGUUUGGGAAAGAUUUAUGACCGUGAACAUCUCAUUGGUUGUAGAGCGCCGCUUGAUAUACUCCAUCCACAAGUAAUAAGUUGUACUAGCUAGCAAACUUUUGCUAACAUUUAGCUUUCUUAUUGUCGUGGUCGUGAAUCUUUUUUAUAUAUCGUACAGUGGUGUUUAAGACAAGAAGGGAGAACAGCCUAUAUGGAUAUUACAAUCUGCAAAUUCUUGAUGGUACACGUCCACAGACACCCUCCGAGUACGUUACAUGUCUAUUUUCAUUAUCUUCUGAAUUAUAUGGAAUAACUUAGAUAACUAAUACCUUUUUCUUUUUAUUUCAAAUUAAAGAUGGAAUGGUUAAGGGAAAAGGUCAUGUAAAAAUACCACAUCAAAGCUAUUCAAGAGGCGAUAGCAGGAUUCCUCCGCGAUCAAGUGAUCAAUCCAAACGGCGAGUUUCACUUCAACGAUAACGAGACACUUAUUCCAACCAACGAUGAUCAUUUGUAUCGGCUCAAGAGAUUCGGAGAAGAAUACUCUAUGUAUAUAUAUGUUAGGAAUGUUGUACUUAUAAAACUAUAUAUAAAGCUUGUUACAUAUCCAUCUAUUUGAUUAUUAAUGUUGCCUAUUCGCUUUAUUAUAGGCAAAGCUUAAUUAUAAAGCUAAGCAUAUAAUAAUAUUUAUGCUUAAUAUACGUGUAAUAUAUAUAUAUAUGCAUAAAUUAUGUAUUGACAAACCUAUUAUUAUUAUGUAUAAACAAUAAAUAGAAAUGAAUAAAUGAACCGAAAACAAAAAGAAAAAAGGACCCCUUUAACACCGGUUAUAACCAACCGGUGUUAAAGGGUGCGACUUUAGCCUCGGUGCCCUGAACCGGGACUAAAGGGUGGGCCUUUAGUCCCGGAAGGGCAGCACAGGCUCAGGAACAGGGACAAAAGGCCCUUCCCGACCGAUGCUAAUGCCUGAACAUGUAGCAGUGAUUGCUGAUAGGACGUGCUUCACAAUAAAGAAAGACUUAUUGUGCGAUACAUCAUUGGCACAACAUCACUAGUAGUCAUGAUCCAAAGUGGUAUAAAACAUGAGAGGAUCAAGCUAGCAUGACUCAAGUCCUCCAAGGUGGCAUAAAACACGAGGGUUGAGAUGGGUCAGUUGUUCAGUUGUCACAGUUCUAAAUCCUACCUCUAGAUGUGCGAGUCCUGUUAUGAUCCUACUGCUAGAGUUGGUGGUAGGCUUAUACAAAUGCUGAUACUGGUUUUUAUAUUCAAAAAUGUUUAACAUGUGGAGAAACUAGAUGUGCAUUUAUCUUUGGAUGGAGGAAAUACUUGUAAAACAUAUGGACUCUAUCAUAGAUGGAAUGGAGAAUGAUGAAUUAUAAUCCUACUUUGUUUCUAUGUGGGCUCUUCUCAAACACUUAGGCUUUGACAGGACUAUGUAUAUGUGGGAGUGUUAUGUUGUAAUCUCUAAUAUUCAUAAGAAUAAGGAAUAAUCUACCUACCUUGUGUCUGUGUGUUCUAAUUUCAUCUACCAUGAUGUUCAUGAGAAACAAGAAAGGAAAGAUCCUAACCAGUAAUGAUGUAUUUUAUAACACAUUAUUAGCAUAACAUGCUCUUCAUCGACAUCGCCAUCGGAGCCGCUGCUGCCACCGACACCAAUACUGUUACCGAUGUCCUGACGCAACUAGUUCGACAAUGUCGACAUCCUCGAUCCGUCAUCAUCAAGCAAAUAGGUGUGCAACAAUGCCAAGUCCCUACGUGAUAUGUACUUAUCUACAUAAUAGCCUCCACUCUACGCGGUAUGUGAAGUAGAUCAAACUGACUUCCUUCAAAAGAUAUGAAAAAAACACAUCUCGUAGUUUGUGUUUGUCCUCAUGACUAUUAAUUUUCUUAAUCGUAGUACAUAUAUGUAAUUUUUUUCUACUUGUAGCAGAUAUAUCUAAAAGCAGUACAUAUAAAUGCACAUGUAGUACGAGCAAUAAGGUGUGCCAUAUGGACGCAUAUAUGAUAGACUCAUAUAGAGCUUGUUCAUCAUAUACUAGCAAACAUGACUGUACAGUGCAAUGGAUAAAAGUUGUCAAAUAUUUAUGGGGAUGACGAUAUGAAUGAUAUAUAUGUGUUAUUUAUGUUUUAUUCUUUCUAUAAAAUUAACAGUUAACUUAUUUUCUGAUGGAUCUGACAUCCAUAAUGUAAGUUAAUGUGUCAAUAAUAUAACAAUAUAAUGUAUCAAAUCAAAAUACAAACUUUAUACUGCAAGCGCAGUAAUAUUUAGACUUAGAUACAUCAUAAUUUUUUAAUAGAAGACAUGCAUUACUCAAAUGAACUCAACAAGAAUACAUUCAAACAAUCAAUAUUGUAUAGUCUCGAAGUUAUCAUAAAAACAAUCUUUCUCAUUUCCAUGCUAAUUUCUCUUAACUAAGUUAUUUUUAGUAAGCAUGGCCCCUUUAUAUAGAAAUCAAAGAAAAAUUUCACCUUUAAAGGUAUCUUAAUUUUCUAUAAGUAUAUGUUAUAUAUAUUGCAUAAAAUCCUGAUUCAUCGUAGCACUAUACAUUGAUGCUACUGACAAUCAUCUAUUCUGAUAAAGAGAUCAUACGAAUGUACCUGGUUGAUUAUAUAAAUGUAUAUUUGCAAGUCAUAAAACUAAAUUAUGCUAAGAAUCAAAGUUUUGACUUACUAAUAAAGCUAAUCAAAACAAAAUGUUUAAGGCUACAGAACUCAUGAUAUCAGCAACGAGAUAGCACUUUUCCUUCUCAUUAUCACUACUACAGAAAAGCGUACUACUGGCGGUUCCCGACCCAUUCCUACAGGCGGAUUCCAGCGCCGCCUGUGCAUUGGGGCCUUUAGAAAUAGAACCAAAGCACAGGUGGUAGCCUUGGAACCAUUUGUAGAAAAUCAUUUUUACGGACGGUUCACUUAGCCAACCGCCUGUGUAAAUGGUCUAUUUGUACAGAUCUUGGUUGGCUAAGUGAACCGCUUGUACAAAUGAUUUUGGGUUUUAGGGUAUUUUAUUAAUUAUUUUACAUUACAUUAUAUAUUUCAAUUGUAAUUAUUUUUUGUAUAUUAUUAAAUAUUUACAUUUAUAUUGAUGGUGUUCAAAGCUAGCAUGAAUAUAAAUAUACAUGUAACACCCUAAAAUUUACUCCUUUUGAAAUAUAGAUAAAAUUAUUUAAUUUUGUAUUUUUGUGCUCAUGAAAAUAUAGGAAAAAUAAUAUUUUUCAUUAAAUUAAAAUUUAUCAUAAGGCUUAGCAAUAUUAUUAUGCGUACAUGCUGGUGCAUAUGUUUUGAUGUGAUGCUUGUUGCUCCUUUAUGUGUUGAUAGUAAGAAAAAUAUUUAAAAUGCGUUUAGUAGAUCGAUCUUCCUUGACCACCAGUACGUCUUUAUCUUAAUCUAUAACCAAAUUCCUUGUUUCCCAGCUCAAUUUUUUAUGAGGACCUUCCUAAAAUAUUUUCUUUGUCACUCAAAGCACUUCUUUUAGUUCCUCGUCCAUCAAGCACUCUCUACAAAUUUUUCGGGAAUUUUUUCAGCUUCUGUUCUCACUUUUCUGUGAGCAUGAUCUAAUUUUCAGAUGCUCCAAACAAUCUUCUCAUGAGCUCCAAAAGCUUUAUUCGGGUUCCCCAUGUUCUAUAAUAUCUCUGAGAAUUUUUUCUGAAUUUUCGAAGCUUUCGGAAUAUUUUUCAUGGCUUAAAUCAUAAUUCUGGACUUUUCUAGGAUUAUUUUAUUCGCCAAAUUAAUUAAUUUCGAAAAUAAUAAAAUCUUUCAUUUUAUCUCAAGCUCAGGCCCAUGAUCUCAAUGGUCAAUGUCUUUAUUUACAAAUGGACUUUAAUAAUUAAUUAGACCUAUUAGUAAAGAUGAAGGUUGCAAAUCAAUUAGUACCAUAUCGCUAGUUGACGUGGAGGUGGGGAGUUUUUCUCCCUAUAUAUAUGUACCAAUCCCUUAGGCAAAGCACAUCAAAGACUAUUAUAUGGGAAGUCUCUAAUUUGAGAAUUCUUAAGGUAGUAAAAUAAAAUUUAUUUUCUUCUCUACAACGUGAUCGCCAUCGUCUCGCCUACACACGACAUCUACGAACGGUCGGUUGCUCCGGCGUUGCUGUAGCUCCAAGAAAGCGUCACUGUCGGUGAACCCACUCCCUGUCCACCAAUGUAAGUCCCAAUCACUUUAUCUUUCAGUUUGGAAAAUACAAACAGCUUGGUUUUAGAUUAAAAAUCAGUUUGAAAAAUACAAACAGCUUGGUUUUAGACUUUCUUUUGGCCAUAAAAUAUUCAUUUUAACUCCGAUUUGACCCAUUCAAAUUGCGUUAGGUUCGUUUUAAUGAGCUAUACAUGUUAGUAACAUUGUUUUCUCAGUUUAAAACUUUUUAUUUCUAAUUAAUUAAUUAUUUUUCUAAAGGAAAUCUUAGAAAAUUCAUAACUUUUCCAUUUUAGCUCCGAUUUUUGUGAUCUUUACGUCUAUAAAAUCGUAGCGAUGCGUAGAAUCAUUUUAUAAACUUUUCAUACUGUUUUCACAUGUUUGGUGUAAUGUUCUAAUUGUAGUCUUGUUUGCUUCGUGUAUGUUUUCUUCGAUUGUUUGUGUGAUCGAUGAUCGAGAUUAGACGAUGAGCAAUCCUUGGUGAACCAAAGUGCUUCAGCGAUCAAGAUCAGAGCCUUGGACAACUAGUAAGACCAGCAAGAUCAGCAAGAGCAAUUGGAUUAAGGCAAGUAUAGCAUUUAGAUUUUAUUUCUGUGACCAUGAUCCUGUGACUAGAUUAAUGUUAAGUAAUAAAUAAUAAAAAUGACUUUUUAACAACUUGAUUUAUCUGUACGUGAUCACCCGGGAUAACAGUACAACCAUGAGGGCUAUAAUGGCUCUGGCUUUAGCUCAGUAUGAGGAUCUUUUUCUAGCUUGUUAGCGGUUACCUUAAAUGGCGUAAGAAUGGCUAGACACGUUGGGUAUAGUGUGGCCUCUGUCCAUGUGUAUAGGCUGCGGGUUAUGUGCCAUGGAAGGGGGCUCUAUAUCUGCCUGCCGAGUGAAUCUAAUGGCCCUAACUUGUUAGACGAAACCUUUGAAAGGCUUCAUAGUGAUCCCUGCCGACCUUCCUUGGAAGUGGGUUAAGAGGCUGAUCACCUCAGGCGAAAGGGUAAAUCAUGACUCAUGGAUAAAGAUGUACAACCUCUGCAGAGUGUAAAACUGGUAUACUAGCCGAGCUCACGGUCAGUAGCGGCCUUGGGGACAUCUACAUUAAGGGUGAUGAAUCUUGUGUGUUAAAUAUGCUCACUGUUUAUUGUUUAAUACUCUACAUUAUCUUUAUCACAUUGAUCAUGACAUUGUGGGAUCUAUACAAUCUAGUUGCUAUACUUGUGGAGUUCGACAUGGACUCACUCUUGCUAUUCCACACACCCCUCAGGAGAAGUUUUGGGCUUGUGAUCAACCAGUCAGUUGGAUCCUAUAGAGUGAAGUUAAUACCCGAAGUUGGAGUUGUCUAUCCGCUGUUUGCUGCUUAAGGUUAUCUCUGAUUUAUUAUUACGUUAUAUAACUUAUGCAUUGUCUUUUGAUAUUACCCUUUAUUUGUAGCUAUAUGUGAGAUUUGGCCUCUAAAACUCACAUAUGGUGCAUAUCUGAUUUUGUCCUUAAAAUCGGGUAUUACAAUACAUCACACAUUGUAUAUAAUAAAUUUAAUUACAAGUGUAUAUACAUCACACACUGUUUAGAUCAAAGUUUGUUGCUCUAAUAACCCUUCCUAGUAAGGCCUAGCCUACUAAUCUCUGUUAGGAUCUGGUACUGCAGCAAGGAUAAUACACUAGUAUUAUCAUGAUAUUUCCCUUGGCAUGGAAUGACAUGUUUCAAGAGGAAUGUGCACAUGUCCUCAACCAUUUCGUAUGAAGUAUUUUCGGUGAUGUUAGCCGCAAUGGGUUCCUUAUAUUCCUGCAAAGAAAGUUUAUAAGCAUCAUAUACUUAAAAUAUCCGCCUUUAAUGUUAGAAGGGAAAGCAUCAUAUACUAAUUACCUCGGAAGGGUUGCUGGCGAAUCGUCUGGUCUCCCUCAUGUGGUGGCACACAUAGUAUCCACAGAGGACACUUCCGGGUGGUUGCUUGAGGCACUAUAUAAAGAGAAAGUGAUUAUUUAUAGAUGCCACUACGGUCCUAUGUUUUGUAUUCAUAAGAGUAAAUUUUCAUACGUAACGGCCAGUUAUACAUUACAUCCAAUGGCUGCCCAUUUUUCUUGGACUCACACUUCCCACAUGAUAGCUUAUACCACCUGUAUGCCCUCAGAUCUCGAAUAGAACGACCAUGUUAUCUCCAAACACUAAUAAUGCAAAAAAUUAUGCAUGCAUAUCUCGACUUACAGCUCUAAGAGUUCAAUGAAUUUUGCAUAACUAUUUGGAGGGUAGUCUGAGGAGUCUUGUACUGUACCCGUCCUUGCUUGGGAAAAACACUGAAGCAGAUCCAGUGGUCGCUGCACGAUUCAAAUUCCUGAUUCAUUUGUGCAUUGGAAUUAUUUAGUUUGAUGUAUAUACACUUGUAAUUUACACUUACUCAAAGUUGUAUGGAAUGACUACCGAUUCCCUGUGUUGAUACUUUAGCAGGCACUUUCCAAUGUCAUGGGCAAAGUUAGAUUCAAACUUCAUCUUCAACUGUUUGAGUUUUGCCGCCAGUUCUUCACCUUCUCAGCCCUGUAUUUCUUUGUUGUCCUUCCCGGUUCUGAAUGUGUGCCGUUCUUGGCAUACUUCCAGUGGGCUCAGAUAGGCAACCCUUUGGUUGGGACAAUAAUCCAAAUCAAGACCAUAAUACAUCUUGCUGCUCAUAUAGCAUCCUGUGAGGCACAUGCAUGUUAGGUAUUGAACACUGAUGCAACUAUAUACAAUAUAUGUGUAACUUAUAUAACUCUUACAAUGUGAAGGUCGUUACGAUCUGCACAUCAAGUCUCUUGAAGUUCAUCAUCAAACCACACAUAUUCGAAGUUAAGCAUGACUUUAUCAUAUGUACUCUAAAAUACCUUGUAUUGUAUAGAUACGUUGAUGGUGUCGAUGCCAACUGAUGAGGCUCUCAUGUACCAGUCAUGCAGCCUUUUUAUAUUGGUUGGGACCCUUAAGAGUUUCUCCCACGUGAGUAGAGGCCUUCCAACCAAAAAUUCUGCAGGGAUGUUCGUGUAAUCUUCUUUAGUUGGCACCUUGAUCUGGCAGGGAAUGGGCUCAGCAAAAGGCCGGCUUCGAUAACUUCGAGAGCUCCGACAACUCUUGCACUUCUACUGUGCGUUUUAGUCCAAUGCCUUUUAAAAACCUGGCCGUGCCAGCUGAUUUUUUCUUUGGCUCAUAUUCAGAAACCAACUUGGGAACCGAAAAUUCCUUCUUCCUUGGCUUUUUAGGUGGCUCGCUUGUUUUCUCAGGAUCUUUGGGCUGUGGGGAAGGUGGGGAAUUGAGCGGUGCCGGAGAUGAUGGAGAUGGGUUACGAAGAGAUUGGGUAGGUGAUGGUAGUGGGUUAGGAAGAGGCUAGGAAGGUGAUAGUGGUGUUUGAGGAACAUGAUCGAUAGGUGCUGACGACUCCUGAGUGAGUCAUAUCUCUUGAGAGGAUGGUGGUGCCUCCCUUAGCUGAACGUCCCGAUGAGGCCAAUGGAUGAAAUUGUUUAUAGCCUAUCCAAGUUUUUCAAUCUCCUUGGGACCGGGGAUGACUAGCAUCUCGUCCUUGUAUCCUAGGACCACUGUCGAUACUUGUUGUCAACUGGGUAGUGAGCCUUGUUCCCCGUAGACGUGACACUGCUUGGCAUCUCGGUUGGACACGGUGACCUGGCGUGAUGACCCAGAUGCCAAGAACUUGGUGGUGCAAUCCUCGAGUGUUUCCCCAUCUAGAAUAUCCUGCUCCCUUAGCCAUGAGGUGAACCGAUUCUUGUGUUCCUUCAUUAUCCAUUCGUCUGUGUGCCCAUGAAUAUGUUUUUGAAGCUCUUCAAUGUGUAGAUUGAUCAAAGGCUCCAUUAUCGAGAGCUGAUGUAGGACGUUGUGAUGUGCCUCGAGAACUGUAUUGUAAUAUUUUGAGGUUGUAGCUUGCUGCCAAGAGGUGGUACUUCCCAUUUUCUAGCCUAGCAGGGUGAAGUUCUUUUUUUAUGACUAACUGUACCAUGUCCAAGCGUGAAUUCAGUCCUUCCUUUGUCUUACCCUUCAUGUCCAACAAGGUGCCAAUUAGCCUUUCAAACACGUUCUUCUGAACAUGCAUACCAUCGAUCGCGUGGCGUACGUCUAACUCUGGCCAGUAUUCCAAAUACUCGAAGAAAAUAGACUUCUUCUUGAAUGUAGCCCCUGGAGCUGGUUUGACAUUCUUUCUUAGUUUUUCAUCUUUUGUCUUCUUCCCAAAAACAAAUUUGAGUUUGCUAACUAUGCUGAAAACUCUUUUGCCUUUACUGUUACCUGAUGGAGCAGUAGACUGUAGUUCACUAUUAUUGUCAAAGUACUUAUCCAUUUUUUCUAUCGGUACCUGUGUCCUUUUGAUAAGAAGCGUUUGUGCCUCAUGUACACUAUCUUCUUAGAUGCAGUAAGGGACACAUAAGUGGUGCCAUCUAUGCAUACCACACAACCAAGCUUUCCCUUAAAUUAUCCUGAUAAUGUAAAGAGAGCUGGGUAGUCAUUGAUCGUAACAAAGAUAAUUGCUCUUAGUGUGAAUGAUUCUUUGCGGUUCUUGUCCAUUUGAACACCUUUUUCCCAAAGUAUCUUCAUGUCCUACAUUAAGGGCUCCAAGAAAACAUCCAUGUCAACUCCAGGUUGUGUAAGUCCAGAGAUAAGAAUGGUUAGCAAAAGGUUCUUUCGCUUCUACAUCAACCAUGGAGGAAGGUUGUAGAUGGUGAGGAUCACCCCGGCCAUGUGCUGUGCUUGCUGCUCCUAACAUUCCAUCAGUACUCAGUGCAAACCUAACAUUCCUUGGUUCCUUAGCAAAGUCCUUGUGGUUUUCAUUGAAAUCUUUCCACUGUUGGCCAUCGGUUGGGUGCUAAAGCUUCCCAUCGUCUUUAUGCUCAUUAGAAGCAUGCCAACUCAUAAGUUGUGCAUCCUCUGGGUUAGCGAACAAACACCUCAAUAGAUCGACCAUAGGAAGGUACCACAUCACCAAAGCAGAAAUAUUUUUCUGCGCAUAAUAGUCUUUUUCUUCCUUUUCUUUUCUAGUGGGUUUUGAACUACACUUCUAGGUCUUUUGUUGGGUCCUCUUUCUCUUACUUCCCUUAGACACAGAGGCAGCACACUCUUGCUCUCUGUUAUCUUUAUUCGUCUUGUACCUACUUGCACCACACUUGGGACACCUGAACAAGUCCUUAUUAUCAUCACCUCGAUAUAAGAUACAAUAAUUUCUACACGCGUGGAUCUUCUCAACACCCAUUGUUAGUGGACUGAUUAGCUUCUUUGCAUAGUAUGUGAUAGCAGGCACUUUGUUCUCUUUUGGAAGCAUGUUUGUGAAAAUUCUCAAGAAAGCAUCAAGGCCAACAUCAGAAAGACCAUAUCUAGCUUUGCACACCAAUAACUUUUGCACAGACUGUAGUGUCGUGAACUCCUUGGUGCAACCCUUAGACCCAUUGUACAAAGGCUCUUCUGCUACCUUCAUCAGUGCCUCCAUACCUUUCAUGAAGAACAUUGAUGGAUCUUCUGCAUGAUGACACAACAUUGCCUCUAGGAAUUCUGCAUCAUCCGCAGCCAUAUUAGUUCUGCCGCCUUCAUUUCCUCCGGUGGAACCAUGAUCCAGAACAUUUGGCACAACAUGUUCAACUUCUACACCAUUGGCUUCAGGUUGUUGUGUCUCGUGUAUAAACUCAAACCCUUCAAAAACCAUAUCUGGACCAUCGGUGUCGAUGUUUGUAGGGUUUACAGUUGCAUAAGACGCAGAGCUACCCUCUUCAUGCUUUGUUCUAAUCAAGUAAUCCAUCAUAAAUCCUUGGCGUAGCAGAUGAGAAAUGAUUUGUUGAGUGUCAACAAAUAGAACCACAUUUUUGCAGUCUACGCAUGGACAAUGUAUGUGUGUCAUCUUCUUUGUUCUCGAAGCGUGGUUCUUAGCAGCAUCAAUAAACUUCUAGACCUCGAGUAUGUAUGAUGGAUCUAGUCUUGAUAAAUCAUACAUCCCGACUGACCUCUCCAUUACUAUUUGUAAAAAAAUACAUUGAAUUGAUUGUUAAAUAAUGCAAAACAUGUUACCAUGCAUAUCUAGGGAUUAUUAAUUAGCUAGGGUUUAGGGUUCAAGUGGGGUUUUAGCAAUGGUUUAGGUAGGGUUUAGCUAGGGAUUAAAGUAUAUAACUUAAAUAGCAUAAUUAAAAAACCUAAUAACCGUAAUUAAAAACAUUGCAUUCAUGAAACAUACAUACAUGUGGAUAAAUAAAUUGACAAAUUUAUAAAGAGAGAUAUAAAUUAAAAAACCUAAGUAUAGCAUAGCUAUAUAAACACAACAUUCAUUAGAAAUAGAUAGAUGAUGUGGAAGGUGAUAAUAAAAAACCUAACAUAUAAUUAAAAAAUAAAAAAUCAACAAAUCUCUCUCUACAUAAAUAUACAAGAACACACAAUUGGUUUAAUCUUGUAAAAACUAGCUAAAUUGAGAAGGAAAGCAAGUAAAGGGAGAGAAGAGAGGCAUUAUCCAACCAUUUUGAGCAACCCCAUCUAACCAUAUCAUCAAAUAAAGACAAGAAGCUAGCUAUUCUUCUCUCUCACUUAUGGUGAAACCCUAUAUCCAAAAAGUGGCUCAAAUUGAGCUAGAAUGAGCAAAUUGAGGCAAUAGGGACAUAAACUAACCUUUUUAGCAACCUCCUUCCCAUAAAUGAAGAUCAAAACCUCCCCCCUUGUAUUUUGAGAAAUCUGGACCUCCAAAAUCACCGUGGGUGCGAGAUACUAUUCUGGUCAGAGAGGAAGAAGGAGUAUUUAUAUAGAAGAUACCACAGGCGGUUGCUUAAGUCAACCGCCUGUGGGAACCGUUUUCCACAGGCGGCUGGCUUAACUCAACCGCCUGUGUAAAUGCUCCAUUUACACGAGCGGUUGACUUAAGCCAGCCGCCUGUGCAAACGGAUUAUCACAGGCGGUUGGCUUAUAAGUCAACCACCUGUGUAAAUGGAGCAUUUACACUGGCGGUUGGCUUAAGCCAACUGCCUGUGACAAUCCAUUUGCACAGGCGGCUGGGAGCUCUGACACCGCCCCUUUUAUACCACAGGCACGUUGUAACUAGAACCGCAUGUGGUAUAAAAAGGGGGCGCCAGCUAUGAGCCCAAUUCUACUAGUGUACUAUAUAAAUUUAGAUAUUGCUCUUUUAAGGUAGACAUGCCUAACCACUUAUCUUCUUAGAAUCUAACUGUUGGUAUUUGUUAGCGUCACUUAGAGGGGUUAUCAGUCCCCACACUAAAAAUACAUGACGACGGUUUUGCAGAGUAGGAGGGAUUCCACAAGCGCACAAAACUAUUGUGUAGCACUUCACCUAGGAGUACCAGGUGUCAAAUUUAUUUGAUUCCCACAAGAAGGCAAGGUAGGUGGAUCCUUGGGAUGAAUGUGACGUAUUAGUGGGUGAAAGGUAUACAUAUAGUAAAAGGGAUAACUAAAGAUAACUAAGAUAAUUAAAGGGAUGAGAUCACUGCACAGCUCUAGAGGGAGAGAAGGCUGUAAUCUAGGUAAUUAAGAUAGGUGAGUAAAUAGAAAGACCUUAUCUCGUAAAUAUGUGUGCACACUCCUGAUUUAACUAGACACAACGCACAAUGAGCCUUAUGAUUUAAUAACUAAAUCCAACAUGGUGGAAUACAUAGGGCUGUCACCACCAGCCACUACCACACUAUCUGCGGGCCUAGCCGUAACUGAAGGUAAGUUAUAGCCUAAGCACCUCACUUAAUCUAUAAGUGUACUAUCUCUACUUGAGUUAGAAGAAAAGACACUUUAACCAUACCAUGGAGCAAUACUAGAUAUGAGUGAACUAAUACAAAGAUGACUUAAAGAACCUAUACCUAUAACAAGAGUCAAGUCUCACUACUAAUAAAUAGAAGUAAGAAUAAGACUGGAAUGUAGAGGCGUAAAGCAAAUACUUAGUAAGUACUAGAAGUAAAGUACUUGUAUUAAGUAAGAACUGUAUUAUUACAAAGGAGCUAUACCAGACUUGAAGAUUCAGGAAGACUCUUCCAGACUUCGAGGCAGAAUCUCCACCCGACUCUUCUCCUCUUGCUAAGGUAGAAAGAGCUUCUAAGGGCACUCACAAUGUAGACUCUAUCAUAGAGUCUAAAGUUAUUUAUUACCUCGAACAAUGUGGACUUAGAUUCUAAAUAAGACUUGGAGUCUUAUUUUUUCUACCUUUUUCUUCAAUAAAUAUGCUGCCACAUUAGAAAAAUACCAUAAAUAAUAUGUAAUUAAUUGUCUUGGACUCUGGGAUAGAGUUUUGCAUUGUGAGUUCCCUAAGCUAGGCUAGAGCUGGAGCUAGCACGCUAGAGCAAAAGAGUAAUUGAACUACUGAGCUUCUCUAGUGUCUACUCUUGUAUAUCUUGUGUGAUCUGUAUUUUCGAGGGCCAAAAUACUGCUUUUAUAACAGCAGGGGCACCAGGGGAUACUUGUAGGUGUCGAGGGUGGUUGGCAGCCGUCGAGAGGUGGCGGAUGCUGUGGUGGGGCGACGGCCGCUGCCCAAUUCCACUGCCUUAGCAUCCUACGAUGAUGGAUGGCUCCCCUAAGUCGGUCGCGUGGUAGGUAAGUCAGUUUUGCAUGUUGAAAAGUCGGUUUAGGUGCUCCAAGUGGAUGAUGGUGGACCCAUGGAUCCAUGACACUUCCAUCGAGCGUCAUUGGAUCAAACCAACUUUGCUGGAUGGUGUGGAGGCCAUGGGGAGUCAUUCCCACGGAUCACUGAUGUGGCAGGCCAUAGGGGGGCAGCGAGUGCCACCAAGUGGCGGCGAGCGCCGUGCCACUUGGCCUCCCCGCUGCCCUAUCAUAGCCCACGUGUCACAUAUGUUCCAUUUUUGCCUGUUUUUACUAUUUUUCCUACAUACAAAUAAAAUUCCAAGUACAAGUGGAACUAGGUAAAAUUCAAAGCAUAUUUAUAUUAUUUUUUAUUGAAUUACCUUACUUUUGGGUGAAAUAUUGAUGGUCAAAUAGGUUGUUAGUGACCAUCAACAAUCCCCCAAGCUACCCUUUUGCUUGUCCUCGAGCAAAACAUGUGGGUUGAGCAUGGAGAUUGUCAGAUUAGAAGCAUCUUCAAUGUAACACUCCGCAAAAACUUAUAUACAACCCAAUGCUAUCCUCAAAUUGAACAUAAUUAGAAAUCUAUCUUAAGUCUACUUUAUGGGGCUUAUUGGCUUUUUCACCUUGUAAUAUGCAUAAGAUAAUGUAACAAGUAUAAAAUUUGUCCCUCGCUUUGGGUUAGCUAAGACUUUGUCUAGAGUGUUUUAGAGUUUUGAAUUGAAAAUAUUCCAUUAGGUUCCUCAGAUGGUACACUCAACCUCACGAUGGUGUUUAGAAAACAUCUCCAAUGCUGAGGAUUAACAGCCUGCUUGAAUCUCAUACUAAGGCUUAAUUCAUAGGUGGGGAAAACAUGAGCAGACUUGUGUUGCAUAUGUUGCCAAGCUAGACACUUAGAUCAAAUGGAGUAACAAGUCAUGUAGAAGGUCAAGAAAUGCAAGUGUGUGGGUAUUUGGUGGAACUCCUUAAGACUUACUGCUAGUAAGUGGAGGGAGCAUGGCUACUUGUAUAUUAUAUAUAUAUACACACACACACACAAGUAGCAAUCCUCCCACUUACAAGAAGUCUCAAGGAGUCAUUAUAUACUCAAUCCAUCCCAAAUUAUAUGAUGUUUGACUUUUUGACACCAAGUUUGACCACUAGUCGUCUUAUUCAAAAAUUUAUGCAAAAUAUUACUUCUUUUGUCAUGGCUUGGUUUAUAAUUAAAAUUCUUCAAGAAUGACUUAAAUUUGACUAUGUUUGCAUAAAUUUUUUGAAUAAGAUGAGUGGUCAAACUUGGGGUCAAAAAAGUCAAACAUCUUAUAAUUUAGGAUGUAAGGAGUAUAUAUAUAAUAUAUAUAUAAUAAUAUAUAAUGUAUAAUGUAUAAUGUAUAAUAUAUAUCUAUAUAUAUAUACACACACACACAUCAACGUACUCAUUGCAUGUUUUCUCUCACAAAGGGAAUGAUUAUCCCCCCUUUAUUUAGAAGUAAACCAUUCCCUUCUCUUCGUAGGAAAACUCUCUAUAUACAAAAGUCUCUUUGAUUGAUGGAGCUUGUUGCUUAUGUCCGUUGUGGAAAUAGCAAGGGGAUGCAUGAGGUAUUUAUUGGUUGCAUACUUCUAGUGUAGAAGUAGCAAAGGGGUGCAUGUGUAUCAGUGUAUGUGAUAUUUCUUGCAUAUUUUUAUUGGUUGUUUAUGUUUGUUUUUUCUUUUGAUUAAAAAGACUUACCCUAAAUGCACAAAAAUAUAUGAGUAUUUUACUAUUUAAAUUAAAUAUAAUCCUAUCUACUAAUGAUGCAUGCUUGAAAGUGGGAAAUAUGCUAAUUUAUAAAAUGUAUUAAAUUCAUACCUUGAGAUUCACUAUUUCUCUUCCUUGUGCGGGAGUUAUUCCUUCUUUAGAAUUUCUUUAUCUUCCUUCUUUAUCAGCUUUUCUCACUACUUCCGUCGGUUUUCGUGAUGAUGUAGUGGAUGACAGCUCUCCUUUCUUGUGCCAUGUUGUUGGCUCUUGCUUUUCUUGGUCAGGUUUCUUCGUGUCCUCAACUACUUUCGGCUUCCUCACUCCUUUCUUCCUGAGUCGUCUCUUAUUUGCCUAUAUUGCAUUCGAAGGGGGCGAUCCACAAGAAAAAGCGAAUCUCUCUUUCUUUCCAGCAAAGUGGAAAUGAAUUUGUCCAGAAUCCACAAAUAUACAAGCAUCAAGAGUAGGAAAGGACGGGCUAGAAUGAGGGCCGUAUCUUCUCUAUUUCCUGUGUCUAGAAUCAUGAAUUUUGUAGGCACAAAGUGUAACAUCUUUGAUGUUAUGGACACUAAAACAUGCCAUGUCAUCAUGUGCACUGCAAAGCAUACAUGUGUAGUACACUAAGAUGCAUCAACUAAAAUAGGUUUAUUAUCUUAGUUUGUUUGUGCUUAAAUGGUUAGUGUGUGGUUUAACUCUUGGAAUGAUGCUUGUGAUGGUUAAGUGAUCCCUAAAUAUGGUGGGAUGCAAAUUAAGUGCUUAUGUGUUAAGGUAAACCCUAAUUUAAACCCACUACACCACAACCUUUAAACAGCGAUGGACAAUCCGUUGUUAUAAGGGGUGUGCACCAAUGGACAGUCCGUUGCUAAAGGCUAUAGCGAUGGAGCGCUGCCGUUGCUAUUGAAGCCGUCGUUGUAUGUAUACAGCGACGGACAUCAUAUUUAGCGACGGACAGUUCGACAGUCCAACCUUUAGCAACAGACAGUCUGUUAGAGCUUUUAGCAACAGACAAUCCAUCGCAAUAAGAACUUUUAGCAACGGACAAUCCAUCGAGCUCAAUUAAAUAGGUAAAAAAAUAAAAGCUGCUCUAAACGUAUAGCCGAUGAUCAAACAUUAGCCAUACCUUGGUUCACAUACACAAAAGUGAUGACAUUCAAAAGUGAUCAAAUUAUCCAUACAUUGAUUCUUGUAUCGACCUAGUACAUUAUAUAUGUAAUGUCACUUAAUAUGGAACUAGUCAAAACAUGAUGAGUAUCAAUCUGCAGCAACAAGAGGCAAAGGUGAUAUGCCAGGGUCUUAUAUACAUGUCACUUGCUAAUUAUAUAUAAUAGUCACUUGCUAAUUACCAAUUUCAUAUUACAUGUAAACCAUAGCUGCCCACAACACUCAUCAACCAUAUAAGAUAAGUUAUCUCAAGUUUUCAUUCAAGCCAACAUUACCAAGUCUGCUUGCACAAUUCAUGACAAGUCACCAUUAUACAAGGAACAACACACAUACAAUCUAGCUAAGUCAAAUGGCAGGCACAGGUCAUAUGUUGGCGUGCACAAUCUAACUAGUUAGAUUCACUACAAAAUGCCUCAUCUCCAUCUUAUCAAAAGCAAAAUGUCAUAUGUUUCCUUCCUCCAAGGCCUCCCUCAACCUGUAACAUCAAGAUGGCAUAGAAAAAAUUUUAGCAACAAAAUGAAUACACAUGUAUCUAUAUUUGUGUAUCCCUGAAAACAGCUAGCUGAAAAUUAGACUAGCGAAAUGAUUUGCAUACAAUACACCACAAUUUGCAUACUAAUUGUUCCUAUUUUUGCAUUCACUGACAAUUGCAGUUUAUUUACUCAAAAAAUUAGAAUCCAUAACAAAUUUUCUAAGGAUCAAUCUAAGUUUCAUGUAAGACAUCAGGCAGAUUUCAAUAUGAAAUAAAAAAAUAUAUCAUAAGCAACGACUAGGGAAACAGAAAUCUACCAAUACAAACAAGUAGAGCUGCUGCCAAGAGCACAUUCAAAUGCCUUUCCAAGGUGUCCAAUUACACGUAGAGCAGCUGCAAUUACAAUAUGAUGAUGUCAAACUUGGCUGGUAUAUAUCAACAAGUUCAGAGAAAAUUGGUACACGACAUAGUAUAUAAGUCUCUAGACUGUAGUCUCUUUGAGUCUCCCAACUUCAAUUUAUAAGUCACUCUAUCAAUUAGAUUCUCCCAACUUCAGCAGCAACAAUCAUCACUAUUCACACUGAUUCACACUAGUAGCAAGCAUCAGGCCAUUUCAACAGAAAACAGACCGUGAGCAUCAGACCAUGAGCAACAGGCCGUGAGCAACAGGCCAUGAGCAACAAGCAUCAGACUUUUCACAAGCAUGAGACUUUUCACAACAAAACUGAAAUGUGGUCAUUUCUCACAAGCAUCAGACUUAAGAUAGAAAAUAAUUCAGGUCACAACAAUGUAUAUUUGAAAACUUUGCAUCUUGUAACUGAAAACUUUGCAUAUUGUAACUGAAAACUUUGCAUCUUAAUGAUUUGCAUAUAAUACACCGCAAUUGAAAUAUAAAGACAAUGAGACUGAUUUUACUAAUGCAUUACAUCUCAUAACUAUAACUUUGUGCACGAGUGGUGGGCUAGGUCAGACAGACCCUGGAGCCUCUGCGCUAGAGCCCGGAGUUUCCACGCUGGCCAGAUCAGAAAAGAAUUCAGCACAGCUGGCUAUUUGUGGCUGGGAUAAUUUGAGAUGAGUAAGGUAGAAUGAGCACUUGGUCGCACCCCAAACCACUAUUAGUAUCAUGAGAUCUCCCAUGUUAAUUCCAGCCUCAGGAACCCCUAAAACUGAUGACAGUAUCUGAUGGAAAGCACAAGAUCCAGGCCAAGACCAGCCAGCAGAAAACGGAUCUUAACUAGCGCCGUGCACUCGGCAGCUAAAAACCAUGCCAAAACCACGACGAAGAUCCCAUCCCAAUCUGCUCGUAGGUAUAACUAGACGAGCGAUGGGGAUUAGAGCAGAAUCCAACCCAACCGAGUCUGGAUCUCGGAGAGAGGAGGUAGCAAGGAUCAUCACCCAACCAAAUCUUAGCUCUGCCGCCGGUUAAUUAUUUCCAUGUAUGUAUGCGAAGAGGAAAUAGUAGCAGUAGCAGGCAAAUCAAUCGCGGGAGGAGGGCAAGAGGAGAUUUGGGUUGUUGUUACCAUGUGAAGAGGAAGAGGAUGAGCGCGCAGGCACGAGAGCCUCCUGGCUUGAGCCCGCGGCCGCAGCAGAAGCAGCGGCUGGCGACCAUGAGCACGACCUGCCCAACGGCUAGGAGGAGCAGCGUGCCGACGUCGUAGCCCGUGGCGAUGUUGGAAUCGUAGACGCAGAAGUCAUACUCCUUACCGCUAGUGAGGGAGCGGACUCGGCGGACUGGAUCUGUGCGCUGGUGAUGGCUUCCCUCUCGGCGAGGAUGGCGACAGCGAGGAGGGCACCUACGGUGGCGAUGAUGGCAGUGGCUGUGGGCAGCCGUGGCGGCAAGGACGGCAACCACGAUAGCAACUCAGCCCCCAGCGAGCAGCAAUGGUGGAGAUCGGGAGAGUCAUGAGUUUUGUCUUGGAGAAACCUUGGAGCCUGGCGGCGGCGGCUGGGGGAUGGGUGGUUGGUGUCCUCACUGCUUAGGAUAGGGUUUCAGAUGUUAUGUAUGACAGGUGGGCCACAAAAAUUACUUUGUGCAAGAGUGGGCUGGGUCAGACAGACAUUGGAGCCUCGCUGGUCAGAUUGUAAUGCUUCAAAAAAUUUAAUAAAAUAUUUUAUGACUUCUCACAAUAUACCAUUUGUUAUAUGAUAAUAGUAAAUUGCUUAUUAUGACAUGGUAAAUAAUGUCACGAUAUUCCAUUACACUAGCAUUAAGACAUUUUUAUGACAUAAAUUAAUUAAAGUCACUAAGCUAAGUUGGCUCCACAAAAAAAGUCAUGAAUAUCAAUGUCCAAGACUUAUCUAAGGUUUAUCUUAAUUAAUUUAAGCCACUGCUUGGAAUUUAAUCAUACACAUAAAUUAAACCCAUAAUUUGUGACACUGUUUAAUCAUUCAUCACAAAUUAUUAUCAGCUAAGGUACAAAAUGUCACAGAAUAGGGCCUUGUUUAGUUCCAAAAAAUUUUGCAAAAUAGGAAUAGUACCAUUUUCGUUUGUAUUUGACAAAUAUUAUCCAAUCAUGUACUAACUAGACUCAAAAGAUUCGUCUCGUCAAUUUCGACCAAACUGUGUAAUUAGUUUUUAUUUUCAUCUAUAUUUAAUAUUUCAUGCAUGCGUCUAAAGAUUUGAUGUGAUGAGGAAUCUGAAAAAUUUUUGCAAAUUUUUUUAGGAACUAAACAAGGCCUACAGCUUUUCCGAUUGUUUCUUAUAGCGUCACUUAGGGUAUUCCUGCGGUAACUUAGGUUUACAGGUCGUUUUGGGCCAAAAUUUUUGAGGGGGUAGCCAAAAAACAUUGCAUAAAUGCUAUAAUUUGUUUAGCAACGGACAUUCUGACUCUGUUAUUGAUAUAUAGCAACUGAUCGUUCAAUGCAAAAUCAAAAUAUGUUUAGCAACAGACCAUCCAUCGUUGUAUUUGAUUUUAGCGACGGACAGUCUAUGGAUAAUCUUUAGCAACAGACCAUUCAACGCUAAUUUUUAACUUUAGCAACAGACGUCAGUUGCUGUUUUAGUGUUGUGGUGUAGUGACCCUAGAAAUUACCCCUUUGUGCAAUUCAAAACCUAAGCGAAAUCUAGAGUUGAGCCUAAAAGCAAAGUUGUAGAUCUAGUUGAGAUGUACAACUUUAGUGCUUUGAGUUUUUAAAGUUUCUAUGCAAAGUUCAAAGUAAUUUUGAAAAUACAGAUUUCUAGAAAGUGUCCCCCUUUGAUUUUAAACUUGUAUUUCAAAAUUUGUUUAGAACUUUGAAAUGUUGUCAAAAGCGAAGUUGUAGAACUUUUCAAAAUAAACAACUUUUAUUUUGGGAAUUUUUAAGUUGUUGAGUAAAUUUGAAACUAAUUUUGAAAUUCAGAACAGUCCCCAAUUUAAAUUGACUUGCCCCUAAAUUUGAAUUUGAAUUCUUAUGAUGUUUCACUCAAACUCACCUUCUUCCAGUCCAAACUAGCUUUGGGUACUUAAAUAUGUUUUGUAGAACUUUUUAUGAUGAACAAAUCAUAUUUUGGCCAAAAUUCAUGUUAUAUUUGAAUUUUUGAACUAAUUUUAAAAAUGAGAAGGAGGGAUAAGUCUGAGCUAUAGUGCCAUGACCAAUGGGCCACCGCCAGUGCCGUCUGCCGCUCGCCGUCGACGCCUCCCGCAUGUGCUCCACACAGCUGCAAGCCUGCUUAGCUCCACGCGCUCAUGCUGAUCCUCUCGCGGUGCUCUCCUCCUGGCCUAUAAAGGCCGGAGCCGGCAGCCAUCCCUCUCUUUCCCCCAACCUCAGGUGCCACGCCAGCAACCACGUGGCAGCCACGUCAGCUGCCAGCGUGGCAAAUGCCGUUUGGCAGCCUAACGGGACGACGUACUAUGACAAAAAAGUACACACCGAUGACGAAAACAAUACGUCAUAGAUUGAAUCCACUGUUCUGUGACGAUAACAUGUUUCGUCAUAGAAUGAAUGCACAUCUAUGACGAAAAUGUCCAUUUCGUCACUGUAGGCAAAAUGUGACGCGCGUUCCAUGACAAAAGCCGUUUCGUCACAAAAACAUCACAAAAUAUUUUAUGUGACGUUUCUGGAAUCUUCAGUGACGAAAGAGUAGCGUCAUUGUUGAGCACAUCCCUACUAGUGCUCGCCAUUGGUCGCCACCACCCGUCGCUCAAAUUCGCCUCCACCACUCCACUGGCAGCCUCCUGCUUCUGCUUAUAGUUUCAUUGUGUCCUUGUGCCUCUAGUGACCUCGCUCACAUGACCCCGGAGUGUCCCAACCACUGGUAAAGUCGUCUUCCUCCUCGCUGUCUAGAGCACCGUCGUGGCCCAGUUAAUCAGGGAUUUAAAACUUUUUGCUAUCCUUAUGGAGGCCACUCCUUCAAUUGCCAGCUUUAUACGCGCCCGUACGUUUUUGCCCCACGUAACAGUAAGUGUCCUAAGUUUUUGCCUUUUUUGCUGAUCUACCAUGCUAGAUGAGCAUGACAGCGUGGAUCCGAGCCUAGAAGCCCUAACUGGUCGAGGCAAAUGACCAUCCUACUCCUCCUUCAUUUCUUUGCCCCCAACCGGCCUUGUUCUGGGGAAAGACCCAUCCAGCCGCAAUCCACUCCCAUCCCGAGCCAUGCCCCUCUUCGCUCCCACUGUCUUCCACAGCGACGGCGACGGCCACUAUGACUGCGACAGCGGCUGCCCCUCUCCCGUGUGCACUGGCCCCCAUGACUCAGAGAAUGGAGCCAAGGUACUGCCUGCACUCUCUCUGAACCCUAUUCCCCAGCUUCCUUCCCAAAUCUCGUAUACUAGGGUUUCGAUUUCACUGGUGGUUUCGUCGAUUUGAUUGUAGUUCCGCUCUGCGGUAUCCAUUGUUGUUGAUGCUUAUGCGCUAAGAUGAAGUCGAGUGACUGCCAUCCUUGGUAAGUUUGUGUGCUGCAGUUUGGUAACCAGUAGUGUUUUGGAGUUGGAUGUCUGCCUAACUCCUCGUUCAUGUGUUUAUGAUUAUGUCAGGAUGAUCUUGGCAAUGCUUUUAGAAUCCAUGUUAGUGUUGAUAAGUACACAGUCAAAUCUGAUUAUGAUGGUUGUGUCGAAAUGGCUAGCCAGGAGCAUGAUGUUUGGCUUGAUCUUACUGGUAGUUGCUCUCUCUCUCUAAGUUUCUUGAUGAAAUGUCUAGAAAGAUCAUUUGGGGUAGCGAGCAGCAGGUAAUUGUUUGGGGUCUUGACAAAGAUAGUGGGACAGAAUGGAAGGUGACUAGUGAUGAGCAAUUUGGGGAAAUGAUAGAGGCUAGAUGGGAUGAGAAGGAAAUGGAUGUCAGCUGUGAAGUGAUUGACAAGGACAAGGACUCAUCCAGACAGGCUAGAUGGGAUGCAGGAAAGGCAAAUGUAACAAAUGAGCAAACUGUUCAUGGCACAUCAGGUGUAACAGCUGAGCAGUCAAAUUUUGAAUGCAUAGAUGAUGCUUGUAGCAGUCCUGAACAUUCUAAGUCAGAUGAUGUUGUCAUUGAUUGGUCAGCUUACACAAUAUAGCUUCCUUAUUCGUAGACAAAGCGGAUUCGGAAUUGUCUUUCCUACCUAAUGAAGAUUUAGAUGGUGAUGCUACUGUGCUAUUGGAUGAGGAACAAAUAUAUGAAACCAUGGGCUUCAAAGCUGCAGAUGAGGGCACAAAUGGUGGUGAAGGUACAAAGGAGAUUCCAGUCCUAGAGAUUUCACCUGAAUUGCAAGCAGAAAUGGAUGCAGCAGCUAUCCCUGUCAAUAACAAUCCUGACAUGGCGGUAGGCACAUUGUAUCCAUCAAUGCCUGAAUUCAGGUUGGCAGUCAAGCAGCAUGCUAUAGUCAAAGAGUUUGAGCUGGGCACAGAGAAAUCUGACAAGCAAAGGUUUAGGGGUUUCUAUAAAUCAGAAGGAUGCAAAUGGAUUAUUAGAGCUAGAACACUAAGGGAUAACAGUGUCAGGGUAUAUUACUAACUUUUUUUGUGUAGAACAUGGCACUAUUUGGUUUAGCUAACUUGUAGUCAUUGUAUGUGAUACUUCUUAGUUAAAUGGACUCUAAUUCUUGCUGUUUGUUUUGUAUCAUUACAGAUACAAAUAAACUCUUAUGUCCAUACUUGUGCCUCAAGGAGAAGAGUGCUUAAUAAGAUGGCAUCCCAAGGUUGGAUAGCAGAGAGAGCAGUGCCUCUGCUAAAAGACACUACUACAAAAAAAAAUUUGGGGGCAAAGGAGAUCAGAAAAGAGCUAGAGAAGCAAUACAAGAUCAAGAUAAAUUACCAGACUUGCUGGUAUGGUAGGCAGAGGGCUGCCGAUAAGCUUUUUGGUAAGUGGGAUGAUUCAUUUGAUUGGUUAUUUAGAUUCAAAGCAAAGGUAGAGCUUAGGUCACCUGGUAGUGUUGUUGAGGUAGACACUGUCAAAGUAGGAAACAAGGUUCAUUUCAGUAGAUUCUUCUGUGCAUUCAAGGGUAGUAUAGAUGGCUUCUUAGAGGGCUGCAGGCCAUACAUUAGUAUAGAUUCCACGGCUCUCAAUGGGCAGUGGAAUGGAUACAUGCCUAUAGCUAAUGCUAUAGAUCGGCACAAUUGGAUCUUCCCAAUAGCAGUUGGUUUCUUUGAUUUUGAGACCAAAGAGAAUUGGAUUUGGUUCAUGGAGCAGUUAGGCAAGGCUCUUGGUCGAUUAGAUAAACUGGAAGUGUGCACAGAUGCCUGCAAAGGCCUAGAGGCUGCAGUUAAAGAAGUUUUCCCAAUGGCAGAGCAGAGGGAAUGCUUUAGACAUUUGAUGGACAACUUGAAGAAAAGUUUUAAUCAAGGGAAAAGCAGUGGUAGCUUACUUGGUCAGUACAUGUGGCCUGCAGCUAGAGCUUACACAGAGGAGAAGUACCAGAGGCUCAUGGACAAGGUGAUUGUAGGAUCUGCAGAUAUCUUACCUUGGCUAAAUGAGCAUCACAAACUGCUCUGGGCUAGAAGCAAGUUCAGUCCAGACAUAAAGUGUGAUUAUAUCAACAACAAUCUAGUAGAUAGUUGGAAUGCUUGGAUCAAAGAGCUGAAAGACCUACCACUGGACCCCCUUGCAGAUGCAAUUAGGAUCAAGACAUUGGUCUUCUGGGAGAAGAGAAGGAAGAUUUCACUAGCUCUAUCUAGUGGCAUUCCUCCUACUGUCAUUCACCAGCUAAAUACUGCUAGCAAAGGUCUAGACCAUCUGCAGGUGACUAAAGGUAACAUGUCUACUGAAGUUACUGUCAUGUACAAGGGUGAUGAGGUGAGACGGCAUGUUGUGUACCUAGAAACAAAAGAAUGUACAUGUCGGGAAUGGUAGGUUAGUGGGAAGCCAUGCAGCCAUGCCCUUGCGGUCAUUACCACUGAAAGGCAGCCUGACAUGGAGAAAUAUGUGCAUAAGUAUUACUCUGUAAAGAAGUUGCAAGCAGCUUAUGCAGGUGAGAUACCCAAUAUAACAGACAAACAACAAUGGCCUGUUGUUGACAAGGGCUUCAAAGUGUAUCCACCAGUGGCCAAGAAAAAGAAAGGAUCUGGGAGACAGAAGAAGAACAGGAUUCUCAGCUGUCCGGAAAGAACAGGGAAGGCAACCAGGCAAGUGACAUGUAAGACUUGUGGUGAGCUAGGCCAUAGGGCAACUAGUUGGAGGUGUCCUGUAACAAGGACCAAAAAAAGGUAUGUUUAGUAUGCAAUUUCUUUUUUUUUUGUAACUAGACUUGUGUAUUUUAGUUACUAAGUAACUCAUGUAUAGAAAAAGGACCAAGAAGGUAGGAAGAAAGAAGCAGGCUGGGACGAAGGAAGAACCAACACCUGCCAACACUAAUGCAGCAACCAAAAAACCAGCAAGGAAAAAAAAGAAUACGGCCGAAGAACAACCACCAGAGGGAGUAGCACCGAUGGAGGCAACAACUCCAACGACCCCAAGACCCAGGGCUGCAGCAUCAAUAGAGGCAACAACUCCAAAGACCCCAAGAACCAGGUCUGUAGUAAGAAAGGAGGCAGCAGCAGUGCAAGCAUAGGCAGCAGCACAGGAAGCAGAGGCUGCAGCACCAAGUAGCAAGAGGUUUGUUGCAACCUUUUACUUAAACCCAUUUGCCCCUCUAGAAAGUAACACAAUGUAUUUUUUGAGAUGCAGGAGGUUGGAUUUAGAGGAACCACAACCACUAGAGGUUAUACCAGCAGAGGAAGCAGAAGCAAGACCACCUAAAAAAAUGACCCCAAGGAAGAAGCAACUUGCAACCAAAGUGAAAAAGACCACACCGACAAAGGAUGGGAACUAAAGCAUUCUGCAGUUCUGAGUGACUGUUUUUCUAGGAUGUAAUUCUUUUGUGUAUGGACCAGUAUUAUGUAUGAACUUGUAUGUGGCCUGACCGGCUAUUAUGUAUGGACCAGUUUGUAGGAGCGGUGUUUUUUAUGGAACUGAUGGAACUGAUGGUUGUGUGGGAUUAUGUAUGGAACAACCCUUUUAUUUCUAAGAACUCAUGGUUGUGUUAUGGUAAUUUGUGCCAAAUUCAAGUUAUGUGAUUGUGCUGCUUUUCUAGCAUUCAAAACAUACAUUUUGCUACCAAAAUGUUCAACAUGCAUUUCCAUAGCAUUAAUAAAACAUCUCAUCCAUUCUAUCAUUACAUGUUUAUCAUACACUUCGUACAGACAAUCAACAUCUUCAGUAGAGGGGAGAGCAGCGCAUGUAGCUUCUUCUCCAUGUCGAUGGGACUAGACUGUGGAUGGAUCUUACCCGAACAAGGUUGGCUGGAGGCAAAGAAAUGAUGGAGGGGUAGGAUGGUCAUUUGCCUCGCCCAGUUAGGGCUUCCAGGCUCAGGAUCCACGCUGUCAUGCUCGUCUAGCAUGCCAGAUCAGCAAAAAUGGAAAAAACAUAGGACGCUUACUGUUACAUGGGGCAAAAACGUAAGGACGCGUAUAAAGCUGGCAAUUGAAGGAAUGGCCUCCAUAAGGAUGGCAAAAAGUCAAAAAUCCUGGUUCACCGUGGCCAAGGCUCUCUAGAGCGUCUUCUUCCUCACUGAUUUGCGCUACAGCUCCACUUUGAGUCGCUGAUGCUCAUCGGCUCUUUUGCUCUAUACUACACAAGAUGUGACGAGACGUGGUCUCGCCGCCGGUUCACGUCACCGUUGUUGCGCUCGACGUCGAUAGUUCUGUCCCGCUGAAGCUCUAACUCGUCCAAGCUACGCCCCUUCAUCUGGGUGAGCUCCUAACGCUCUUCGACCUCUUAGUUCAUGCUCUACUAGCUCCUAGUGGCCGGCGUUGAGCUCGCAGCACCGCGCCGUGCCAGCCAUGGUCGUGGAUAGGGGUAGAGGAGUGCCGUAGAGGGUCAGAUAGUCAGUGUGAUCGAUGCACCUAGUCUCCAGGGUGUCGUUCGGCCAGCACCUCACCAUCGGCGAACCAAGGCGUUGUCAACGCCGGUGGCCUUAGGUCAACAACGGAGGUGAGGGAUGACAAGUAGGGUCUCCCUAUCAGCGACGUAGAGAGAGGGGGAGUCACACGCGGGGCAGUGGGCCGAGGAAACAGGCCGGCCAGUGCACAAUGUUGUUUCUCUUUUUCCAAAAUAUUUCAAAAUGAAUUUUGUAUAUAAAUUGGUAGCAAAAUAAUGGCAAGUCCAAAAAUUAUGAAAAGUUUUGGAUAUGCUCCGAGUACUGAGUAGAACAUAGAAAAAUAUGAGAUGUCAAUUUAGAGUACUUUUUCUUCAUGUUUUCAAAAUAUGCCUUUUAAUUAUUAAAUGAAGUUUCCUUGAUUUUUGUGAAUUAUUUCAGUUAUCCACAAAUCCCAAUUUUUUGUGGGGAGCCACUAUGAGUCAUAACCUUUGUGCACAAAAAUUUUGGUGUAGUUUGGACAAAGUUUAAUUCAUUCUUUAAUUCAUGCUUAAUUAUUAAUUUAUAAAUAAUUACUUAAUUAUUAAUCUAAAUUCAAAUUUAGGAGUUGAGUGACUUUGAGAACAUGUGAUGACCUAAGGACAUUAAUGACAUUUGGCACUUUACUUAUUGUUUGAGCAUAAUCUUUAAUUAUUUUUUAUUCUUAAUUAAGAAUUAAUUAUAAUAAGUAAAAUCAAGUUAUUUAUUUAAUUAAUAAUAACCCAAGUUUACGAAAAAACCCUAAGGGUUGUUGAUGCAACCUCUUAGGCAAGGAAAGACUUAGUGAUAAAUGAUCUAUGUUUACUUUAGUAGCUUGCAAUUGUACCACAAAGGAAAGUUAUACUCAACUAAACCCUUCUCAUGUUUUGUCAUGAGCAUCUCAUAAGCAUGAAUCAUUUUCGCAUAUAGUGCACGUUUCUGAAGAAGUGAUCGUUGAGUCCGACCCUAAGGCCAGUGCCGCAUUAGAGGAAAUCGAGACCGAAACUUGGGAAGUCCUUGAGGAACUCACUUACCCCGACAACCAAGGCAAGCCCCAGAUGCAUUAAACCCUUCCUUGUGUUUCAAAAAGCUUUACUACACUUUAUGAUGAUAUGUUGCAUUAGGUGUUAGCAAGUGAUUGAUAACCUACUUGAUGCAUUACCAUCCUUGAUAUUCGUUAUCACCCUUGGUACCUGUUUUAGUUGAAAAUGUGUAGUAUGCUUAGCCCUGCUAAAUAAAAGAACAACUUUAAAGGUUUUAUAAAGUUUGAAGGGUUGUUGUGGAAUAAAGGAUUAAAAAGAAGGUAUUAUGUGAACUUGAGGCAUGACAAAACAUGGAAUGUCAACACCUCUUGUGUUUGGCACGGUCAGGUUUCCCUCCUACGCUAGUUUCGUCUGUGCCGGUUAAGGACUGUUUGUUGUAGACCUAUUUUUGUGGUCAAAACCUUAAACUAUCUGCAUACUUUGUAAGCCUAACAUAUCGAAUAUUCUAUAAUGAGAGCGGACAAAUGCGCACUAGGAGUGGAGAGAUAGCGAGAGUAGCGUGUACACACCUGGCGGUACCGUCGUGUAGUCUCUAGGAGGUGGAGUACUGUACUCUCGGGUGGCAUUGGACCCGCUCAUGUUAUGGAGGAUCUGGGUGAAGGUUGAUAUCUGCAAGAUUUGCUUCUAAUAUGUCAUGUGGAUUAGAGAUUCCCAGUUGGGUAUAAUUGUGUUGAAUCUUGCUAAACCUCACCUUGUACACCUUAAGCCUGCAUCCUUGAGUUUACUUCUCCUUUUCCGCCAAGUAAGUCUUGCAGAGUACUUUGUACUUAGGGUUUGUUAACCCCUGUUGCAGGUGAGGGUCAUGAACAGGUGUGCUUUGGAGCAUGUUGCAUGACUGUGGUGGAGGUUGACGACGAGGAGUAGCUGUGUGACCCGUGGGCAGGGUGUCACAUUGUGUGUGCUUCUUAUGUUUAAUUAUUGCUAAUCCACAGCUAUGGUUUGUAAUAAUACUAAACUUAUGGUUUGUAAGGUUUGAACCACUAGUUUGUAAACUUAAGGUUAUGUAACACUUUCGCACUUUUUCCGAUGUACUUUAUAUGAAAAAUUGUUGUAAUGUUGUAGUCUGUCUGUAAUGACAAGUCCUGGUGAGUCAUGGCUAGUCCUAGUGAGAAGCCCAUAAUUGACGUACUUGGCUUCGCCGACAAGCCAACGAUCGAGAUAUUAGGUUCUACGGACAAGCCAAUGAUCGUGGUGCUAUCGGGUGCAUUGACACACCUGAUAGGACAUUGGGGUUACGUGGGACUCUUGCAAAGCGGUCAGAGGUCUAUGAGAGAACGACCGAGCAUGUAGACCCUAGGAGGUUCUGCCUCACAAAGUUGUUUCUAACUUUUACCAAAAUAUCACAAGCUACUCCCUCUACAUAUCAUGUGGAUUGAUCAGCUAGUUACACACAUAAACAGAGGUGGGAGCUAGGUGUUGGUAGAAUAUUUCAUCAUUUUUUUCAUUAGAUAUGAUGUUUAUGUUGGAUCCAAGAUCACGGAUGGCAUUUUGAAAAACAUGGUUGCCAAUUGAGCAAGUAAUGGUAGGACUACCUAGAUCAACUUUCUUAAUUAUAGCUGAAUUAUCUAAUAAUGGAGUUCCUCUAGAAUAUAAUAUAGUAUUGUACCUUGCUCCAUAGUCAUUUUAGACUUGCCUGGUAUUCUUCCUUUUUCAAAAGAUAGGAUUGGGACUGCUAGUUGUGCUAACUAGGUUUCUAACAUCUUGUUGAAACUAAGUUGAUUUUUCAUAGUAGAAGAGAAAUAUUCCCAUUUAGCAUUAAUGUUUUCUAGCAUCUUAUCAUUAGCAUGAAGUCUUUUAUUUAUGGUUUCUAUCAUUCUUCAUUGACUAUAAACAAGAUCUUUAAGGAAAGGAUAACCAUUACCUUGGUUAUUUGGGUGCUGUGAAUAAUUAAUAUUAAAAUUAUUAACUUGAGUAUUGGAGCGCUGAUUCCAUCCUUUAUUUUGACGAUGAAAUCCAUUGUCAUUGUUGACAAAGUUGAGAUGUUUAUGGGUCUUAGGACAAUGCUAUCCAGAAUGGCUAGAUUCUCCACAAACUUCACAAGUCAUGUGGGACUCCAAAGCUUGAAUGGUUUCUUGGGUGCUCAUCUUCUCACAAUUUUCUAGCCUCUUGGCUAGCAAGUCCAUCUUGGCUACAAUCAUGUCAGCUUCCUUAAGAUAAUGCAUACCUCUCUUGUGGGGUUGUAGAUGUUCAUCAUUCCAUCCUUGGAUGCACACCAUCUUUUCUAUCAAUGCCUGUUGACACCGUUUUUUGACGUAAGUCAAAGUAAACUAAUCGGCAGACACGAAGAUACGAUGUUGAGUUGAUAAGAAGAUCACCGAUGGUCAAUGGUGCCGAUGGCAGGGUAAUGGGUGAAGGAAGAUGUUGCUAAGCUUGACGGUAGCCGCUGAUCAUUGCUGAUUGGUUGCCGAUGUUGAUGAUUGUCGAUGCCGAUGAGGAAAGGUAUGGGAGUUGGUAAGGAUACAGGGAGUAUGUCGAUGGUGAUGAAAGGAUAUAGGGAGUAUGCUGAUGAUGAUAAAGGGAGACGUGGGAGUUGCUAGGAAGGCAAUGGUGAUAUGCCGAUCACUAGGAUAGAUAGGUGGUUAUUUUCCAUAUUUGUUAGAGUUUGCCUUAUGUAAGAGUCCUGUUUGGUUUAGAAUUAAAUCCUAGUCGUAUACGGUUGUAACUCUUUAGGAGAGAGUAUAAAUAUAGGCCUAGUAGCAAUGUAAGAGGACCCAAUCAAUAUCAUACACAAGUUUUACAUCUACUGUUACAUCUACUUUUUCGACGACUUCGUCAACUUGCACGUUUUCUUUUAUCUAUGAGUUCUUAAGGAUUCAUCGAGCAAUACUCGACGAAUUCUCGAGUUCCGCAUGAAUACCUCUUGGCCGUGGCAUCUGGGCGCAUCGCUAUUGUCGAGACCAAAGUAUUUGAGUUAUCACCUUUGUCGAUUGUUAGGUCAAAUCGGCUGGCACGCCUCAUUGUUUGAAUCGGGUAUUAGCCCUUUGUGUUUGCAGAUCUAUUUUUGCAUCAACACAUCUUUUGGUACGCCUGGUGGUACAAAUCUAUCAACAAAAUCAACAUAGCUACUGCUGAUCUCGACACGGAGAACGUCAUUGUUGUGACAGAAUCUGAUCUCAGGGACGAGCAGAAGUAGGCUAUGGAGAGGGCUAUGGAGGAAUACAGGCAGCUUUGCUUGAAAUCCUUCAGCGUCAACACUAGUGGGGAAGUUAUCCAGAAGCAAGAUCUGCCGAUGCCGCGGCAAGUUACUUUUGAUCCCAAUCCUGGUAAAUUGCAAGACAUGGUUGACAUUGCUAUUAAUCAUGCCUUGAUUAAUCACUCCAAUGUGUUAUCCAAUACUGUUUAUAAUGUUGUGGCUAGAACUUUUAAAGAAGGACAGACACCACCACUAUAUGUUGGCCCGACCUAUCAUCAGCCAGGAUUGUCAUCAGUUAUGGCUCCAUCGGCUCCUCCGGCCGUUGCGGGUACAGAAGCUACUUCUCCUCCAAGCACAUUAGGGUUGACUAAUGAGCAAUCUACACCGAUGAGACCUAAUCCAACGACAUUAGGGGGACGGGUUCAGCUCAACACAAAUCUAUCAGCAUCGGCAAUGUCAGGAUCUAUGUUUUAGAGUUGUCAAGUUCCUCCUAAUUGGUGGGAUAUGGUAUGCCUCCAGACUUUUGUACAAAUAGUUCUGGAACAUCUCAGAUAACUGACUUAGCAGGGAAGGCUCCUACGACAUCGGCACCUCCAGUUUCGCCGAUGACUCAAAUUCCUCAGUAUUCAACAACUACUACUACAAGACCUGUUACAGGGAACUUUCAAAUGCCGACGUUCCAGAUGCCUAAUGCAAAUUCAUCGGCUAAUCCAUUGCCAACUCAACAGAGGUUUGUGACUCAAUCAGGUUAUGCCAACCCAGCAAUGACAAUUAAUUAUCAACCAUCGGCAGGACCUAUGCCGAUGAACGCCAAUAAUGGUUGGACAGAACAGUCAUUUUUUCGACAUGUGACACAGCAGAAUCACCAGGUUGCGGGAUUCCAGCAAGGACAGAUGCAGGCCGGUUUUCAGAAUCAAGGAUUGGUAAAUUAGCCGAUGAAUCUCGCUCAACAGAUUGGUGGUCAGCAAGCUAUGGCCAAUGUGAUAUUUCCUGGAGACCGUGUACCCCAGAGACAUGUGGAAGCUUAUCAGUAGGUGCCAGAAAUUCAACCCGCACAUCGGCAGGAUGCAGAUGCCUAUUGCGCCGAUAAGAUAGCAGAAGUUAUGAGAGACCAGUUUGGAAUAAAACCUAAGGUAGACACUUAGUCUUAUCAGACACUGUAUCCUCCUGCAUAUGAUUUGAUUUCGCUUCCCAAUCGGUACAAGGUACCAGAUUUCACUAAAUUCUCUAGACAAGAUGACACAUCAACCAUGGAACAUGUUAAUCGGUUCAUCAUUCAGUGUAGAGAAGCUACUAAUAGAGAUGAGUUAAGAGUUCAUCUGUUUUCAUCAACUCUGUCGGGAUCAGCAUUUACCUAGUUUAUUUCGUUGCCUCCAAACUCAGUCAUUACAUGGGCUGAUCUAGAAAAGCAGUUUCACAAGUAUUUCUGUUCUGGAGUUCAUGAAAAGAAGAUUACCGAUUUAGUAAGACUGAGACAACGUAAUGAUGAAUCGAUGGAAAGCUUUGUGCAGAGGCUGAGAGAUGUAAAAAACAAGUGUUACAGCCUGGUUCUGGACGAUCGGCAGUUAGCCGAUUUGGCUUUUCAGGGGUUGUUGCCACAUAUCAAAGAUAAAUAUGCUUCUCAAGAGUUUGAGUCAUUUGGUGCAGAGGAUUUCUGAUCAGGAUAUCAAGGCUUAUGAUCCUACAAAACCCUGGAAUAAGAAAGUGUCAUUUGUUGAUGAGGCAAUGAGUUCUGAUUAUGAUGAAGAACCCGUCAUCGGCUUGGCAGAGUGGGUAAAAAACAAAAAGCCGAUGUCUUGUCCUUUUGGUUAAAAAGAACCAGAAAAGUUUGCUUUUGAUAUCACCAAGGCCGAUAGGAUAUUUGAUUUCUUGCUUCAGGAGGGGCAGAUUAAAUUGUCACCUAAUCAUGUGAUCCCAUCGGUAGAGGAGUUAAAGAAAACCAAGUAUUGCAAGUGGCAUAAUGCAACAUCGCACAGCACAAAUGAGUGCAAAGUGUUUAGACAACAAUUGCAAUCAGCUAUAGAAUCUGGGAGAAUCAAGUUUGAUAAUUCCAAAGCUCAGAAGCCGAUGAAAAUUGAUCAACACCCUUUCCCUGCAAAUAUGUUGGAUGCCAAAGGUAAGACUAAGGUCUUAACGUCAGAAACAGCUGAAAAGAACACAUCGGUGGAUCCUCAGCAUCAAGUAACCACCAAUGAUGCCAAAGGCAAAGGCUUGGUCAAGGUGGGUAGCAGCUCUGGACAGCCUCCCCGCUCUGGCAUUGUGAUUACUCAUAGGCGGCAUCGGGAGACUUGGCAGCAGCAUGAGGAUCGGUAUCGGCGUCAAAAAGAGGAGAGGGAGCGAGAAGAAUGGAAUGGGCAUAAAGAUCACUAGAAUUGCCCGUUCUUCAUUCAUUGUUGGGAACAAAAUAUUAAAUUGCCAACUAACAGAGACUGUCUUGAGUGCAAUGGUUAUCAUUGGUAUGAUCGGUCAGAUCAGAGAUUCCAGAACAACGAUCGACGUUUCGAUGGGCUGUUUAGGGGGAGAAUGUCAGUUCAUGAUCGGCUUGGGGGCAGGCUUAGUGUGCAUGACAGGCUUGGUGAACUUGUUGGUCAUUUUCCAAGGAACCAAGAGGAACUUGAAGAAAUGGCAGAUGCACGGGUUCCCAAUGAAUUUAUAUUUUGCAGAGAUGCCAAUAUUCAUCGGGUAGAAUCAAGGGAAGUUCGCUAUCAGCCAGUGUGGAAGACAAAGCUUCCCCAAUGCUGCUCAGAAGGAUUAACGAGGACGCAGAGAAGGAGGAUGCAGCGAGAACGCCAAGAAGAUCUGUAUAGAGAGGAGAAUUCUUCCAAGUCUAAGGAUCGGCAAUAGUUGGACCGCAAGGGGAAAGGACCAUCGGCAGAUGUUAACAUGGUAUUUGUGUUGCUCAUGGAGUUUCUUGCGCCCUUACUGAUGAUGAGGAAAUAAGUAUCCCUGAUCGGAUAGCUCAGUUGGCACUAGAUCCAAUGACAGCUAUUUUUGAGAAGCCUUCCGAUGAUGAAAGACAGCAUCUUAAAGCUUUGUUUGUCAAAGGCCGGGUUGAUGGGCAGCCGAUUUCCAAAAUACUUAUUGAUGGGGGAGCUACAAUUAACAUUAUGCCGUAUGUGAUGUAUCGGAAGCUUGGCAAAGGAUAUCAGGAUUUAACCGAGACUGAUAUGAUGUUGAAGGAUUUUGAAGGAAAUGUGUCUCGAGUUAAGGGAGCUAUAUGCGUUGAAUUAACCAUUGGCAGUAAGACUUUGCCGAUGACCUUCUUUGUUAUCAAUGGAAAAGGUGACAAAAUUGAAGUUGUCCUGGGAGAUUCUUCAUAUGUCAUUGCAUCGGCAGAAUCAGACACCUAUGAGCGGACCAGAUGCAUAUGAGGAGAAGUUUGGGAGAAAUAUUUCCUCAAGGUUGCCGAUUAUGAAAUUCCACCAAUCCAAGCAGUCGGUUCUGAUGAAGAGUUUUAAUGGAUAGAUUCGCCGAUGAUGGAAUGUUAGGACAGAGAUUUACAUCGGCUCAUGAUUUAAUAGAAGUAGAUAUAGGAAGAGGUGAUAGGCCAAAGCCUACGUUUAUUAGUGCUAAGUUAGAUUCUGAAUGUAAGCAGCAAUUAACCGAUUUGUUAAAAGAAUAUAAAGAUUGCUUUGCUUGGGAUUAUACCGAGAUGCCUGGUUUAGACCGAUCAAUUGUUGAACAUCGGUUGCCUAUUAAGUCUGGAUUUCUGCCACAUCAGCAGCCAGCACGCCGAUGUAACCCUAAAAUUCUUCCUGAUAUUAAGGCCGAAAUAACCAAACUCAUUGAGGCUAAGAUUAUUCGGCAGUGUCGGUAUGCCGAGUGGAUUUCUAAUGUUGUUCCUGUCUACAAAAAGAAUGGAAAGCUUCACGUUUGCAUCGACUUUAGGAAUCUCAGUAAAGCUAUGCCGAUUGAUGGUUAUCCAAUGCCAGUCGCCGAUUUGUUAGUUGAUGCUGCAGCUGGACAUCGAAUUAUUAGUUUCAUGGAUGGCAAUGCAGGGUAUAAUCAAAUAAUCAUGGCUAAGGAGGAUAUUCCCAAAACUGCAUUUAGAUGUCCUGGUCAUGUUGGGUUGUUUGAGUGGAUAGUCAUGACUUUUGGCUUGAAAAAUGCUGGUGCUCCUUAUCAGAGGGCCAUGAAUUUCAUUUUCCAUGAGUUCAUCGGCAAGUUGGUAGAAAUAUAUAUUGAUGAUGUGGUGGUUAAAUCUGAAGAUUUCAUAAAACAUCUAGCCGAUUUCGGAAAAGUACUCGAGUGCACAAGGAAACACGGUUUAAAGAUGAACCCUAAUAAAUGUGCAUUUGGUGUAUCGGCAGGUCAGUUUCUGCGUUUCCUGGUGUAUCAGAAAGGAAUUGAAAUUAGCAGGAGAUCCAUUGAUGCAAUCAGCAAAGUAGUUGCUCCUACCAACAAAACUAAACUUCAAUCAUUGAUCGGCAAGAUUAAUUUUAUCAGACGAUUUAUAUCCAAUCUGUCAGGUAAGAUCCGAGCCUUCAGCCCUUUGCUUAAAUUAAAGGCCGAUCAGGAAUUUGUAAAGGGAAAAGAGCAACAAUUAGCCUUGGAUGAAAUUAAGAAUUAUUUGGCAAAUCCUCCAAUCUUGGUUCCACCUCAGCAUGGAAAGCAAUUCAGAUUAUAUUUAUUCACCGAUGAUGCGGUCAUCGGUUCAGCCCUCAUUCAAGAAUUUGAAGGGAUAGAACGUGUAAUUUAUUACCUAAGUAGAAGAUUGGUGGAUGCUGAGACAAGGUAUUCGGCAGUUGAGAAAUUAUGCUUAUGUUUGUACUUUUCUUGUGUCAAGUUAAGACAUUACUUAUUAUUGGGCAAUAUGUACUAUCAUAUGCAUGGAUGACAUAGUCAGAUACAUGUUGUCGAUGCCGAUUAUGAGUGGUAGAAUCGGCAAAUGGAUACUAGCAUUAUCAGAAUUUGACUUACGUUAUAAAUCGGCUAAGGCAGUUAACGGGCAAAUCAUGGUCGAUUUUAUGACUCAGCAUUGUGGUGUGGUGGAUACUUUGGAGAUUGUUCCUUGGACACUCUUCUUUGAUGGAUCUACAUGUGAUCGAGGGGCAGGUAUCAGUAUAAUAUUGAUUUCUCCUCAAGUUAAGAAAUAUGAGUUUUCUUUACCGAUUGUUACUAUAUCAACAAAUAAUCAAGCUGAGUACCUAGCCCUAAUCAAAGGGUUAGAAUUAUUAAAAGAAGCUCAUGCCGAUGUUGUCGAAAUCUUUGGUGAUUCUAUGCUUGUUAUAAACCAGUUGGCUGGGAUUUAUGAAUGCCAAAGUGAAGUUUUGAUAGCAUAUUAUGAUAGGUGUAUACAAUUAUUGAAAGAAUUUAGAGAUUUUCGAUUAGAGCAUAUUCCUCGGUUGCAUAAUGAAGAAGCUAACUGGUUGGCUCAACAUGCCUCGGGAUAUCAACCCAUCUUGGAAGUAUUAUCGACAGUCAGUGCCGAUGAUUGGAGAAAAGAAAUUAUUGAUUAUUUAAAAUAUCCAUCUAGAAAAGUUGAGAGACGUGUUAGGUUUCAAGCUACAAAGUAUGUACUCCUUGAUGAGGAAUUAUAUUAUCAUACAAUAGAUGGAGUUUUUCUUAGAUGUUUAAGUGAUGAUGAGUCCAGAAGCUUGAUGGGUGAAAUUCAUGAGGGAGUAUGUGGGGCACAUCAAUCAGCUUUUAAAAUGAAGUGGAUGAUUAGAAGGAAUGGAUACUAUUGGCCGACUAUACUUGAGGAUUGUUUCAAGUAUUUCAAAAGGUGUCAAGGAUGUCAGAAGUUUGGCAAUAUUCAAAGGGCACCCGCAUCGGCUAUGAAUCCUAUUAUGAAACCUUAGCCGUUCCGGGGUUGGGCUAUUGAUCUCAUCGGUCAAAUUUAUCCGCCAUUGAGUAAAGGGCAUAAGUUUAUCCUUGUUGCCAUUGAUUAUUUCACUAAAUGGGUUGAAGCUGUUCCUUUGAAAAAAGUGACAUCGGCCAACAUGAUUGAUUUUGUAAAGGAGCAUAUUGUUUACUGAUCUGGUAUUCCCCAAACAAUCACUACCGAUCAGGGCACUAUGUUUACGUCAGGGGAGUUUCAUGAAUUUGCAAUCAGUUUGGGGAUUGAAGUGUUGAAUUCUUCUCCUUACUAUGCUCAAGCCAAUGGACAGGCCGAAGCUUCCAAUAAUUGAAUUAUUAGGCUCAUUAAAUGAAAGAUUGAGGAAAAUCUCAGACGAUGUCAUACUCUGUUAAAUGAAGCCUUAUGGUCGUAUCGGAUGGCAUGUCAUGGUUCAACCAAAGUUUCACCUUAUCAACUGGUGUAUGGACAUGAUGCAGUACUACCUUGGAAAAUUAAAACUGGUUCUAGGUGAAUGCUUUCUGAGGAUCAGUUAACUGCCGAUGACUAUACUACUGUGAUGAAAGAUGAGUUGGAUGAUUUAGCAGGGUAUCGUUUAAGAGCUUUAAUUAGUAUAGAAGAGAAUAAAAAGAGAGUGGCUAAGUGGUAUGAUAAAAAGGUAAAGGCCAAGGAGUUUGCUGAUGGGGAUUUGGUUUGGAAAUUAAUUUUACCAAUUGGAACUAAAAGUUCAAAAUUUUGAAAAUGGUCUCCUAAUUAGGAAGGUCCUUAUAGGAUAAAUCGGUCUGCCCCAGGCAACACCUAUAUUUUAGAAACUCUCGAAGGAGCUGAAUUUCCCAGGGCGUUAAAUGGAAACUACUUAAAAAGAUACUACACCAGUAUCUGGGUUGAUGCAUAAAAGUAUAUAUGCCGAUAACAGUCCUAUCAGCUGGACGAAAUGACAGUGUGUAUGGAGCAACACAUAAGAAUUUUAGGUGCCGAUAACAAUCCUAUCGGCUGGAUCGAAUGUUGGUGUUUUCAAAAACCGAUGAGACAUACUGCCGAUGAAAAAAUUACAAAUUUAAUAAAGUCUGGAUAGCCGAUAUCGCACGCAGGCGAAUCUGAUUGGCUUCCUCUAUUUCUUUGGCAUCUUCAUCGGCUGAGCCUUCCACUGGUUUCAACUUUUUCUUCAUUUGCAAUGCCUUGCGAGCUUGUGCAUCCCUCUCUUUUUGAAGAUUCUUGAGCGCAUCGGGCAGUUGACUUUCCUCCUGUUGAGCCUGGGACAAAGCUUCCUCCACUUGUUUAAGCUCAGUAAGCAAGGCUUCUCUUCUUGCCGAUAGAUUAGAAAUAUUCUGUUUUAAUUCAUCACCUGAAGAUUGCAGAAUGCCGAUGCUCUUAUGCUUCUCAUCGGCAACGUGCUUCACUUGCAGCAUCUCCUCUUUAAGCCGGGUGUGAGUGGCUCUAUCGGCAAGGCGCUGGACGGCCUUUUGGUAUUGAAGGUGGCGACUCUCCAGGUGAGCCGCUUGGAAGAGCAUCUCCUCAACAUUAGCAGGAAUUUGACCAUGGGGAGUCUUGAAUAUGACUUUGGCUGGGUCAGAAUCAUCCACCAGCUGAGCUGUGUGUUGCUACAACAGGGCCAGUAAAUCUUCCAGCUUGGACUUGAUCUCUGCCGAUGUGAUUCCAAGCGCCAAUGAGGAUUAUGCCUCUUCACCUUCAUUAUCAGAGAUGUCGAUGGCAAAGGAGAACAAACUAUUGGGAGAGUCUUGCUCCUGAAAGAAGGAGAGAAUAGGUUAACCAGGAUUAAGCAUCAAUAAUGCAAAGUCUGAUGGAUCCGGUGAUUUACUUGUUUUAGAGCAAUUUCUUGUCUCUGGCGUGGAGAUAUAGCUUGCACUAUAAUUUGAUCGGUUGGGGCUACCGAUGGAAUAUCUUCAACUGAAAAUUACCAAGGGUGACGAUGGUAUUUAUAAAAGAAAUCAUCGGUAAUGAUUCUAUGAUCGGUACUUUACCUUGAGGAGGGAUAGCAACUGUCUGUUUAGGGGGAACGGCUGAUGAUGUGCCUAGGUCAAUUGGAUCGGUAAUAUGCUCAGAUACAUCGGCUGGGUCCGCUUGCGUCUGGGGUGCUAGAUGUGGCGGAGAAGAGGGCAUUGCUUGAAUCUGGGUUGCUGGAUGAGGUGCAGAAGAUGGUGCUGUUUUCUACCGGUUUGGCUGGGUCUUGGUGCUUUCUGGGGCUUUCCUCUUAGGUGGAGCUUGAUUGGACUGGGGGGCAUCGGCACCCGAUGAUUGAGCGCUUUUGGUCUCUGCCAAUGCGCUGGUCUGCUAUCACAAAAAUCAAAGUUCUAUAGGUUAGAUAUAAAAGCAGAGAAAAAUUGUUGGAAUUUGAAAGAAUAGAAUGCUUGGUACAAAACAAAGUUACCGAUGACGUUCCAGUCGUAGCUGAUGCACCCUGAAAGAAUAAUGUGAAUAUGAGAUGAAAUCGGCAUAAUAAAUAGGAAAUUUGAACAUUUUACCUUGAAAGCCUGUGCUAGCGUAGCGGCAGCUACCGAUGGGAAAGUUUUUGACCGUUUGGUGGUUUUCUUGAAGCGGAUGUUUCGGUGCAUCAGGACUGCUAAGCUCGGGGCGUUGUGGCCGAUCAGAGAAACUGGGGAUGAUGGGAGAAGGUCGAUCGGCCUCCCACUUCUGCUUACUAUCGGUGCUGGGUCAUCAACCUGUUGAAAUAAAAGGGGGUAAGUUACUGAUAAAGUUAAAGUUAACAAAAAGGACUGAAGUAUCGGAAAGGGACUUACAACGUCAUUGGGGACUUCAUGUUCGGGAUCGACCAUGUUGCGAUACAUAUGAGCCGAUACCUUGAACAGAUGCUCUUUCCAUUCUUCCCACCACCGUUUGUAUGACUGAGUAAUGAAAAGGGCUGGAACCCAAGCCGAUAGAUCAAUAUAUGUCGUAUCGGCAUCUGUCUGGAGUUGAUCUAUUCUGAUCCACUCAAGUCCACUGGUUAUUAUCUCCCUCGGCUUGACUACGGCAUAACAAAGUUUAAUGGGUAGCUGACCAAAAGCUAGCUGAUGAGCUAGUGCCGAUGGGUUGUAGAACUCGUAGGUUGUGUUGGUGUUAUUUCCGCUGCCGAAGUUGUUUACUGGGAUUGCUCUUGGGGUAAUGGUUGCCAUCAUCAAAUCAUUGUUCUUGUUAAGUGCGUCAUCAGCAGGGUGGAAAGUGAGUGGAAAUCUAGACUCUGCAUUUUCAUAAGGCAUCCUGGCUCGCUGAUCUUUGGAAAGGCCGUCAUACAGUGUUUGAAAGAAUCGGCCGAUGUGGUUCUCGUUUGCAUCGGUACCGGGGAGAACUAUGAUGGCUUCACCAUAAUUGAGGGGCGAGCGUGUUGCCGAUUCAUCCUCUGCUAGUUCAUGAUCCUCAGUGAUGUCUCGUGGGAACUGUUGUACGAAGAAAUCCCACCGAAGGCGCUUGUGCAUGUGGGCAUUAAGCCACAUGUUAGUAAACCACUAGGGGCCUCCCAGAUUGCCGAUCGGUUCUCCUAGCAGGAGUUUCUGAGUUACUUGAUGGAGGAGGUGAUAGACAAAAACCAGGAGGUAUCGGCCAAGGGGGAAUCGGUUACCAUUGGCUAGUCGCUCUGCUGCCAAUAAGUAAACAAAGGUUGGCCCUAUUAAUCGGCCACAUAAGAUGAACUUGUCUAACCACAUAUUCAGAAAGAUGGUGUGCUCUCUCUGGCCGAUGAUCUAGUUUGCCGAUAUUUCUAGACAUAUCCUGACCAACCGCUGAUGUUGCAGAUUUCUACUUUAUAUUUGGUUUUGCGGUUAAAAAUACCACCAUCAUCAGUAGUUGCAAUAUCCAAGCCAGUAAGCAUGACAACAUUGGCAAGUGUGGGGGAAGCUGGGCCGUGACCAAAGAUAAAAGCAUUGAAGGUGUCUGACCAAAAAUAUGAAGCUGCUAUCAUCAUCGACUCGUUCUUCUCCAUAUCGGCAAUGGAGAGUCUAAUACAUUGGUCUAAUUUGCAUUCCCCCAGUACGUUUCAUUUGUUUUACUCACUCUCAGGAACCAAUCUUUCCAUCCUUUAGUGGGUUUUGGCCAGGAUCAGAAAGUGUCCUUCCAUAGAUCUAAGGAGAAGUUCUCGGCUCUAAAAGGAAUCCUAUUGGUUUCUGCGUUGAUCAGAUCGGUGGGGUCUGGAAUACCCAUUGGACCGAGACAUUGGAGGUGGGGUUGUUCAGUAGGAAUAACAAUUUUCUCACUCAGAUCCUAGAGUUUGGAGAUCAAAAGAACAGGGAAAAAUGGGGAGAAAAUGCUAAGUAAAUAAACUUGCAUAAAGUAAAGGAUUGUAGUAAAGGAAAGAGAGGAUGGGACUAGAUUAACCUUAGGGACAACAAAGUUGAUGCCAUUUCCUUCUGAAGAGAAGAACAGAAGAUUUGAAGAUUCUAGGAGAGCUUUGCCGUAGGAGAGCUUUUUCACUGCCAAAGUUCUUAAGCUCCUCGUCAAUGUCGCCACCGGGAAGGUGAACUUGGGGAUGGAGAAUGGCAGGGUAAAGAAUGAGUACUAGGGAAGGAGGUAUUUAUAGGUUGAAAUGAGCAGGGGUAUUUUUGACAUCUCUUUGCUGUGUCCGUGAAAUUCGAGGUUGUUCAGAUGGAUAUGGUAACUUUUCGCACGAUAAUCAAGGGAUUAUACAGGUGAUUUGACAGCAAGUAAUCAUGAUUUUAGGAGAUAUUCCACUGUACACGAUCUUUUGGUCGGUCCAUCGGCAGUCAACCUUAAUAGAACAGUUGCCGAUGCGCGUGUUUCUAUGAGAUUCAGUUCGGAUGGUUAAGGGAUGUGAGAUAUUCACUGAGAUAUGGAAGUCGGGAUUAAAGCCGUUUGGAUUUGGUAAUAAAUUCUUGCCAGAAGGGGAGUAAUUGUGAAAAGGGCGUCAUUAUCCGGAAAGAAUUUUGGAGCAUUAAUGGUUUUAUACUCCAAAAUUGGGAGGCAUGUGUUGACACCAUUUUUUGACGUAAGUCAAAGUAAACUAAUCGGCAGACAGGAAGAUACACUGUUGAGUUGAUAAGAAGAUCACCAAUGGUCGAUGGUGCCAAUGGCAGGGUAAUGGGUGAAGGAAGAUGUUGCUAAGCUUGACGGUAGCCGCUGAUCAUUGCUGAUUGGUUGCCGAUGUUGAUGAUUGCCGAUGCCGAUGAGGAAAGUUAUGAGAGUUGGUAAGGAUACAGGGAGUAUGCCGAUGAUGAUGAAAGGAUACAUGGAGUAUGCCGAUGAUGAUGAAGGGAGACGUGAGAGUUGCUAGGAAGGCAACGGUGAUAUGCCGAUCACCAGGAUAGAUAGGUAGUUAUUAUCCAUAUUUGUUAGAGUUUGCCUUAUGUAAGAGUCCUGUUUGGUUUAGAAUUAAAUCCUAGUCGUAUACGGUUGUAACUCUUUUGGACAGAUUAUAAAUAUAGUCCUAGUAGCAAUUUAAGAGGACCCAAUCAAUAUCAUACACACGUUUUACAUCUAUUGUUACAUCUACUUUUUCGACGACUUCGUCAACUUGCACGUUUUCUUUUAUCUACGAGUUCUUAAGGAUUCAUCGUGCAAUACUCGACGAAUUCUCGAGUUCUGCGUGAAUACCUCUUGGCCAUGGCAUCCGGGCGCAUCGCUGUUGUCGGGACCAAAGUAUUCAAGUUAUCACUUGUGUCAAUUGUUAGGUCAAAUUGGCUGGCACGCCUCAACGUUUGAAUCGGGUAUUAGACCUUUGUGUUUGCAGAUCUAUUUUUGCAUCAACAAUGCCUUGGCACAUGUAACAUUAAGAGAAAAGAAUGCUUCACAUGCGGCAGCAUCUGGGUGACUCCUAUUGGGGGGAACUAAACCGUGAUAGAAGUUCUAGAUCAAUAGCCAGUCUUCCAUGCCAUGGUGUGGGCUUGCAUCUACGUACUCUUGCAUACAUUUCCACACUUCGGGAAUUGACUCAUUAGCUUGUUGCUGAAAGAUAGAGAUCUUGUUGCGCAAAGCAUCGGUCUUACCCAUAGGAAAGAGCUUAACUAGGAAAGCGUUGGAACAAUUGUCCUAAGUAUUUAGGACUUUGCGAUUAGAGUAAAACUAUUGCUUCGCUUUUCCCAACAAGGAGAAUGGGAAGAGGCGAAGGCAAAUAGCAUUUGGGGUCACCUCAUUAAUGGUGAAUGUGCUAUAAAUCUCCAAAAAGUAUUAGAGAUGCACAUUAGCAUCUUCAUGAUCCAAGCCAUGGAAAGGGUUAUCUUGCACCAUCAUGAUUAAUGCGGGCUUCAACUCAAAAUAGGUGUCCGCAUUAAUGAUGCUAGGACCGAUGGCUCCAUUAGCAGCAGAAGGGGUAGAAAAUUCAUGGAUGGUCUCAUUGGCCAUGAUUGUGAAUAUAAAAGAGAAUGAUGAGAAAAAGGAAAGAAGAGAAUAGAAUUCCCUAAGCUAAAAAGCUAAAUGCGAACUAAUUCUACAGGCUCAGUCACAUGCACCAGUUGCCUUCCCCAACAACGGUGCCAGAAAUGCUUGUUGGUAUUUGUUAGCAUCACUUAGUAGGGUUGUCAAUUCCAACACUAAAAAUAUGAGACACUACAAAUGCAUAGAACUAUCAUGUAGCACUUUCCUUGGGAGUACCAGGUGUCAAAUUUAUUUGUUUCCUAUAGGAAAAGGCGAGGUAGGUGGAUCCUUGGGAUGAGUGUGAUGAAUUAGUGGGUGAAAGGUAUAGGUAUAGUAAAAGGGAUAACUAAGAUAUCUAAAGGGAUAAGAUCACUGCACAACUCUAGAGGGAGAGAAAGGUGUGAUCUAGGUAAAUAAGAUAGCUGAGUAAAUAGAAAGACGUUAUCUAGUAAAGAGGCAUACACGCUCUUGAUUUAACUGGACAAUGCACAAUGAGCCUUAUGAUUUAAUAACUAAACCCAACAUGGUGAAAUACACAAGUGACAGGGUUGUCACCACUUGCCAGCGCCACACUAUCCAGGGGCCUAGCCAUAUUAGAAGGUAAGUUAUAUCCUAAACACCUCGCUUAAUCUAUAAACCUAUAGUCUCUACUUGAGCUCAAAGAAGAGACACCUUAACUAGAUGACAGGUCAAUACUCAAUAUGAGCGAACUAUUACAAAGAUAACUUAACAACCUAUACUUAUAACAAGAGCCUAGUCUCACCACUAAUAAAUAGAAGUAAGAGUAAGACUUGAUUGUAGAGGCAUAAAGUAAAUACUUAAUAAGUAAGUACUAUAAGUAAAGCACUUGUAUUAAGUAAGAGCUGCAAGAUUAGAAAGGAGCUAUACCAGACUCGAAGACUCGGGGAAGACUCUUCUAGACUCCGAGGCAGAAGCUCCACCUGACCCUUUUCCUCUUGCUAGCUAGCUAGAGAUUCUAGGCUAUGCUAUAGAUAGAGCUGGCACGCUAGAGCAAAAGAGCAACUGAACUACUGAGCUUCUCUAGUGUCUAUUGAUUUCUAUCUUGUGUGAUCUGCCUUUCCAAGGGCUGAAUUUCUCCUUUCAUAGUACCAAGGGCACCAGAGGAUACUUGUAGGCGUCGAGGGUGGCCAAUAGCCGCCAAGAGGUGGCAGGUGCCUUGGUGGGGUGACGGGCGCCGCCCAAUUCUAUCGCCUCAGCAUACUAUGAUGUUGCAUUGGAUGGCUCCCCCAAGUUGGUUGCAUGGCAGGUAAGUUGGUUUUGCAUGUUGGAAAGUCAGUUUAGGUGCUCCAAGUGGAUGAUGUUGAACCCAUGGAUCCAUGACACUUCCAUCAAGCGCCAUUGCAUCAAACCAACCUUGCUGGAUGGUCUGGAGUGUGUGGGUAGUCAUUCCCACGGAUCACUGACAUGGCAGUCCAUAGGGGGCAGUGGGCGCUGCUAAGUGGCGGCGGGCGCCAUGCCCCUUGGCCUCCCUGCUGCCCUAUCACGUCCCACAUGUCACAUAUGUUCCAUUUUCCCUAUUUUUACUAUUUUUCGUGCAUACAAAUAAAAUUCCAUGUACAAGUGGAACUAGGUAAAAUUCAAAGCAUAUUUAUAUUAUUUCUUAUUGGAUUAACUUACUUUUGGGUGUAGGACACCGUCGCUCUAAGGUCCUAGCUGGAGGAGACUGCCGCUCAUACACUCUAGUGCUUUCACGCACGUUGCUUGCUAUUCGAGCUGGUUGUCGGUCAUGGGAAUAAGGUAGCGACCCCGUCGUGGAUACAGUCGAUGAGGUCUCAAUAUAUUGGCCAAGAUGGAGAAGAAGAGGGUGGGGAGCGGGCAAGGGAGAGGAGGGAUGGGGCGGCGGAGUUCAAGGAGACCUAGUGAGAGAGCCACGAGGAGUAAGAGAAUUGAAGAGAUGGGCCUAUAGUGAACUAGGGUUUUGGCUCAGGAUGGGCCUAUAGUGAGCUGCCACAUGGAUGCAUGGAUGCUGGACCUCGGGGCUAUUAACACUUGGAAUUUUUUUUAGAAAUUUAGGCAAAAUUAGGUAUUCCUUAAUCUAGAAAAUGAUUAACAACGUAUUUGUAACAUUAGGAAUGUGCAUGUGUGAUCUAAUUGCAAACGUGAAUCACAGAAAAUAAAAGAUAGGUCGCUAUAGUAGCAUACCCAGUGACAGUGCUUGUUGACGUAGUGUUUCUUGGUGUAGUCAUUCCGUAAGAUACAGUGCAAAUAGGCCACACCGCUAAUCACCAACUAGAUGAACGCUUAUUUGCAUCCUAGGGUGACCCCAUAUCUUUGGGAUUACAAACUAAGUUUAAAAUUGUCUUCUAGGACUGUUAAAUUUUGUAAGUGAUUGUGUCACGUAAUAAAUUUGUUCUCAUUCCUGUGGGAUGAAGCCGGAUAUUCUUUUAUUUAGCCUCAAAAUGUUGAAUUUCUUAAAAAACGCAUAGCUUUGAUAGUUUGAUUACUUAGGAUUGUUGCUCCUAAAAAGUUUGGAUAGAUGUGUUCAUGAGUCUUUCAUUCAACGAUUCUUUGCUCAAAGUUUUGACAAAAUUUUUCAUUCCUAUACAAAGAUGGGUACCACACAAUGCAAAUGCAUGUUUCGUCAUGCACUUUUUAUGCUUGUUGCUAACAAGAAAUGUAGCCUAUGUUCAUGCGCUAAACCGAUACAGCCAUGAACUUAUUUUUUAUAGGAUUUAAAUAUUUCAAAUACAUAAUAUGCAAUCAUCCUUCACAUGGCAUAACAGAGACUAACUUCCAACAUGUGCUUUCAUGUGAAGGUAUAACUAUAUAUAGAUGCCACACAUAUAAGUCCACUAAUUUUUUUAAAAAACAUACUAUCUCAAGUUUGUUGGAAACACCUUAUUGUCCACACGAUUUAAUCGGGGCCUAUGAAAAAAAUAUAUUCUAAGAUGCUAGAAUAUAUAUAUAUUUUUUAAUUAUACCGUUCAAACUAGCACAGUUAUUUUAAGACAAUCAGAGUAUAUAUCGGCACAUAGCAUUGGCAUAAACCUAUGGUGAGGACCAGAUGUUUCGCAUCACUGUCCAGUUGUGUGAUUUCCAUGGACAUGGAUCUGGGUCUCCUCUUUGGCCAUGCAUGCACAGAGCUGACUACAAUUUAGACGACGAAGUCACUUGGUGGAUAUGAGGUGACCAACACUAUAUAUAUUUAUAGUAGUGUGUGCCUAACAUCACACACCACAGGCCUAGCUUCUCUUUCCAAAAGCAUGGCGUGCACUACCCUUUCAUUGCUAGCCCACCUCUUGAUCCCUGUAUUGCUCAUCCUUGCUCACGACAUUUCUACAACCGGUGUUGUCAUAGCUCCACCUCCCACUGCUCUACCACUUCCACGGCUACGUGCACCCUCACCGACUCCUCGUCCUCCAGGUCUUGGGGCCCCUCCUCGCACUCCUCUUCUUCCUCCCCCUCGGACAGGAGCUCCACCUCUAACUCCUCUUCCUCGUCCAUGGUUGAGGGCACCUUCACCAGCUCCUAUUCCUCCACGGCUAGGAGCACCCGCUCGUACUCCUAUUCUUCCUUCUCCUAAGAUAGGUGCUCCACCUCCUACACCUGUUCCUCCUACUCCUCGGUUGGGGGCUCCCUCCCGCAGUCCUAUCCUUCCUCCCCCUCGAAAGGGUGUUCCACCUUCUACUACUCCACUUCCAGCACCACGAUUAGGAGCACCCCUCCCGUCCCGUCGUCCUUGUCCUCCGCCAAGUGCCUCUAUACUUCCUCCCCGUCGAACGGGUGCUCCACCUUCCACUCCUCCACUGCCUACACCACAAUUAGGGGCACCCCUCCCAUCCCGUCCUCUUCCACCGUCUCGUGGUCCUGUAGUUCCUCCACGUCGGAUUGGCGCUCCACCUUCCCCUCCACCACUACCUGCACCAAGAUUAGGUGCACCUCUCCCGUCCCCUGUUAAACCUCCAUCUCGUGCUCCUGUAGUUCCUCCCCGCCGAAAGCGCAAGCCACCACCUACACCACGUUCUAAGGCACCCAUUCCAUCUCCUAUUAUUCCUCCCCCUCGAAAGGCCGCUCCACCUUCCCCUCUUAAACCUCCAUCUCGUGCUCCUGUACUUCCUCCACGCCGAAAGCGCACCCCACCUCCAGCACGACGUUCUAAGGCACCCAUUCCAUCUCCUAUUAUUCCUCGCCCUCCAAAGGGCACUCCACCUUCCAAUCCAAUUCCUGCACCACGGUUAGGGGUACCCCUUCCAUCUCGUCCUCUUCUUCCCCCUCGUGGACCUACUUUUCCUUCCCCUCGGAGGGGCACUCCGCCUUCCACUCCUCCACUUCCUACACCUCUUCUUCCUCCAGCUCGUCCUCCUUUAUAAGAAUUCUUUUUGUCUAAGCAAUCGUGAAGGCAGCACCAAUCUCUUUUCAAACAAUAAGUCUUCACACAGCAACAAUAGUAAUAUCUUCAUUGAACCUCGUCAAUGGAAUAGUGCUAGAAGUGGAAGAUUGAAUCUCAGUUGGAUGGGUUUGUGUUUGGUACAGUGCCAUAGGGUCCCAACGUCCAUAAGAAAAUCAUGUAAUAGAAACAAAUAUAUUGUUUUUGGAUGUUUCAUAAAUUGGUAAGUCUAGGCUUACCACUCCUCUGUAUAAUUUCUCUACAUUUAUAUUAUAACGUAUUGUAAUAACCUUGCAAUAGCGAUUCGAUUUGCUCAAUUAACUCAUCCUUCUCUAUUUGUCAUUGUUUGUUCCUUCCUCCCUCGGUGUGUUUUUAAUUUAACACAUGGCACACAAGAAGUUGUCCAUUUCUUUGAAGCAAUAAGAUUUUGCAAAACAGCCUCCUAAGUUGAGAAAACUUGUACAAGACAAAAAUAGUCUAGAUUUUCCCAUAAAAUUAUGAUCAAGCUAACAUGACCCCAAGUCCUCCAAUGUGGCAUAAAACACGAGGGUUGUGAUGGCUCGGUUGUCACGGUUCUAAAUCAUACCUCUUGAUGCGUGAGUCUUGUUAUGAUCCUACUGCUAGAGAUGGUGGUAGGCAUGUACAAAUGUUGAUACUGG
rnacentral:lncRNA from 1 species